UAUAUCACUGUGCAGAAGUAAACAAAGUAUGCAAGCAUGAUGAAAUAAAGAUCAUGAUAUGUGCCUAUGAGAUUAUUAUAGAACGAACCUGCCAUAAAAAAUGAUGCAGAGACUAACCCGGAAGAAAAGGCCACCUAAGAUGUGAAUUUGCUGUUAUUUGAUUCAACUCUUCGGCAUGGCUCUUGAGGUUUGAAUCAGCCUAUGGCAGGCAAGUGAGCAAGAUAGCUUGAUGCCCUUAUCAACAUUCUUUUUCCAUGAAUCUGAAUCUUUCUGUCGAACAACAUUAAUAAGAAUGCACAUAGAAGUAAUACGGUAUUGCAUGUUAUAAAGGAAAUUAUUAAUUUUGUAAAGUACCUUAGCAAUUCUGCUUUUGCUAACUUUGUUACUGUCUAGACUGCACUCUGUUCCACAGUCGAAAUCAUUCUGCAUUUUGGCACAAUUCCAACGCAUCUUCUAUUUAACAAAAAAGAAAAAAUAAGAAUCAACCAUUGUCAAUUCUUAUCAACAAAGUCUUCAAAUUGACAUUGCGGUCUCUGUUGUUUAAAGGGGAAAAAAAUCGAUAGUUGUGAAUUCUUAUCAACCAAAAUUAAACAUGGGGGUGGAGAAAAGAAAAAUAAAAAUCAAAUGUUGAAUCCUCUUGAUUGUAUCAUGGAUAAAUCUGAUUUAGAUCUGAGUCCAUAUUUUAAGAGAUUCAUCGACCCAUUUUCAGACAUGCCAGGAAUUGUAAAUUAAGUCAAAUAUUCACAAAAAACAGAUUCUGUGUUCAGCCGCAAAUGGGCUAUUUCACGGCCAAGCAAGAAAACAAAUGAAGAAAAUUAAUUGCUUUCCACUGGUUCAAGAAUUAAUACCAUGAUUGAUUGCUUCUCUUUUGGAAGAAAUAAUUUUGAAUAAAACACAGCAUCAUUACAAAAAAUGCGAUGAUAUUUUUUCAAUAAUCAGAUGAUGAUAAUUUCUCCAUACAUUCAUUCUACGGCCUGACUCUGUUUUAUGUCUAAGGCUAAUGUGGUGCACUUGCAGCAAGAUAACCAAACCGGUAUGUGUUGGGAAAAUAUGCUCUUUAAAAGCAUAUAUGUUUAUUUAAUUGUAAUAAACUAUUUUUCUGAUUAAUAAAAUAAAUGAGGUAUUUUAUUCAAAUAUCUUAAUUGCAUUAAUACUUGUAUUAAAGUCCAUUUAAUCAUAUUAUAUGUAUUUAUGUGAUUACCAUGUGGAUUCACAGAAGACAUAAAUACAUGUUAUCUUAUGAUUAAAUAAAUUUAGUUCGCAGUUGAUAAAUAAAGUUGGGCACUUUAUUUAGGUAUAGACUGUAAUAAAUUCAUUGAAUGAUUUGUCUUAAUCAUGUAUGAAUUUAUUGAUGUAGUACGACUACAUUGAACAGGAUCACAUAUGAGAUUUAAUUAACUUUGUAAUAACUGUCAGACUUAUUAAAUCUCAUAGGCGUUGAUUUUACUGUAAUCUUAAUCUUGAGUUAAUUAUGAUUUCAUGAUUGUAAUUGUUAUUCCAUUUGAGUUACCAAUGGGCACGACACAUCCUUGUGGUCAAGAUUACCCGGUAUCUUGGUGGGAGCAAUUAUGAGUAUUGGAGUUAUAGAUUAACAAUAUAGAAUUUGUACAACACAUCUCUUCAUGGGUUUUCGGCACUUGAUCAUGGAAUUCUCUGGCCAGAGUGUGUCAACAUAUUUAGUAUGUUGAAAAUGAUCAUUAGAGAAAACCAGUAAGGAUCAAGGAAUAAGAUGUUAUUAAAUUGAUUGGACAGUUGAGAUAUCAAUUUAAUUAACGAUGUGGUACAAAGGAUUGUGCAGUAAAGAAAUCAAUGUGGCUUGGGACGAAUUAUUAUUCGAGCAUACAAUUAUGGAAGUCAGUUCCAAUCUUUUAGUGGAGUAGAUUUGGAAUUAAAUAAUUGGGCUAGUUUAAUUACAGGCCUAAUUAUUGUAGCCACUAUUGUAUGUUCCCAAAUGAUCCCCGGGUUAGCUCAUUUAAUUGACUGCACCACUACUGGACUAAUAAGUAAGAUAACUAGCUAUUUGGGUCAAAAGCCUAAAUAUAUCAUUUAGUGGGAGGCUCCAUUUAAUUAGCUUUUGUAUAAGGGGCCUUAUGUUAUUUUACAAGGUGGGUCCCCUAUUGAAAAAGCAAAUAAACGUGGGUUUUGUUUUUCAUUUAUUUGAAGCCUAGGGUUUUCACUAAAGGGUGAUAUAAAAGGCUUAUUUUUCCCUAAAGAAAAAGUGAGAAGCCACUUUAUACAGAUCAGAGAAAAAGAUUUUUCUCUCUAUUGUUGAGAGAAAAAUUUUCUCGUGCUAGUUGCUUUGGUAGUGAUAAAGGCGCCCACACGUCAAGUGCAGAUCGAACCUGAGUCAUAACCUGGAAGAUCAUUGGAGACUGUUCGUGAUCUAACAAGCGUGGUGGUGACGGAUCGUGAUCUAACAGGAGCGGUGGUGGCGGAUCGUGAUCUAGGAGCCUAAAACACUUCAGCGGAAAAAGCCAACUCGGAUUUUCAAGGUACGAUUUCUAGAAUACAAAUUCUUAUAUAUUAUAUGAGAGCGAUCUUCAAAAGGUUUUAUAAAAAAUUAAAAACCUAAUUUUUCCCCAACAAUUGGUAUCAGAGCCAUCUCAUAUUAAUAUAUAAGAAUUUCGUAUGAAAUUAAUCUUGAAAUUUAUGUAUUAGAGUGGCACAUUUUAUUCAGAUAUAUAUUAUUUGUUUAAUAUAUGAAUAAAGCAUGUUAUGGUUUGUCUUAAUUCAUGGUUAGAUGUUCUACUGUAUUUUUCGUUUGGAUCUGUAACAAGAGGGGUGGCUUAUUAUCACCAUGUUUCCCUCUUGAUUUAUUGUAAUGUAAUUAAAAUUUUGUAAGCCAAAAUUAGCAUCGGAUUAUUGUAAAUCACUGGAAAAUUGCGGAAACUUGCUGGAACCUGCAGCAACGAACCAGCACACGCAGCAGCGAGCGGCCACCAGCACACGCUGCUGCACGAGCAGCGCGCGGCCAGCAGCACAUGCUGCCAGCAGCGCGCGUUGCACACGCAGCGGCCAGCAGCCACGCUGCAAGCAGCUCGCGCUGCACAUGCAGCAACUGCAGCGCGCGUUGCAACGCUGCAAGCAGCGCUACCUGCAGCGAGCGAGCAGCAGCUGCAGCGCCCAAGCAGCAGCGCGAACGUGGGCUGGAGGCGCGGAGCGUUUUGGUUGACGUCUUUCCGGCGUUAAUGACGGCUGUCCGGUGUGGAAACAGUGAACAGCGGCUGGAUUUUUUUGGAGAUGGCGGCUGGGGAAGAGAGGAAGAAAAAUAUGGAUUUAGGGUUACAUGGUUUUUAUCAUGGAAGUCCCUAUGGUUCCAUAAUUUUUCAUUUGAGCAGAAAGUUUUUUAAUUUUUUGCAUUUAAAUCCAAAAACAGUUUUGGGUUUAAUGAAUCCUAGUUUUAGGCCCAAUUUCAAUUGGGCUUAAUGGAUUAAAAAUGCAUAGACAAAAUUAAAUACAUUAAAUUUAUUUUUGGUCCAAAAGCUUUAUUUUAAAAAAAAAUAAAAUAAAAUAAAACUAUUUAUUUAUUUAUUUCCUUUCAAAAUUAAAAUUGGACCAAUUAUAAAUUUAAAAGCCCAAUUUCCCCUAGUCCAUUAACAAAAACAAGCUUAUGGAAGAUGGACAUUGACAAGAAGCCCAAUGAAGAUUAGGCUUAGGGUUAAUGUAUUUUUCAUUAUUAGGAAAGCCAUGAAUUAAGAUUAUUUAAUUAUUUUUCUAUAUGUUAUGUUUUGGAUGAUAACAUGCCAUGAUAACAUGUCAUAUAGAAUAGGUAGUGUCACUCUAUGCAUAAUGAUACAUGUCAUUCAUUAAAUAAUGAAUUUCAUUAUAUUGUUUGAAAUUUGCAUUUGCUUAAUAAUAUUUGAUAUCAUCUAGAUAAUAUUAUAGGAAGCAUGCAAUUAACAAUAUGUAUGUUUUAAAAAGGAAAAAUCAAUUUUAAAAUAUUGAGUGGGAGAGGGAAAAUUCAAGAUAAUUUUUCCCACGGGCUCCAUUGUUAGUUCAAUAAUAAAAUUAUAUAUAUACCUCAACUUCAUGAUACGGUGAUGCUCCCUACGGAGGGUAUAUAUAUUGGAUAUUUUAUUUGAUGAACUUCUUCAAAGAUAAAAUUGAAAUAUUUUUUCAAUCGAUUGCUCGCCCCAACGGUGACUAUUGAUAUGAAAAAUACGUAGAUUGAAACAAUGGUUAUACACUCAACUAAAGUUUGUUAUUAACCUUCCCAACGAAGCUCUGUUAACAAAUUUAGGCCCAAAGGGAUAACGAUAAUUAUUUAUCAUGUCUCUACAUGAAAGUAAAUAAUCUAAUGGAUAAUUGGGUCUAGUAAGUGUAGACAUGACUUCCCCAACGGAUAGCUUGUCAAAGCGGUACUAGAUUAUCGUUACAAUAAAUUAAAAUGCAUUUAUGGUUUUUUGUAUUUUUGUCAUUUAUUGUGAAUAUUGUUUCAAAGUAUUUAUGCAUGUCUAUUUUGUUUUUUCAGAAAAUGUCUUCCAUCAACCCAUUAUUAAUUAUUCUUGUUAAAAAUGAACUCACUGGCGAAAAUUAUUUAGAUUGGAAACGCAAUCUAUUUAAUAUUCUCACUGCUAAGGGAAGCAAAUAUGUUUUGACUCAGCCUUGCCCUCCUGAACCAUCGUUAUACGAUUAUAGAAAUCAGAGGGAGCCUUAUGAGAAAUGGUGCGAAGCUAACAAAAUGGCUAAGCGCUAUAUAUUGGCUUCGAUUUCUGUGGAACUGCAUAAGAAACAUCGGAGCAUGGAAACAGCCACUGAAAUAAUGGCUAGUCUUCAUCAGAUGUUUGGGUAAAAUACCCAUUUUUCUAGAGAAGCAGCAUUGAAACGUAUUACGGAUACUAAGAUGGAAGAGGGCACAAAAGUUCGUGAUCAUGUCCUCAAAAUGAUGGACUAUUUGAAUGAGGUAGAGAUUCAUGGUGUUCAAAUCAAUGAUAAAUCAAAGAUUAACAUGGUGAUUGAAUCUUUACCUGAUACAUUCAAAGAGUUUAAGGUCAGUUAUAUCUUAAACAAUAAAGAUAUGACCUUAAUUGAAUUAAUGCACGAACUACAUGCUAUAGAAGAAUUCUAUCAUAGCAGAAAACUUCCUGAAAAAGGAUUCUCUUCAAGGCUUAAGUCGAAAGACAAGAAUGAGCAAGCAAGAGUUGGGAUCGGCAAACUGUCCACUAAAAGAAGUGGCAAGCCAAAAGGCAAGUGUUACAAAUGUGGACAGAAGGGUCGCUGGAAGAAAGAUUGUCCUAAGAUUAUUAAAAUCAGGUAUAGGAAAUCUUUAAGCUUCCUAAUUAGUUCAGAUUUCUAUUGCAUCAUACAAUAAUGAAUUCUGAGAUAACUAAUCUUAUUUGUAAUUCAUUUAUUUGGUUUUCAGGAAACCAAGAGAUUAAGUGAAGAAAGUAUCAAACAGCAGUUGAGGACAUGCUAGUUUAUAUUAAUUGAAAGACUAGAUCAAUUUUACAAGACUUUAGUUUUGAUAUUUGUCUUUAUAUUAGAGGAAUUUAAUUUCGGUGGCUUGUUUUAAUAAACAGGAGUACACUGUUAUUUUUUGGAUCCUCUAUUUAUUAUUUAUUUUGGUUAUUUAUAAAGACAAUUUAUAUCAUAGAAGUCCAUUGAUCUAUUCAAAGUAAGAUAUAAUGAUAAAAAGUAUAUGCAUUUAUCUAAGAAAAGAAAUGUUUCUUCUAACCAAAAAUCACCUCUGAUAUUUAUGCCUAAGUCAUAUAAACUAUAAUAAGAUUUUAAGAAAAUGAUUAAUGAUAGACUUGUUGGCCUAUUAAGAUUGAUCAUUGUAACUCCAUAAAUCUUAUUUAGAAAAGUAAUAUGACAAGGAUGCUCUUUUUGAGCUAAAAGCAUAACUAUGUAUUUGAUGAUUUAGCGCAUACAAAUGUAUACGGACUAAUCAGUUUACAUGUUAUAAGGGGUUAUGAGUAUUCUAUCAAUCUUGUUGAUGAAUAUUCAUUUUAUUUAUGUUUGUCUAAAUGCGUCAUGAUUCCAUUGCUUUUGAAAUUCAAAAGAGUACGUGGAUAAGACAGAAGCAAUUAGACAGGAACAUAAAAGAACUUCGAUAUGAUCGAAACAAAGAAUAUCUCUAUGGAGAAUUCAAGCACUAUUUGGUUGUCAAUGAACACUAUAAUACAAUAGUGUAAUUAAAUGAAGAAACAAGAUUCUUUUGGAUAAGACAAGAUAUAUACUAAGUGGUUUAUCAUUUACCUUUUUUGAUUCCAGAUAUUAGUAUUUAAAACUACAAAGUUUAUUGAACUUAGUUUCAUCUAUCUCGGUGUCUACUACUCCAAGAAAUUAUGAAAAAGUCACAAACAUGGUUUGAGACACAUUCAUAUUUGGAGUUUACUAGUAUUUCUACUAGAAUCAGAGAUAGACAAGAUGGAUUCGUGUUCAGAAGCUUGCAUGUUUUAGGUAUCUUAAAGGAAUAAGGGAAAGUCUGAAUUAUAGUCCUCAAGAUAGGAAUGUAUUUAUAGAAAUAUUCUUUACUUUCUUUGAGGAAGACUCUAUAAUGACUUAUAACCUAAGAGUAAGGUAAAACUAGAGAAAUAAAAGAGAUCAGGUUGAUGCUCAGCUUUCAACACCUGUUAUAGAACAGGAAGAACAGCAACAACCAGCUGAUCAGCACAGGAUUAUCCUUGAACAACCAUCACUUUUAGAACCUUGUCGUAGUGGGAGGGUAACUAGGUUACCUGCGAGAUACAUAUUUUUGGGAGAAACCUAUAUGGCUAUCUUAGAUGAACAUGUACAAAAUCCCACUAGUUACAACGAAGCUCUAAUAGAUAGAAAUGUUAAAUUUUGGAAAAAGGCCAAGAACACAUGGUAUGUAAGUUGCAGAGAUCCAUUUAUAGAUUGAAGCAAGCAUCCCGGUCAUGGAACAUCAGAUUUGAUCAAGCGAUUAAAUCACUUGGAUUCAUUCAGAACAUUGAUGAACCAUGUGUGUACAAGAAAAUUCAGGGAAAAUUUGUAGCCUUCCUAAUUCUUUGUGUAGACAAUAUUCUUCUGAUUGGAAACGAUAUAGGAGUAUUGACUACAAUAAAGAUUUUGUUAGCAAAAUAAUUUGAUAUGAAUGACCUGGGGGAGGCAAGUUAUAUUCUUGGUAUCAAGUUACUACGAGACCGGAAGAAUAAAACUUUAGCAUAGAUAGAAAUGUUAAAUUUUGGAAAAAGGCCAAGAACACAUGGUAUGUAAGUUGCAGAGAUCCAUUUAUAGAUUGAAGCAAGCAUCCCGGUCAUGGAACAUCAGAUUUGAUCAAGCGAUUAAAUCACUUGGAUUCAUUCAGAACAUUGAUGAACCAUGUGUGUACAAGAAAAUUCAGGGAAAAUUUGUAGCCUUCCUAAUUCUUUGUGUAGACAAUAUUCUUCUGAUUGGAAACGAUAUAGGAGUAUUGACUACAAUAAAGAUUUUGUUAGCAAAAUAAUUUGAUAUGAAUGACCUGGGGGAGGCAAGUUAUAUUCUUGGUAUCAAGUUACUACGAGACCGGAAGAAUAAAACUUUAGCCUUGUCUCAAGCGGUCUAUAUCGAUAAGAUAUUGGCUAGAUUUAGCAUGGAAAAUUCCAAGACUGGUUUAUUACCAUUCAGACAUGGAAUUACAUUCUCUAAGGAUCAAUCACCUAAAACAUCUGAAGAGAUAGAGAGAAAGAGACGAGUUCCCUAUGCAGACGCUGUGGGAAGUCUCGUGUAUGCCAUGCUUUGCACUAGGCCAGACAUCUGUUUUGCGGUAGGGAUGGUUAGCAGAUAUCAAUUUAAUCCUGGAUCUCUAUACUGGACUGCAGUCAAGCAUAUUAUAAAGUAUCUGAAAAGAACUAAAAAUUAUAUGCUUGUGUAUUCUGGUGAUGAACUCAUUCCAGUGGGUUAUACUGAUUCUGACUUUAUGUUAGAUAAGGAUUCCAGAAAAUCAACUUCCGGCUAUGUGUUUACAUUGGGAAGUGGAGCUAUUAGUUGGAUGAGUGUGAAACAAUCUUGUAUCACAGACUUAAUAACUAAAGCUGAAUAUGUGGCUACAUCUGAAGCUGCAAAAGAAGCUAUAUGGCUCCGCAAGUUCCUACGAAAUCUUGAGGUGGUACCUAUUGUAACUACACCCCUUAAACUAUUUAUGUGAUAAUGGUGGUGCAGUAGCUCAAUCUAAGGAACCAAGGAACCACAAGAAACAAAACAUAUUGAAAGGAAGUAUCAUCUUAUAAGGGAAUAAUGUAGAAAGGUUAUAUGACAAUACCCCAAAUGGCAUUAGAUGCUAAAUGGCAGAUCUUAUUACAAUGGCCAUUAGUGGGAAACCUUUAUAACCUGCACUUAGAGCCCUAGAGCAUGUGCAAUAUGCCAGAUAUGCUUUGAGAGCUAGUAGGAGAUUGUUGGGAAAAUAUGCUCUUUAAAAGCAUAUGUGUUUAUUUAAUUGUAAUAAACUAUUUUUCUGAUUAAUAAAAUAAAUGAGGUAUUUUAUUCAAAUAUCUUAAUUGCAUUAAUACUUGUAUUAAAGUCCAUUUAAUCAUAUUAUAUGUAUUUAUGUGAUUACCAUGUGGAUUCACAGAAAACAUAAAUACAAAUUAUCUUAUGAUUAAAUAAAUUUAGUUCGCAGUUGAUAAAUAAAGUUGGGCACUUUAUUUAGGUAUAGACUGUAAUAAAUUCAUUGAAUGAUUUGUCUUAAUCAUGUAUGAAUUUAUUGAUGUAGUACGACUACAUUGAACAGGAUCACAUAUGAGAUUUAAUUAACUUUGUAAUAACUGUCAGACUUAUUAAAUCUCAUAGGCGUUGAUUUUACUGUAAUCUUAAUCUUGAGUUAAUUAUGAUUUCAUGAUUGUAAUUGUUAUUCCAUUUGAGUUACCAAUGGGCACGACACAUCCUUGUGGUCAAGAUUACCCGGUAUCUUGGUGGGAGCAAUUAUGAGUAUUGGAGUUAUAGAUUAACAAUAUAGAAUUUGUACAACACAUCUCUUCAUGGGUUUUCGGCACUUGAUCAUGGAAUUCUCUGGCCAGAGUGUGUCAACAUAUUUAGUAUGUUGAAAAUGAUCAUUAGAGAAAACCAGUAAGGAUCAAGGAAUAAGAUGUUAUUAAAUUGAUUGGACAGUUGAGAUAUCAAUUUAAUUAACGAUGUGGUACAAAGGAUUGUGCAGUAAAGAAAUCAAUGUGGCUUGGGACGAAUUAUUAUUCGAGCAUACAAUUAUGGAAGUCAGUUCCAAUCUUUUAGUGGAGUAGAUUUGGAAUUAAAUAAUUGGGCUAGUUUAAUUACAGGCCUAAUUAUUGUAGCCACUAUUGUAUGUUCCCAAAUGAUCCCCGGGUUAGCUCAUUUAAUUGACUGCACCACUACUGGACUAAUAAGUAAGAUAACUAGCUAUUUGGGUCAAAAGCCUAAAUAUAUCAUUUAGUGGGAGGCUCCAUUUAAUUAGCUUUUGUAUAAGGGGCCUUAUGUUAUUUUACAAGGUGGGUCCCCUAUUGAAAAAGCAAAUAAACGUGGGUUUUGUUUUUCAUUUAUUUGAAGCCUAGGGUUUUCACUAAAGGGUGAUAUAAAAGGCUUAUUUUUCCCUAAAGAAAAAGUGAGAAGCCACUUUAUACAGAUCAGAGAAAAAGAUUUUUCUCUCUAUUGUUGAGAGAAAAAUUUUCUCGUGCUAGUUGCUUUGGUAGUGAUAAAGGCGCCCACACGUCAAGUGCAGAUCGAACCUGAGUCAUAACCUGGAAGAUCAUUGGAGACUGUUCGUGAUCUAACAAGCGUGGUGGUGACGGAUCGUGAUCUAACAGGAGCGGUGGUGGCGGAUCGUGAUCUAGGAGCCUAAAACACUUCAGCGGAAAAAGCCAACUCGGAUUUUCAAGGUACGAUUUCUAGAAUACAAAUUCUUAUAUAUUAUAUGAGAGCGAUCUUCAAAAGGUUUUAUAAAAAAUUAAAAACCUAAUUUUUCCCCAACACAUGCAGCAAUAAAUAAUCAAAUUCUGUCCUGUAUAUUUUUAUUUAGAAAAUUGCAAAAAAGCUAGUCGCUAGAAAAAAGUAAUUAAUUAAGUAAACACUGGCUUUGCACUUUGCACUGUGUUUGCGGUAAACUUUUGUUAAAGACAAGUAUACAUAAACUACCAAGGCACUGAAAAUAUGAAAUCAAAACAAUAUAUUGAAUCAAAACAAUACAUGUCUAUAGCGAAGGAAUCUCAAAAUCUGCUCACUAGCUAUGGCUCGUGUAGAACAAACCUUCACAAACUGACCUUGUUGGUUGAUUGCUUUUGCUUGGCAAAUCAUAGAGUUGAUGCAACACAUCAGGUGGGAUGCACGUUCCUUCAUGGGCAUAUUAUCGAACACGUCCUAGGCAUGAGAAUUAUACCAUAAUUCCCCAACAACUCCCCUCUUCAGCUGGGCCUGCAAAUUCCAUAUAAUCAUUCCAUUGUCUAUUUUUCGUUCGUUCUGAACCUAAAUCAAGCUUGCCAAUUCAUCUGAUCAUAUUCAUAUAGAUAUUUGUCUGUCUUCCUAAAAUUCAACAUUUGUCCACCAAGUAUUAGACCCAUAAAAAUUCAGAGAGGAAAUGACAAGGAAGAGGGUGAGCUCAAUAGACAGUCUCUACCUCAGACCCUGUGUUUUUUUCCAGCUGCCGCUAAUUGCUAAACACGGUUAAGAAACUUGCACACCAAUCUGGACAGCUCAUCAAUGCCACGUCACUACCCCUUAAACUGAUUUUUAACAGAUUUUUCAAUAAAUAGAAUGCAAAUGAAAUAACAUUUGAAUGCAUGGUUAGUGACAAAUUCAGAUAAUAGUAGGUAUGUAUUUGAGUUCAUCUUUGAGGUUGUGGUUCCUCAUCACCACAGCAGCCAUUCCACUGGCUUCUGUACCAAAAACAUAUUUAAUUUAUUUAUAUUAAUAAUAUAUUUAUAUUGAUUUUUAAAGUUGAUUAUUGAGGGAUUAGAAACACUUAAUACAUCCCAUCAUCAUCAUCAACAACAACAACAACAACAACAACAACAACAAAGAAAGAAAGAAAAGACUCAAGAGUAUUUGCAAAAGAUAAUUAUAAAGAGCGACUAUGGUCAACGGUGGAGAAUGGAAUCAAAGACAUUGUCAAAGGUAGCAAAAGCUUCGAUAAUCUAAACACAGAGACUUUUCUUCAAGUAUAGUUAAAUAAUAAAAUAAUAAUUUAGAUUACUUAAUGAAACAAUAAGUAUUUAUGAUAAAUAAGAUACAUGGAAUAAACUAACCUCUCCGCUUAUCAUUUUCUCUAUUGUGUUUUUUUUUUCCUCUGUCUCUCCUUCUUGUUGUUUAGUAGAUGACACAACAUUUCAUUUUGUUUAUUCAAUUUGCUAUUGGAGCAUCUUUCAGGAAAGUACAGAAAUGUAAAUAUACAGCUAAUAUUAUAUUUAUGAAUUAUUUAUAUGUACAGUACAUACUAAGUAACUAAAAUAAGACAAAUGAAAUAAUAAAAAUAAAAAUAUAAAUUAGAUAAGAUCAAAAAUAUCAUAUGAUCAAUCUCUUUCAUCACCAACAUCUAAAACAUUAUUGCUGUAACGUUAUACAUUAUGUACGAAACAGGAAUGUAAGCACAGUAGUAAUAUAAUGUUAUACAUAUCAAAAUUAUGUCUACAAAUAAAAAGUAAAUUGAAAAAAGAUUAGUGAAAUAAUAAAAAAUAUAAAUAUAAAUGAUAGAUCAAAUAUAUCAUAUGAUCCUAAUUUAAUAAAUCAAUAAUGCCUUAGUAGACAAUAUAGUUUAUGGUAGAGAAUAUUACUUAUCCUCUUAACAUUGUUUGCUCAAUAAUCUUUACUUUUGAUCCAAGCAUCUUUGAUCCAAAAAUUGGUAGAGAAUAUUACUUAUUAACGUUAUAAAUCCAUCCGCAAUUAAUAAAGGAUCACAGCAUAUUCAAAAAGCAAUUAAUUUCUAUUUAGAUUUUUAGUACUCAUGCGAAAUAGAGAAACAAGAUAUGUGCGUAUGAAAUUAUUAUGGAUUACAAGCUACUCGAUCAAAACUCGGAAUCAAAUAAUUGAAUGGGUGUCGAGCACGCUUGUGGAAAGAGUCACGGCACGAGCUCCCCUUCAUCAUCUCUAAAAAACCACACUUCAAAUAAAAAUAUUUUUUUUUCCUGCAAAUUACUUGCAUUCAUAACCAACUAUUUUUUUUAAUAGUUAUCAUUCAUGACUUCCUCUCUAUCCAAAAUAAAUUUGCUUAAAUUUAAAAUAUUAAAUUAUUCUUUUUCUAAUUUUUAUUGAUUGAACCUUAUUUUUAAAUUAAGAUUACUUUCAAAUUAUAAUUUGGAAUAUGUGUAAUGAAGUCCUAAUUAUAAUUUAAUAAGUCAUAAUUAUAAUUUAAAGUAUUUGUAAUUUAAGUCAAUGAUUUAUAUUAAAAAAUUCAUCACUGAUAAUUUGUAUAUAGGAUAGAUUGCAAAUUAACAAGAAUGUUAAAGAAAAGAAAAAUUAGAAGAGUGUAUUAAGAAAAAGGAUGUUUUUGGAAUUAAAAGUAAGAAUAACUAAAAAGAGAGAGAGAGAGAAGGUUUCAUGACAAUAUUAGAGGGGUGGCACUAGUCCAGCUCCAUACAUAGAAAUUACAAAGAAUCAACAAGAUAAUAACAAAAACACAUCCCAUACUCACAAUAUCCAAUUAGAGGGGCACCAAAUUUUUUUUGGCGAAAAUCCUCCAAUGCUCAAGUCAGUAAUUGGGUCUCUUUUAGAAAAACUUGUAUCACAAACUCAUGGCUUAAUUAUAUCAAUUGAAAGUUAGAAAUCUUAAUUCUCAAAAGAAGAAAAAUAAAUGGAGAGAAUUAUCGAGAGAGAAAAAGUCAAAGAGAGAGAAAAUAUGGAAAUAAAAAAAAAAUUGUCCAGCCCUUUUUACCUCCCAUUCUCCGUAGCUUUUAUACCCAACCUGAACCAUCGACUCCAUCUUCCCCACGAUUACUGUUGGCUUGGAAGUGAAAAGCGUGCUGUGUCUUUGAAAUCAUGGGUCAAUGGACAAUGUAACUGCCGCUGAAUGGGCUUUGUGCCCGAGUUUCUUGGAGACAAACUACGUGUUGGCCUUUGAUCAAGCCUUCGAUCUGACUCGAUUUUGGUCUCUCCUCGCAUGCCCUCAGGUCUGCUAUAUAGUACUCGUACGACCAGUAUUCAGAUUUUUUUGAUACAAGCAGUGGUCAAUAGAGUCAACUAAGAUAAAACUUAAAUUUCCCGCCCAAACAAAAACUAACAUACAUAAAGAAUUCGAAUCAUCCUUCAAUAAUAACAUAAAUAGCAACUACUGAGGCUAGUAAUUUGAUCAUUUCUGUAUUUGUCAAUGCAUUAUGGAUUCUAAGACCAGGCUCUAAAAUCAGCAAAUCCAAAAAUUGUUGAUAAUAUUACUUAGUAAGGUUACGAAUCCAUCCACAAGACAGCUGUAAAUAGUCAUAUAUCCUGACAUAUGAACUUUUUAUAUGAUUAAUAAAGGAUAAUAGCAUAUUCAAAAAUCAAUUUCUACUUAAAUUCAUAGUAGUCAUGCAAAAUAGAGAUAGUGAAUGUGUAUAUCACGGUGCAGAAGUAAACAAAGUAUGCAAGCAUGAUAAAACAAAGUUCAUGAUAUGUGCCUAUGAGAUUAUUAUAGAACGAACCUGCUAUAAAAAAAUGAUGCAGUGACUAAGCUGGAAGAAAAGGCCACCUAAGAUGUGAAUUUGCUGUUAUUUGAUUCAACUCUUCGGCAUGGCUCUUGAAGUUUGAAUCAGCCUGUGGCAGGCGAGUGAGCAAGCUGAUAUUGCUGUUGUAGAUAGCUGAAUCUUAUCAACAUUCUUCUUCCAUCUGAAUCUUGAGUGAGCAAGCCUAUGCCCUUAUCAACAUUCUUCUUCCAUGAAUCUGAAUCUUUCGGUCGAAGAUAUUGAUAGGAAUGCACAUAGGAGUAAUACGGUACUGCAUGUUCUAAAGGCAAAUAUUAAUUUUGUAAAGUACCUUAGCGAUUCUGCUUUUGCUAACUUUUUUACUGUCUCCACUGCACUCUGUUCCACAUAGUCGAAAUCAUUCUGCAUUUUGGCCCGAUUCUAACAAGACAAUCUAACUUCCAAGCUUUCAACUUUUCCCAAGGUCUCUGGCACAUUUUUAAGUUUGGAGCAACCACAGAGAUACAACGUUCUAAGAGAUCUCAAACCAUUUAUGGUACUUGGACGACUCUUGAGAUUUUUGCAAUCUUUCAAAUUCAACAAGACAUUGCCAGAAAGAAGUUCAAUAGAUGCUGGCAAUCCUCUUAUAGCAGUUCCUUCCAAAUGAAGCUCCAAGAGCUGAUCCCUGCUUGAAGUUUUCUCUGGGAACUCUCUGAAUUUCAAAGGGCUGGAGAGAUUCAAAGUUGAUAGAUAUUUUACAGCACUUAUUGUCCUUGGAAGACACUCAAGAUUUUUGCAGCCAUUCAGAGUCAACUGCGCAAGUCCAAAUAGAAGUUCAAUUGAUAAUGGCAGUUCUUUAAUAUCAGUUCCAUCCGAAAGAACUUCCCACAAUGUCUAGAAAUUCCUUCAAUUUCCAGCAACCAGAAAGAACACGUGUCUUAAGAGAUUUCAUAAAGAUCUUGCCUGGAAGAGUUGAAAGACUUGUACAACCUUUCAAAUUCAACAGAAUCAGCUUCUUUGAAGCAGAAAAAAUGAGUGAAUCUCCUGCAACCUUGUAAAUCUUUCAGAAAUCAGCUCCCCUAAAUUUGGUACUCUAGUGAAGUCUGAUUGGUCAUAUUAGAAAAGGCUUUAGCACUGACAUGCAUCUCUUUGAUGUUAAAGCGAUCAAAUAUGAUGCUUCAACUACAUCAGUUUCCUAAACACUAUAACAAAAAAUAAGUGGGAACAAAAAAAAAAUGAAACAAAGAAAAUAUUGAUAAAACUAUGCAAAGGUUUAACUAGUUAAAUAAGUGAUCAUGAUCCCAAAAUUGCAAGUUUUCAACCUAACUGAACAUUUACUUGUGCUUUGUGAUAAUACAUGGCAUAUAUCUGCUUUCUCCCACAAUCUAUUGCAGUUUCUAGGCUCCUGAUGGGAUUGCCUCCUAACAAUUUGUCUACCCCAUUUCUUGUAACUACUCAUGCAUCCACAGUCCGCUGAAAUCAUCUACAGUUAAUAGAGAUUUUUCAAUAGGACCAACAAUUUCAAUAAUUGGGUCAAAAUCACAAUAUUUGAGAAUUUUUGUCACAUAAUCUCUGUACUUCCCUUCAUAGAAACAUGCAAGAUCGAGAAAUAUUUUCUUCUCUGUUUCUUUUGACCCAUCAAAACUUAUUUGAAGUACAUCAAGAAUCUCAUUCUCAGGAUCUCCCUAUAGUCAUUGUAGUAUAAUUCUGAAAAUAUUUUCUUCUCUGCUUUGGAAAUUAAUGAUCUUCUUCUUCAUAUUUAUUCUGAAAAUUCAAAAACAUAAAUGAAAAUAAAGAGAACUGCAUGGCAUAAAACUUACAACUUUGAUUAUGUCGCAAGCAGCAUAGUAAUCAAAAUUUUUUAAAUAUCAACUACAUGUCAACGAUGCGGAAUUCCAAGGCAUCUUCUAUUAAACAAAAACAAAUAAUAAGAACCAACAGUUGUCAAUUCUUAUCAACAAAGUCUUCAAAUUGACAUUGUGAUCUGUUGUUUAACGAAAAAAAGGAAAAUCAAUUCCUAUGAACUAAGUCCUCGGACCAAAAUUAAACAUGGAGGUGGAGAAAAGAAAAAUCAAAAUCAAAUGUUGAAUCCUCUUGAUUGUUUCAUGGAUAAAUCUGAUCUAGAUCUGAGUCCAUAUUUAACAUAUUCAUCUACCCAUUUUCAGACAUACCAUGAAUUGUAAAUUAAGCCAAAGAUUCGCAAAAAGCAACAAAGAAACAAAAAACAGAUUCUAUGUUCAGCCACAAAUGGGCUAUUUCACAGCCAAGCACAAUGGUUAAGGAAGAUUGCUAGUAAACAAAUGAAGAAAAUUAAUUGCUUUUCACAGGUUCAAGAAUUAACACUAUUAUUGAUUGCUUCUCUAGUGGAAGAAAUAAUUUUGAAUAAAGCACAGCAUCAUUCCAACAAAUGUGACGAUAUUUUUUUCAUUCAUUCCAUGGCCGGACUCUGUUUUAUGUCUAAAACUCAAGAAAUUCUACAAUUCCUUCUUUCUACCACAUCAUUCACGAAACAACAAAUAAUCAAAUUCUGUCAUGUAUAUUUCUAUUUAGAAAUUUGCAAAAAGGUUAGCCGCUAGAAAAAGAAAAUAAUUGAUUAGAUAAACAUUGGGUUUGCACUGUGUUUGUGGUAAAAUUCUGUUAAAGACUAAAGACUCUCAGAAUCUGCUCACUAGCUAUGACUCAUGCAAGACAAACCUUCACGAAUUGACCUUGUUGAUUGAUUGCUUUUGCUUGGGAAACCAUAGAGUUGAUGCAACACAUCAGGUGGGAUGCACAUUCCUUCGUAGGCAUAUUAUCGAACACGUCCUAGGCACGAGAAUUAUACCAUAAUUCCUCAACAACUCCUCUCUUGAACCUGGCCUGCAAAUUCCAUAUAAUCAUUCCUUUGUCUAUUUAUCGUUUGUUCUGAGCCCAAAUCAAGCUGAGAUCGAUCAUAUUCAUAUUCAACAUAUGUGCACUAAGCAUAGUAACCUCAAUUCCGAGGUUCAAGUAUUUAAACCCAUAAAAAUUCACAGAGGAAAUGACAAGGAAGAGCGUGAGCUCAAUAAACACUCUAACUCUUCGCUCUACCACGGUUAACAAACUUGGACACGUCACUAACCCUUAACUGAUUUAUAACAGAUUUUUGAAUAAAUAGAAUGUAAAUGAAUUAUCAUGUGCAAAAUAACAUUUGAAUUUGAGAUGCGCGCGGUGAUAAAGUCAGAUAAUAGUAAAAAUAAAAUAGUCAAGAAUAAUAAAUUUAUAUUUUUUAUAUUAAUAAUAUAUUUAUAUUUAUUUUUAAAAUAUAAUAUCAAUUUUUGGCUUACUAUAGUCAAGAAUAUAAUAGUAAAAAUAAAAUAAAAUAAAAUAAAAAUUACACAAAAAAUAAAUAAGCAUGUCGAAAUUGUAAAAAGAAGUCAACUAUUAUGUGAUCACUUAAGUUAUAGUUACGUAUGAAUCAAAUUUCUACUUUAAUUGAUCUUGCACAAUUUUAUGUUAUCCUUUCUUUAAUGAAAAGAAAAUACCAUACCGAAAAUCCCAAAAUAUAUCAGAAAAUUUUACUUUCCACAUCCUGACGGGAGAGUGUACCUGAGCAAAUCUUAAAUAGAGAGGAUUUUUGUAAGUAAAUGAAUUCCAAUGAAGUACUUUGCUUUAAGAGAACUUAAGCUAAUCAGGGAAGUAUAUUUAUUUUAAGGAAAAGCAGAGGAUUUUUAUGAGUAAAUGCCUCUUAAAUUGAAAGAAAACAAAAGGAUUCAAGAGCCUACCUUUCUUGAUGAGUCCUGCAGUGGAAUGAUCGAAUGUUGGAUCACGUUAAUGGCCGAAAGAAAAUCACAAGUGGAAAACUUCCUUUUGAUCACAAUAUAAAUGCCUUCUUUCUUCAAUGGAUUGUUCAAUGUUCUCUUUUUUUCAGCAUAUGGAUAAGAGAAGAAGUUGAAGAAGCAAUUGUUUUUUUUUGUGUUGUUGGGGGAAAAAAUGUGUACUCACAUUGAGUUCCAACUCAACAAGUACCGAAAAAACUGUACAUAAAUAAUCAAAUUAGCAAAGAAGAGAACAUAAUCUCCCUCUAAUAUUGACUGAGUGAGUGAUUAGGAACACUUAAUCUAUCACAUCCAAAAAAAAAAAAGAAAAAGAAAAAAAGAAACACUUAAUACAUAAUAAUACUUAAUACAUAAUAAUGUAAGACAAACAUUCAUGGGAAGCAAUGUUGGAAUACAAAACUGCGAGAAAACUUAAUGCUUUGAGCGUGUUGGACGCACUGAAAGAUGAUGAAAAUUUACCUUGCCAAAGAUAAUUCCUCUUUAUAAAGGAGAAAUGUUCCAGUCCGGAAUUUUAAAGUGCGGGAAAGUGCAGGAAAUCUUUAAAACUGCAUGGUUUUAAAGGCUUAAACUGUAAGCCUUUAAAACCGUGCGGUUUUAAAGCUUUCCCGGACUUUCCCGCACUUUAAAAUUCAUGACCAGAAAACUACUACUUUAUAAAGAUCUUUUCAAUUUUGUUUGUUUCAAAGAAAUCAACGAGAGGAUUUCAUGCUUUCUAAUUAAUUCCUCCAAUAAAUGUAAUAAUAUAUACAUUGUAACAUAAUUUCAAUACUUAGAAAAUAUUUUAAUAUUUUACAAUCUAUUAGAUAUAUUUUAUUAUAUAACAUAAAAUUUUAUAAUAAAUAGAAUCAUAAUAUUAAAACAAGUGUAUUAAAAUUUAAAUUAUUUUGAAUAUUAUGGAAAAUAAUAAUAACAUUAGUAUGUGAGACUUUGUUAUUGUAAAAUAUAUUUAAUGCAAAUAUUUAUUUAAAAUAUCUAAAAUAAAUAAAUAUAUUAUUAAAUAAAUAUAACAAUUUAUAUAUUUAAAUUUAUUAAAAUAUUAAGUUAUUUUAAUAUUCUUAGUCUAUUGCGUAGAUUACAUUAUUUAUGUAAUAUUUCUAUUUAUUAAAAAUUUUAAAUUCAAUUUUUUAAAUGACAUAAUGGUCAAAAAGGGGUCUUAGUGUCCCUUUUUUAAAAGUUGUGGGUGUUGGUGACAAUUUCUUCAAAUUUAGGGGUUUACAUGUCCCUUUUCCUUAAAAGAAAGAAUAAUUAAAAAAAAAUGGGUAAAAGCUCGUUUAGUCCCUAUAUUUUGAAGUUAAUGUCCGUUUAGUCCCUAUAUUUUUAAAAAUACUUCAAAGCAUCCCUAUCAUUAAAUUAUUGACAUUCUUGCCAUUAUCUUUUGUUCAUUUUGACUUAUUUUUACAAUAUUACCCUAUUACAAUAAUGUUCCUUUUUUUAAACAUUAUUAAAAAGAAAAAUUAAAUUAUCAGUUUAACACUAAAAAAUAAAAUAAAAACAAUAUAUACAUUAAUUUUUGUGGAACACUCUGCUGAGAAGUUAAAAUAUUAAUUUUUAAAAAAAAUUGAUAUCUUAAUUUUUUACAAAAUUAAAUUUUUUUGGACACACAUGAGCUUCCACAAAAAUUAAUAUAUAUCUUUUUUGUUUUUUAUUUUAUUUUUGGGUUUAAUUUGAUAAUCCAAUUUUUUUAUUUAUAUCUAAAAAAGAAACAUUACUGUAAGAGUGUAAAAUUGUAAAAGCAUGCUAAAAAAAUAAAAAAUAAUGGCAUAAGUGUCAAUAUUUAAUAGUAAGGACGUUUUGAGGUAUUCUUAAAAAUAUAGGGAUUAAAUGGGCACUAAACUCAUAAUAUAGGACCAAACAAGCUUUUACCCAAAAAAAAAGUCUAAUGAGAAUAUUAGAGGGGUGGCAAUAAUCCAACUCCGUGAAAAAGAAUCAACAAGAAAAUAAUAAAAGAUAUUUUUGAAAUUAACUCACGCAUCCGUUAAAGAUCAAGACAAGAACUUAAGUCUUAGAAAAGCUUAGCUGUGAAGCUAGACCUCAACUUCAUGUGAAAUUUAAAGUAAAUUUUCACAAAUAAAAAGUAAAUGAAAUACCAUAUGCAAAUUUAAAGAACAUAAAUUGAAAUUGGGAUGCGUACUCUCACUGUUACACCAGGCCUUACCCUUCAUUUGAGUUGUUUAAAUCUUUUAGGUGGUUGUUCGUCAUCAUCAUCACAGCAGGCAGCAGCCACUGCCACUGGCUUCAGCUGCCACUGCAUUUUCUGCAAGGCUUCGCUUUGAUGUUGUGGCUACUUCCAUUUUUGAUCCAACAAAAUUAUGAUGGGAUUCAUUCAUAUUUGAACGUCAUAGUGAAUGCUUAGGGACAUGAAAAACAAAGCAAAUAGCAUAUCCCACAACCUUCUUUGUAUUAUACAAAUAUGAAGGCCUUGUGACUGUUUUUGAAGAACCCUCAUUCUGAUACAUGAACCACUUUGGAAUUUCACUUCCUGGAACAACGAUGUGCAAACGAUGGCUUGGAUCUGACAUUGCCUGCAACAAAUGGGCUAUUUCACAGCCAAGCAAGAAAACAAAUGAAGAAAAUUAAUUGCUUUCCACUGGUUCAAGAACUGACACCAUUAUUGAUUGCUUCUCUAUUAGAAGAAAUGAUUUUGAAAAAAGCAGAGCAUCAUUAAAACAAACGUGAUGAUAUUUUUUCAGUCAAUAUUAAAUUAAUAUUUUAUUGAAUUUUCUACGUGAAAAAAAAAAAAUUGUGGCAAUAGAUGUAUCAUAAAGUUGCAGCAUAAUUGACUUUAUUGAUUAACUGGGAAAUCAUAAAGUUGAUUUUGUUGACUGUUUGAUUCUGAUUGCUUAGGAAAUCACAAAGUUACAGCAACAGAUGCAUCAUGUCGUUGCUCUCCAACAGGUUAAAAAUUUAUUUAGUCCUUAUAUUAUGAGGUUAGUGUUCAUUUAGUUCUUAUAUUUUUAAAAAUACCUCAAAACGUCCCUGAUGUUAAAUAUUGGCCCUCUUGCCAUUAUUUUUAUUAUUAUUUUAGCUUGUUUUUACAAUAUUACACUUAGUAAUAUUUCUUUUUUGGAUAUUAAUAAAAAAUUAAACUAUCAAAUUGAACCCAAAAAUAAAAUAAGACAAAAAAGAUAUCUAUUAAUUUUUGUUAAAGCUCACGUAUGUCCAAAAAAAUUAAUAUUGUAAAAAAUUAAAUUAUCAAUUUUUUAGAAAAAUUAAUAUUUUAACUCCUCAGCAAAGUGUUCUACAAAAAUUAAUGUAUUUUUUGUUUUUAUUUUAUUUUUUGUGCUAAACUAGUAAUUUAAUUUUUUUUAAUAAUGUCUAAAAAAAGAAACAUUAUUGUAAUAUGAUAAUAUUGUAAAAACAAGUAAAAAGGAACAAAAGGAAGUGGUAAGGGUGUCAAUAAUUUAAUAGAAAGGAUGCUUUGAUGUAUUUUUAAAAAUAUAGGGACUAAACGGACACUAACUUCAAAAUUUAGGUACUAAACAAGAUUUUACCCCUCUCCAACAUACCAGGUGGAUGCAUUCCUUCUUGGGUAUUUUAUCAAACAUGUUCUGGGCAUGCUCUUGACCUGCAAUUCUAUAUUAAAAGACGAACGAGGCCGGCCCUGGGUCAAUUGUUUUAAAGUUUUUUAUUUUGUGAUCAAUUACUUUUAAAUAAAUCCAAAAUAAAAAUUCAUUUUUUUAUUAUUUAGUCUAAUAAUAGCAAUCUGAUUUCCUCUCUGUAAUUUUUAUUUUAGGAUGCCAUCUAGUUGAGAUACUAUACUUAUUAUGUUGAAAACAAGAUAUUCGGAAUUCUAAAAUAAAAAUUACUUUUUUUUGUUUAUUUAUUCUAAUGUUAUGUUUGUACUUAUUUUAAAAUUUAAAAUCAAUUUUAAUAUUACUAUAAUUAAAAGGUAUAAUAGCCAAAAAAAGAUAUUAUAAUGGAAAAAGGAUAUCUACACCCCCAAAGUUUAGAGAAAUAAUCAUUGACAGCCACACAUUUUUAAAAUGGAACACCAAGACCAUCUUUUAACAAUAAUACCCUUUAACCUCUAUUAUCCAAAAAACAAUCAACUCUAAUGUUUUAUAAUAAAUAGAAAUAUAACAUUAAAAUAAAUGUAAUAAUGUAUAUGUUGUAAAUUAAUUUCAAUACUUCAAAAAUAUUUUAAUAUUUUGCAAUCUAUUAGAUAUAUUUUAGUAUAUAAAAUUAAAUUUUAUAAUAAAUAGAAUCAUAAUGUUAAAACAAGUGUAUUAAAAUUUAAAUUAUCUUGAAUAUUAUGUAAAAUAGUAAUAACAUUAGUAUGUGAGUUUUUUUAUUGUAAAAUAUAUUUAAUGCAAAUAUUUAUUUAAAAUAUCUAAAAUAAAUAAAUAAAUAUUAUUAAAUAAAUAUAACAAUUUAUAUAUUUAAAUGUAUUAAAAUAUUAAACUAUUUUAAUAUUCUUAGUCUAUUGCGUAGAUUACAUUAUUUAUAUAAUAUUUCUAUUUUUAAAUGGUCAAAAAGGGGUCUUGGUGUCUUUUUUUAAAAAAAGUUGGGGGUGUUGGUGAACAUUUCCUCAAAUCUGGGGGGUGUGGAUGUCGUUUUUCCUAUUAUAAUUGCUAUAUUAGAAUGAGAGAAAUAAAAAACCAACAAGUACAUAUUAAUGAUACGAAAGUUUUCAGAUUACAUAAUUCAAAUGAAUAUAUAGUUUAUCAAGAAAUCAAAAAUCCAAGUUGGAUUGCAAUUUCAAUUAGCUAAUAGCGAAACAUGAACAUAAUACUAAGCAUGAGUAUAAAAGGGCUUUGCUCUUUAUUAGAUUUCUUAAAUUCUUGUAGCAUGAGGUUCUUCAUCAUCAGUAAGGCUUCGCUCAAAAAGAAAAAAAGAAAAAAUCAAAACACAAACACAAUAUCUAGAGAUGUUUAGAGAGAAAAUUGCAAGCAACAGAAUGGGCAUCAUACAAUAUACCUCAUCGGUCAUCAGCUUAUUAUGGGUUUGUAAUAAUUUCCCGCCCUUUCUAACCGAUUUAACAGCUACAUGCUGACACUAAUGCUCUUCAAAACGACAGUAUUUUCAGGUCGUUUGAUCAUUAUGUAUAAGUGAGUGCACGUGACCAACGCGUGCACUCACUUACUAAGUUUAGACGACUUGAGCCAGACGUCGUACACGAGUCCUCUAGGAGUAAUCGAGAGAUCGUAUGCAAAGAAACAUCAAUUCAUACUAUCAUUUAUUAUUCAGCCCACAUUGCGUCUGGUCUGGGAAUUAGAUUCUGGUUCAUUCUUGAACAAUAGGCAUAAGUGGCAACUAUCACUUGGGAUUUCUCCUCCUUCCACUGGUAGAUUACAGUCACUGAGAUCCCAUUUUGUUAAAGAACAUAAGCCUGAUAGAGAAGGUAACAUCAAAUUAGUCAUGGGAUCUAAACUCCUUCACAUCAUAUUGGUAGGGAAGCACAAAUCCCAUGAUGUAGAUGAUAGUGGUCCACUGGUUUAAGAUUCUUCAAGAUAGAAACAGACGUCGGAAGUUGCCUAAUUGCUGUUCCACUAAUAUCAAGCUCUUCCAAGCUAUCUACUUUCCCCAAGUUCUCUGGCACAUUUUCAAGUGUGGAGCAGCCAGAGAGAUUCAGAAUUUUAAGAGAUUUCAAACCACUGAUGGGACUUAGAAGACACUCGAGAUUUUGCCAAUCUUUAAAAUUCAACACAACAAGGCCAGUUAGAUAUUCAACUGACAAUGGCAAUUCUCGAAUAGCAGUUCCAUCUAAAAUGAGCAUAGUUAGAGAUUUUAAACUUCCCCAAAACUUUUCCAGCUUCGAGCAACCAGAGAGCGUUAGAGUUCUUAAACAUUUUAAUCUACUUAUAGUAAUUGGAAGACUCAAGAGAUAUUUACAACCUUUUAAAUUUUGCAAAAAAUGCCAGAGAGAUAUUCAAUUGACAUUGGCAAUCCUCUUAUAGCGGUUCCCAACAAUCGAAGCGCCAACAGAUGUUCCAUACGUCCCAUGAUCUCUGGAAACAAUCUGAAUUUCAAAAGGCCAGAGAAAUUCAAAGUGGAAGGAAAUUUUAGAGCACUUAUGAAAUUUGGAAGACACUCAAUAUUUUUACAACCUUUCAAAUUCAACUAAACAAUUCCAGAUAAAAGUACAAUUGAUAAUAGUAGUCCCUUAAUAUCAGUUCCAUCCAAAAGAAGCUGCCGCAAAAACUUCAUAUUUCCCACAAUCUCUGGAAAUUUCUUCAACUUUGAGCAACCAGAAAGUACCAAUGUUUUUGGAGAUUUCAUAAAAAUUAACCUUAAGUUCUGAAAAGUCAUAUACCAUGCAUUCGACUACUUCAGUUCCUUACAAAUCAUAAAAGCAGAUGAUAAGUGCAGACUAGGAUGUGAAGAUGUCCAUAAAAUUAUUUAUGCAUAGAUUUAAAGCAUAGAAUGUCAAGCAAAACAAAUGUUUGAUAGAAUGAGCAAUAUGCUCAAUGAAAUGCCUCUAUGAGUCAAGCAUGUCAGAUGACUCAUAAGAGUGAUUCAGCAAGAGAUGAGAAUAAUUUGGAAUAGUCAUGAAGAUAAGAUCAAAGAUUGAAUUAAGCAAAUGUGGGCAGACCUUUCUCAGGGCACAAAGUCGUUUCCUUCGUAUCAAUGUAACGAUGACCAAAGGAUCUCCUUAAAAGCCUACAUUGUGAAAUUGAUAGCUUGGGCAAAGGAAAACAUUUUGUACGUGUAUCAUUAAAAAAAUGAAUAAAAUGUAGGCUGCAUUACAGAAUAUGUUUUACUUUGCAUUAUAUAAUGAUAGCAAUUUUAUACUUCAUUUCUUGACUUUUAGAAUCACGAACUCAAAAUACAUGCAUUGCACUUUGUCACUUACCCUUUUUUUUGUUAACACAUGAUGUACAUCUGUUAUGUUCCACAAUCUGCUGCUGUUGUUCAGCUAAUGUUCUUACAACAUUAGCUGAUUGGUUUACAACACUUUCGACAGCUACACAUAUCCUUUCCCUGGCUGAUUGGUUUUGAAGGCUUUCAUACAAAGAAGUCCAAGAGCUUCAUCAUAGUAUAGUUGCUUAAGGACCAACAAUUCGUCCACUCUAUGUGUUGUCAACGAUGCUUAUCUCUAGAUGUUAUGAUGAUCCUGCUGCCUGAACUUUCUAGCUAACCUUUUUGUGUCGUAGCCCACUUCGAAUUAUGUUGAUAACAUUAUAUACAUUCCAUUUUGUUAGGAAAUCUGACCUCUUUUUUCUGAGGUUUAUCUAACGUUGGCAAGAAAACUACUUACUUCAAAUUCAUGAUAGAUCAAGUUAUAAACAACCUUUGCAAGAGCUGCCUUACCUAUACCUCCGAUAUCACAGAUCCCUAUCAUACGAAUAUCAUUAGGCCCUUUAUCCAUUAGAAUCGUUAGCUUCUCCAAGUGUGAAUCCAUUCCUACUAGCUCUUUAAGAGUCUCUGAUUUUAAAGGAAUUUUGCUUGAUAUCUCAUUGACAAUCUCCAUAAUAAAGUCUGAUUCAUUCCUGCGGGUUGAGUAGAACAAGAAAAGAUUUGUGUUGGUGAGCUAAAGCUAGUGUGAGCGUAACGUAGUGUCAAAAAAUUAGAUAAUAUAGAUCUACAAAACGGAAGUGAUAAAGUCAUAACUUGUGUUUGAUUAAUCUCUAGGUUAUUCUUCAUGUAACUCUUCUCUAAUUUCGUCUAUAACUCUUCGUAUGUAGAUAUUCAUUGAUCAAGUUAUUAUUUCAAUUAAAUCCUAUGAUUUUAACAAAUUCUUAUACAUUUAUUCUAUUGUCUCUCCCUGUUCUUAUGCCUAAAACUUGAUAAAUUCUAGAAUCCCUCUGCUCUACCACAUCAUUCACCCAACAACAUAGUAUAAAAUCUUGUCAUGUAAAGUUUAUUGGAAAAUUGUAGGUAAGUUGGUUGUUUCAAUAACGAGAUGAAUAUGAACGCUAUUUUGGUAAAAUCUUAUUGUUGAUACAAAUAUGCACAUGCACAUGCACACACUGAACAUGAAACUAGUAAAUAAAUAUACUGAAUAAAUAUUGGCAGUUUUUUAAUAGUGGAGAAAUCCAGACAUCUUCUCACUUAUUAUGAUUCAUGCAGAACAAACAAAAAUUAGUUGAUCCACAUCUUAGAAAAUUAAUCAUUGAGAAUAAGAAUGAUUACCUAUCUUUCAAUUCCUAGCCAAAGAUAUUAGCCACCUCUUGCAGAGCGCCUCUCCAUUUUUGCACCUUUUCUAUAUUCUCCUUCAAGAACUUCUUCAUGAUUAGCAAUCGCUUCUUGAAAACUUCCUAUAUGUUUCCUUACCACUGUUGGUUCAACAUCAUAGAAAAUUGGAAAAACCAAUUGUUGGCGAACAUGACGUGUUCUUCCAUUCAACAAUCUUAACAAGUUCAUCCAAGCACCAAGUUGAAGAAGCACAGUUUCUUGAGAAGACAAUAACUGAAAUUCUUGAUUCUUCAAUUACUUUAGACAGUGUUGGUGAAAUGGAUAUUCCCCUUUCACGUUCUUUUUCAUCACUGAAUACAUUAAUUCCAGUUUUAUUCAAAGUGGACUAGAGGUGAUCUGAAAAGUUCUUGCAGUGCGGGUGUCUUGUCUUCACCUCUGAAGCUCAAGCAGACAUGGUAGUUCCUGGGAUGCUCAUGAUGCAAGCAAUUGACUCCACAACCUCUUAUUGCAAUAAGUAACUGGCUGUUAAAUAAUCGUACUUCAGCAAACGAAAAUAAAAUACCAGCAAGUAAAUUGAAACAGUGGAAAACACCCAGAGUAUACCAGUAAAGUGGCAACAGUUUUGGUUCUUGGCAACAAGAGAAAAAAAAAAUUCUCAUUCAACUGCUUUAAUUGAAUUUCUUAUGUGAAUAAAUUGUAGCAACAGAUGUAUCGUCUCAUUGUUCAACAUAUCAGGUGGGAUGCAUUCCUUCUUGGGCAUUUUAUCGAACAUAAUUUCUCAAAAAUUCCUUCCUUAAACUUAGCUUGCAAUUCCAUAUAAGGUGAGAUCGAUCAUCUACAUAUUUGUUUUUCAUCCUUCCAAUGCUUGAAUUUCUUCGAAAAUCCCUGCGAUAUAAUUUACUUGAUCUAGGUUGUUCUAACUUUUUUUCCUUUUUUUUUUUUGAUGAAUCCUCACCAAAGUGAGGAGGUUUUAUUAAAAUAAAAUAAAAAUAUAGCAAGAAAACCAGCCAAACUAAAAUUACAAAAGCUAGCUGAACAGAUAGCUAGGCAGCCUAAAAACAUCCUCAUGCAAAAGAGAAGCAACAUGAAGGGUGCAGAGUCCCACCAAGUAAAGGAAUCCACCAUGGCACCUAAAUUGCUCAAACAAUCAGCUACCCUAUCAGCCUCCCUGAAGACACGAGAAAAGCGCAACGUCAUGGAAUCCAUGAGAGCAAAACAAUUAUUCCAUCGAUGAAUAAGAAACCAUGGGUGGAAGCCGCUUGUUACAAAGAUGAAGCACAGUUAAAGCAGAUUCACAUUUGAUCCAUGACGUAGUCCAACAUUCAAAAGAAGCAUGCUCAAUCGCCAAGAUAACAGCAAACAGUUCAGCAACAAAAGCCGUUUCAACAUGUAAUGGACAAGAGAAAUCCCCCAGAAAUUCUCCCUCACAGUUUCUGAACACAGCCCCACAAGCGAAAACAUGCAAAGAACCUUCAGCGAUUUUUGACUAUAAACGUAAGCAGAUUUUUAAUUUUAAUAUACGCAUUAAUGAUUUAACUAAUUUUAUGUAUGUAUUUAUAUUUUUAAUUUUUUCUCAUUCCUUUUUAUGUAAGAGUGAGUUGAGGCUCGACCCCAAUUCGGCCUUUAAACUAAGACCUUGUUCCUUAUACAUGGGCCCAAAUGGGCUUGGGUCAUUUAUUUCAAGAGUAGCCUUUUGACAUCCCUUAAAAUUUCUUAUAAAACUCAUUUUCUAUUAAAACUACUUGAAUAACUAUAAAUAAAUAAUUUUUUUUAAAUUUUAAAUGGGAUUUCAAUUAAACACUUAAAUAAAUUAAGGUUUUAAUAAAUAAUUUACACCCACAUCAUUUCAUAAUUUAUAUCUAUAUUUAUGAGAAGAUAUUUAAUUUUAAUAAAUGAGUUUAUAUUUUAUAAAUUAAAUAAGAAGUAUUUUUGGAAAUAAAAUUCAAUAAGUGGUGUUGUCUAUUAUGUUUCAGAUAGAUCACCAAAACUAUUGGUGUGUUAAAACUUCACUUACUUUCAAAUCUUAUUGAAGACAAUAUGAAUUUGAUCCAACUUAAUGCUAGUUAAUAUGUUGGUUUAAUGCCUAUGUUGGGGGUGUCAAUGCCUUUGCAUUCAACCAUUUCAACUAUAGACAAUAGAUCUAUGCUGUAUUUUCUUUGUGAUAAAUAUACACAAUGUGCGUCUUGCAACACUUUAAUUCCAAGGAAAUAAGAUAAUAUUCCUAGGUCUUUUAAGGCAAAUGCUUUCCUAAACUGAAUUAUAAAACUUUUUAACUUUAUAGUACUUGGACUUGUAAUGAGUGUUUCUUCUUAUGAAAAGAGAGGUAUCCAAAUUAGUAUUAAUAAAACCCUAAUGGAAUAAACAGCUUUUUAGCUUAUCAAACUAAGCUCUAGGAACUUGUUUGAGUCUCUAUAGACAUUUGUACAAUUUGCACACAAACUCAGGUUUCUCAGCAUUAAUAAAGCCUUUCGGCUGACGCAUGAAUACUUCCCUAGUUAACUCUCCAUUAAAAAAGGCAUUGUUAACAUUAAUUGCCUUAUUUUCCAUUAGUUCAUCACUCCUAGGCUCAGUACCACUCUAAUAAUAGCUAAUUUAACCACUUGACUGAAUGUGUUAAAGUAAUUCACCCCUGCCACUUGCUAAAAUCCUUUAGCAAUAAGCCUGGAUUUAUACUUAGCUACAUUUCCAUCUUUGUUAUACUUGAUCCUUUACACCCAUUUAUUGUCAGCAACAUGAUGACCAGCUUGUCUUGGAAUUAAUGUCCAUGUAUUAUUCUUAACCAAAGCAUUAUAUUCUUCUUUCAUAGCUUGCAGCCCUCUGGAGUCAUCUAAUGCCUCUUGUACAUUAUCAGGUUCUUUAUGAAUGAGAGCAACAGUUGUUGUAUCUUUUUUUUUUGUUUUGUUUAUUCAAUAACAAAAAAACUGAUGUUAGAGCAUCUUCCAGGAAAUUAUAUACGAAAACGGAAACAUAAGUACAAUCAUAUUAUAUUCUUAAAUUAUGUCUACGAAUACAAAGUAAAUUAAAAUAAGAUUAGUGAAAUAAUAAAAAUGUAAAUAUUAAUGAUAGAUAAAAAAAAAUAGCAUAUGAUAGUAAUGCCUUACUAAACAAUAUUAUAGUAGAUGGCAAGUCUAGCUAUUUGAAGAGAACUUUAAAACCAUAGGCAUCUAAAAAAUUACCGAAAAUAAACUUUAUUAUACGCUAAUUAUUCCGUGCCAUUUUCCUGAGCACUUUUGUAUAUUUUAGAAAUGCAUACUUAAACAAUCUGAUCAAGUAUGAAAGCAUUUUCGAUUCAUGGAAGGUAACAACUUUGAAGAUGAUAUUUUGGUUUUGUGGUAAUUUAACAUAUAUGAAAUAAAAAUUGCCAACUGAAAUUGAUGAUGCAUGCUUACUGAAAUAUUCAGAGAAUAGUAAGCAGGCUUCUCCCUUUAUUUGAGUUUACUAAAUGGAUUCUUGAGGUUGUGGUUCCUGAUCACCUCAACAUAUGCAGUAAGGCUUCGCCUUGACGUUGUUGCUACAACCAUCUUUGAUGCAAAAAAAUUUGAGGGGAUGCAUUCAUAUUAUAAUUGGUAAAGCGAUUCCAUUGGAUUGUAGUUUUGUCAAACUCCUCCAUAUAAACUAGUGGAUAUCACACCUCUCACCUCCGAUCCUGGCAAGAACACACCCCUGAGAAGUUACAGAAUUUAUGAUUACAGUCCACAAAGCAUUUGUACUUUUCAUGGGAAUGAAUGGAAAAAAUAUUAUCUAUUUAUUACAGUCCACCGCAUGGUUUUAAAGUUUUUCCGGACUUUCCCACACUUUAAAAUUCUGGAUCAGAAAACUACCCUAUUUGGCAAUGACACAGUCCACAAAGCAUUUAUACUUUUCUUUGGCUACUAACACAUGAUAGAUUGAAAACGAAAACGAAGCUAAUGAGGAGGCAUAUUCCAAUAGGCAUUAUAUAUGAUCAUUAUGUUUUUUCGGUGAAGGAUAUGUUGCAUGUUCUUAGGGAUUGGAUCGUGGAAAAAAGACUUUGGAACCGAUUCCUCCCUGUGGCACAAUGCCAUCAAUUCUUUUCUCUUAAUCUAAAGGAAUUGACUUGUCAAAAUCUAUUGAGUAAAAGGCUGUUGGGUUCAAAUUUGAAGUGGAGUACUUUAUUUAGAGUACUUUGUUUGGAACUUUGCAAGUUCGUUAGUGAACAUCAAGCUUGCUUGGCAUUGUUAAAGUUUUGGAAAUAUGAUGGGUGACCUUCAAGUAGUUGGAAGAGUUAAAAAGCUCGACAAGAAAAAUUACAAUACGUGGGCAACAUUGAUGGAGUCUUGCUUACAAGGUCAAGAUCUCUAGGAGAUUGUUUGUGGUAACAAUAUGAGACCACUAACUGAGGAUGCCGCUUUAAAGAAGUGAAGCAUUAUAGCUGGAAGGCCAUGUUCGCCAUCAAGACUACAAUUGAAGAAGAAAUGCUGCAACACAUAAAAAAGGUUAAAAUACCUAAGAAAACUUGGGAUACUUCUACAAUGAGUUUUUCAAAGAAGAAUAACAUAUGGCUACAACUUUUGAAAAAUGAGCUACUAUCAAUUUUAUAAUGAAACAUGAUGAUUGACGAGUACUUAAACAAGUUAAAAUUCCGAUACCAUAAAAUUUCUAGGUUAGAUUCUACUGCUGUAAUUUCUAAAUUUAGAAUAAAGAGAAUUAUUGUCAAUGGUUUGAGGCUUAAGCUUAAGAGCUUUGUUACAACUAUCUAAGGUUGUCCAACUCAACCAACCAUUGAGAAUUUUGAAAACUUACUUACUGAUCAAGAAGUAAUUGACAAGCAAUUGAGUGGGGCCUUAGUAAUGGAUGAUGAGGAAAUGUUAUUUAUUGAUAACCCUACUAGAAAAAUGACUUUUACUAAUAUUAAGUUGCUGAUACUAAAUAAAAAAUAUCAAUAUUUGAUGACUUAAUUAACUUUUAGUGUGUUUUACAUAUUAAUGCCGGUGGUUAUUAAUAAUAUAGUAUCAUAAACUCUUACUGAUACUAAGAUAUAUAUUUUUAAUUUUAAUUUUAAUUUUUCUUAUUUCACACGACGUGGUUUUACUUUUAAAAUUAGGGUAUCUUAAAUUCUAACACUUGAGAAAUUUUUUGGCCUUAACGAAAGUACUAUUCCCUCUUCAUCUUGCCUCUCUCCCAAAUCCUUCCUACUCAUUUGAAGAAACCCUAAAUUGAAACAAAGCAAAUCACCCAGCCUUUUCAGUCUUAACAAAACAAUUACUCUCAGUCUCCCAACAAAGUAAAAUCAUCCUAGUUUUACUUUAUGAAGCGUAUGGGUCUUGAUUCUUCGGUCACCACCGAAGACAACCAAAGGAUAAAAAAAGUCAAACAAGAUGAGGAGGAAUAAGAAAGAGGAAGAGCAAGUCAAAGAAACUAGCUUCACAAAUCUAUAUGAGAACUCCCUGUUCGAGGUGUUGAAACACGCGGACACCAGGACUUCGUUGCAGGCGGCCUUGCGUCAACAAGCUAUGGCACAAGACACUCAAAAUGAGCACCUUUGGAAGUUAAUUUGCACCCACCACUUCGCUAACGUUGGGUGCGCUACCCAACAGCUCAGAUCUGUAGUCCUGGCUCUUGGUGGCUCCCGUCGCCUUCACUCCCUCUAUCUCGGUGGCUCCCGUCGCUUUCUCUCUCUGCCAUUCUUUCUCUCACAGUCGAAACCAAAACUCAAAUCCCUAACUCCCCAGCCACAAAACCUCUCAUUUGCCUCAAAACAAAACAAAAUCAAUCUGUACUCCUCUCUGAUUAUUCGAAAGUUAGAAGCACCUUCAAUAGUUCUCUCUGAAAAGCCAUUCACCUUAAAUAGUUCUUUCUAAUUUUCUCUUAAUUUCGACUGUGAUUUUAUUGUUUCUAUAGCUGUAGUUUGAUUAAUUUUGAUAAAUUUUGCUUGAUUUGAUGGAAAGCAUGAUUUAUUACAUGUCUGCUUGAGAUAAGCCGGUUAGUAAUUUUUUUAAAAAUAAUUAUAUGUAAUAUUUGUUUUGAUUCGCAUAUCGUAAACACGAUGUUAUUGUCUACUAACUAAUUAUAGACUUCGAUUUACAUUCACCUAAAUAGGAUAUGAUUAUGUAUCCUUUUUUUUUUUUUUGGCUGUUUGCUGAUUGUGUUAUUUAUAGUGUUGUUAUUGGCGGUUUAUAUGGUGAGUAGGGCAGUAUUUUAAUUGAAACAAUUAAAGAUAUGGGGAAUUAUUAGGUAGAAAGUGGCUGCAGGAGGAGGUUCUUCUAUUUCAGUGUGCCUAAAUAGUAUUCAUUUUGCCCCCUUUUUUUUUUUACUGCUGACUAUUGUUCCUUGUGAAUGCGUUUCUAAUCCAGAGACUUCGCCCUGUGGUAUCCACUUUGAGAAACUACUCAUCUGCAACUAAACAGGUAAUUGUGCCUUUUAUAACUUAUUACUUGUAAUGCACUGAUUUUGGCUGUAUGAUGAUUGUAUUCUUCUAUAUGUAUAGGCUUUUAUUAUUAUUAUUAGUGAAUCAGCUGAAUGCUUAAGAAAUUCUAAUACUAAUAGUUAUGUUCUUCAUUAUACUUACUAUGUAUGGAUUUUGAUGCAUUUUAAGAAGAAUAUGAAAUUAAAUAUUUGACUGUAGGGACAACAAAUAUGUUCGAGCUUUUAUUAGUAUAAUAGUAUGUGAAUUAAAAAUAUUAUAAUUUGAACAAACUCCGAAGCUUUGAAACUAUGCACUUUCAUGUUGCUAUUUGUGACAGUGGAUUUUGAUUGCUCUUUGUUAGCGACUCGCUUUUACUUGUUUGAUAAUGUUUAUAAUUCGUCCAUCUCAUUAUACUUGAAAGUUGGUGAUUCUAUGUAAUUUAUAAAUCCAACCGGUAUCUUUUUAUUUAAAUCGGUAGGCCAGAAGCAAAGCAAUCUUUUUAUGCAUUGGCUGUAUUAGUAAAUCACAUAGAUAAAAUCACAGGGUUUAUAUUGUUAUUUAUUUCUUUUCUGUUUGCAGGAAAAUUCCAAGGGAUUUGACAGAGGCAUCACUAUCUGGUGCAGGAUUAUCCAUAAUAGCAGCCCUUUCUAUGUUGUUUUUAUUUGGAAUGGUAGGUUGCCGCUUGCAUAGUUGUGCCUCUUUUGUCGGAUAUCAUGGGUGCAUUUUGCAUAUUCAGUGUAUAUUAUCGUCCACCUGGAUUGUUUGUGUAACAUGAUGCUUUCAUGGAGUUCUAUUUGGCUUUUCAUUGUUUCUAGAACAGAUUAAAUUUAACAAAAACUAUUCGCAAUUUUUCUAUAGGACCUGAUUUAAGACCCACUGGUUCUGAAUUCCACUCAAUGCUUGUUAUACAUUCGCUUAAGCAUGGAGAGGAAGCUGAUGAUGAUUCUGUUGAAGGUUCUCAUACGCUACCUGCCAAUAAUUUUGAUAGUUAUUCACACGAGUAAGUGAGCCUUCUCUGAACCACAACUUAUAAUUUUUAUUUUCAAUUCUGUGAUCACAAUAUUUCUCUGCUAUGUGGCAAUUGCAAUGAUGCCUUCUUUGAUUUGUAUUAUAUUUCCUUUCCAGGUAUCCUAUUUUAGCUGUCAAUUUUUAUGAUCCAUGGUGCUACUGGAGUAAAUGCCUGGUAUUUUUAUUUUCACCUUUUGUUUCUCAAAUUUUGUCUUGUUGCUUUUUGAUCAUUGUUGUCUAGAUUUACCUUAUUGGAUCUAUUCUUUCUCAUGUUUGUGUUGAUGUAAUUGCCAGAUAUAAUAUUUUAAAUUUAUUCACUUGGAUGUCAUGUUUGUGCCUGCUCAUAUGCACACAUUGCUCUGUUUGUCCACUGACAGUUGCACAUAAAUUCCUUCAUUACUUUGGUUAACUCCAUUGGUCUCUGUGUUUGUGUUGAACUUUCCAUGCCUGUUAUACAACCAAGCAUGGGUUUUCUUUUGUUUGUAUGACUGUAUUGUUAGACUUCCUCUCAUGAUGUUGUUAAUAAUUUCUCCUCUUUUUCUUGGACAACGGUUAAAAUAAUUUUUAUUGUUAAUAUAAUAUGCUUGUCUUGCAUGCAUUUAUAUGCCAUUAGGAAACUAUGUAGAUUUCAGCAUGUAAAUUUUAUCAGUUUUUUUAUUGUGCAUGUCUUGAAUGGUGCAGGAUGACUUACAAUAAACCAAAGCAUGUAUGUGGGUCAAAACUAAAUAAUCAGAGCAAAUGUCAAAUUGGAACAUGGAAACAAUAAUAAGCAUGUAUGUGUUGGAAGAUUGUGCUGUUACUAUAUAUCAGAUUAUAAAUUAUUUGUAGUUGGUAAACAAGGUAAUAAGUUUCAAACAAUGUAAUAAUUUUUAAAUUGUUCAUUGCAAUGUAAUAGUUUUCAUAUUGAUGAAUGUAAAUUUCAAUUCAAAUGCCAAUUGCAAAUGUUCAAUUUCUAUUAUAUGGAUUUCUAAUUUUUUUUAAUUUUUUCGCAAAUAAACAUUGAUACCAAAGUAUCGUUAUAUUUAUUAUGCUUUUGUAUCAUUAUUUGUUUGAUAACAUAGUCUCGUUAUAUAUGUGAUGUUCAAGCAUCAAUAUUUUUUUGAUACUACGGUGACAUAGAUUCGUUGAUACAAAAAACUCGUGUCAAUAAGUUUCUUGCACCGUAUUCAGUGACACUAAAUUCGGUGUAGUAAAACAAGUUCUUGAUACUAAAAUAGUAUCAAAGAAGGCUAUUUUUUUACUAGUGUAAAAAGAGACAUCGAUUCAGACAAUAUAGCGAUAAAGUAAUGUAGGAAGCAUAUUAGAUAAAAUAAAUUAGAAUUUAUUAGGAAUUAUAAUAUUUGGGUAUUUAGUAUUUUAUUAGAGUUUAUCUUAUUUUUUAAACUUAUUCGAUCAUGUUUGGAAUUUUAAUCUAAUUAGCAUUUUAAAUUAUUUAUUUUAUUUAUGAAGGAUUAAGAUUAAGUUGGCUACUUAGUAUAUAUAGGCUUCUUACUAAUAGUUCUUUAUAACAUACAUAAGCUUAUCAUCAAUAAUAUUUAAUAUUUCUUAAUUGAGAUAUUUUCUUCUUCAUAAGAGCCUUUUUUCUUGAAUUUUCAGAAACGUAUGUUAUAAUGAAAUUUAGUAUCGCUUCUGCGAUGCGUCAAGUGGUGUCAGAGUCUUUCUUUGUAUUAGGCAGAGCUUUCCUGACCAUCAACCAUUCCCCAUACACAAAUCCUCCCUCCAUCAUCCAUUGUUUUCAUUAAAAAAAAAAAAAAAGAAGAAGAAGAAGAAAAAGUUAGAAAAAUAGCAAAACCCGAAGCCACCUCACGUCCAUCGUCUGCAGCUGCUACCUCUGUCAUUCUUCACCUUUUUCAUGCUUUAAUAAAAUUUAACAUAAUGCUCACUAUUUUGUAUAUUAUUAAGGACCAUUGAAUGAUUAAUCAUGAAGUGUAUAUUAUUUUUCACAUCAAUUUAGCACAACCUAUACCAUGAAAUUAUGGAUUAUGUUACAGUGAAUACUUUUAUAUGGUAGGAAUAUAAGUUUAAGUUUUACAAGCCUAUUUUCAUUUAAUUUUCCAAUAUCACUUUGUUGAUUUCGUAAAGUUGAAAUUAACAUAAAUUCUUAAUUAGCUAUAUAGUUUAUGAAUCAUGAAAGAUUGUUUUGUUGAUAUUCAUUGAUUGUGGUUACAAAAUUUUAUGUCACUAAGAGGCUGAUUGCAUUUAUGAUGGUAAUUAAUAUAAUAAGUAAAUAUUAACUCCAAUAAUAUUCAUGAAAUAUUAUCUAUUUAUUUUAUAUUCUCGUUAUAAAAGCAUGGUUUUGGAUAUUUUAACUUAAAUUUUGACACAAAAAAUGAGCCAUUAAUCUCUCACAAUCUAAUGGUUAAUGUUAAAAGUCAAUCACCCUAAGAUUAAAUAAAUACUUUUAGGUUGAUCAAGUUCUUAACCAGCCAUAUGUUACUUUGACAUGGUCAAAAAUUUUUCUUGGUGUUUGUAUUUGCCAAGAUUACAUAAUACAUUUUCUUCUUGGCACAAGAAAUUUAAGCAUAUUUAUCUAGGCAGAAUCCAGAAGAAAUAUACUUAUAUUGAUUCUAUUAGUGACUCUCACAUAUUCAAAUAUGUAAAAAGAUAAGUAGUUAUAGCAAGAGAUUUUAUUUUAAUUGUUAAUCCUGACGUGAUAAUCAAAUCCAAUACCAAAUACUUUCAUUAAUUUUCUAUCUCUCUUAAAAUAUUUGAGUCCAAAAAUCCGCAAAAUGUUGAAUGUUAUUUACAAGUCUUAACAUAAUGUUUUUGAUCUGGCUAAUUAAUUAAGACUUAAGUGGUGGAGCAUUCAUUAUAAUUGAUCCAUGUUCUUCAACCGCAUCCACGUUAAAUUCAAAUAAUUUUUUUUAAAGAUCUAGGGAGUUUUGUUUUGUUAAGUUUGAAAAUAGUUAAAUAGUCAAUCUUAAGAUUUAUUUUUAAUACUAAUGUUAGACACUUACCUAGUAUCUUGAGUUUUUGAAUUAAAUGAUUUACUAAUUGACGAUAUUAGUGCUAAAGUUUCGUAUUUGAACUCUCCACAACAAGUUCAUUUGUAUCGAUUAAAUUAUGUUUCAAUUAUUUCUCAUUGGCAUGCAUCGAACUCUCUCAUGCUUGCUUUGUGUUAAUUUACGUUUUUUUUUUCUUCUAAUUCUGAAUCAUUUUUCAAGUCCAGUCCUUUUAUAUAUAUUUUCAAAAUUUUGUCCGAUCGCUCACCGCAUCUAUGUACGGCAUCUUUUGCAGGAAAAACAGAGUAAUAAAACAAAGCAGGAAAAACAGAGUAAUAAAACAUCUGUCCAACUGUUUGACCCAAGCCAGGCAUUUUCUGGUAAUUUAACAGGGAAAUAAGUAACAAGAACAGAUACAAUAAAUAAAUACAAAGAAAGUAAAUGAAAUGCGAUCUGCAGAGAAAAAUAAAAUUUGUGCCCUUCAUUCGAGUAGUCUAAAUCUUUUAGGUUGUGGUUCCUCCUCAUCAUUACAGCAGCCACUUCCACUAGCUUCAGCCGCCCCAACAUAUCCUUCAAGACUUCGCUUUAGAAAGCUUCGCUCAGACGACGUCGUUGAUCCUGCAUCAUCCCGGCAGCAACUUCCACUGGCUUCUACCCUGUCUAAGUCAUCAUUAAGGCUACGCGUAAAGGAUGUUGAUCCAGAACAAUCGUGACCGAAUUCGUUCAAUCUCCAAACCGGACCAAUUGUUUGGUUGAACUUAUCCCCUUGAUGCACAUAUAUUGGAUGCAAACCGCACCUCUUCAGCAUCAAUCCCGACGGCGAAGAAAAUUCCACUUUACAAAUAUUAUGGUAGUAUCGCCACACCUCUUCCCUAUUCAGGUAGUAUAGCCAAAGAUGGUCUGACACAGCCUGACUGAAUUGCUUUCCAAACAAAAUUCCAUAACUAUUCACGUCGGUAGGCCGGACACGCAGAUAAUGUACGGGAUAUGGAUACGGUCGUAUAUAAUAAGGAAGUGAAUAUUUAGGGGCAUGAAAAACACAGCACAUAGCAUAUCCCACAAGCUUACUAUUCUUAUACGUCUUUGGAGGCGUGCUUAUUGUUAUUGAAGAACCCUCAUUAUUCUGAUACUCGAACCACUCUGGGAUUUCACUUCCAGGAACAAUUAUGUUAAACAGAUAGUUCUGAAACCCCACAAAUACAUAUAUAUAUAUAUUAGAAAGCCAUACCAAUGCAUAAUUUUUAGGCAUGAUUUUAGCAACAGGUGAGAGAGUGUAAGAAAUUGACAUUACCUGUUUAAUGUACUUGUCCGACAGUGACAUAUUCUGCAACCCCACGGAAAAAAAAAAGUGAGUAAAUAAAUAAAAUAAAAAGACAUAACAUGUAUUGCAUCAGUUUUAGGCAUGAUGUAGCACAGGUGAGAGUGAGAGACUGACCUCAGAAUUUUUAAUGUACUCUUUCAGCAGUGAAAGCGCCAAAUCAUAGCUGCCAGUCAAUUUCGAGCAAUCCCCACAAUAAAGGUUUAACGACGGGAGUCGAUGCUCGUUUAAGUUUAAAUUUAAUACAUCUGAUAAUGUCUCCAACGAAACACAACCCCCUAACGAAAUCCGAUGUAUACUGGCUGGAAGUCGAGGCAGAUUUUGAAGCAUUUUGCAUUCCUCUAAUUCAAUCUCCCGAAGAUUAGAAAGACGGUAGAUGCUUGCCGGUAGCGAAACAAAACUGUUUCUACUCAAACAUAACGUUUCUAAUGAGCAUAAGUCGCCAAUACCACUUGGGAUUGCUCCUUCCCCUAGAUCACAGUAACUGAUAUCCAAUUUCGUUAAACUACACAAACCUGACAGAGAAGACGGCAAACUGAAAUCCAUCGGAUCUGAACUCCUUCGUAUCAAAUUGAUAGGAAAGCGCAGAAACCAUGAUGCAGAUGAUGGUGAUCCUUUGCACCCACGACAAGAUAGUUCUUUAAGAUUCUUCAUAAGAAAAAUCGACGAUGGAGGUUGCCUUAUAGCUGUACCACUUAUAUCAAGUUUUUCCAAACUUUCUACUUGCCCAAGCGUCUCAGGCACAUUUUCAAGUUUGAAGCAGCCUGAGAGAUUCAAAUUUCUGAGGGAUUUCAAACCAUUUAUACUGCUAGGAAGUCUCACGAGAGUUUUGCAGUCAUUCAAAUUCAACAAUCGAAGUUUGGUCAAAAGCUCUAUAGAUGAUGGCACUUCUGUGAUAGAAGUUCCGUCUAAAAAGAGCUCUGACAGAUCUACCACACUUAUCACAGUCUCUGGAAAUUUCACUAUUUUCGAGCAACCAGAUAGCACGAGCGUUUGUAGACAUUCUAAACUGCCUAUUGUAAUUGGAAGACUCGCGAGAUUUCUGCAAUCUUUCAAAUUCAAUGAAACAAGGCCAGACAUAAGUUCAAUUGAUACUGGCAGUUCUUUGAUAUCAGUUUCAUCCAAAAGAAGUUCCCGUAGACACUCCAUACUUCCCACAACGCGUGGAAGUUUCCUCAAUUUCAAGCAACCAGAAAGAACAAGUGUUUUAAGCGAUUUCAUAAAUAUCUCACCCGGAAGAGUUGUAAGACUUGUACAACCUUUCAAAUUCAACAAGAUCAGCUUAUUGUGACGUAGCAAAGACUGGUGAAUUUCACGCAACCUUGUACAUCCUUCAAGAUCCAACACCUCUAAGUUUGGGACCUUUGUGAAGUCUGGUGUCUUAAUCAGAUUCUCCGAAUGGCUGAGUUUCAAGACUCUCAACAUGUUUAAAGGCUGUUGAAAACAAAAAAAGGAGCUAAAAUGAUAUUUCUUAAUUCAUAUACUACUAUAAUAAUAAAUUGUUAUCAACAAUUAUUCACUGAAAAAUAUAAAUUAGUGACCAAAAAAAAAAUUGAUCUUACUUUGAUUCCCUUCCAUAAUUCUUCAAUGCGGCUGUAGCACAUUUUAAAUUUAACAGUUUUAUCCAAUUGCAAAUUUGAUGGCAAAGAUUUCAAAGGAUACCGAUGCCAAUCAAGUAAUCGCAACCUGUUCGAGAGGUAUUCUAGGCCUUCAGGAAGUUGCACAUUACUGAUUUUGAGCAAUCUUAGGUUGGUCAUCAGUGAAAAUGCUUUAGCACUUAAAUGCACAUCAUUUCCACGAAAGAAAUCAUCAUCAACCAUUAUUCCUACAACUACUUCACUUCCCUGAAAAUUAUAAAGAAAGUCGUUCGUUAGAAAUUUAACUAGCUAAAAGAAGUGAGCUGAGCUAGAAAUAAAUACUUUUAGAUCCCCUUUAUUAUUCACUUACUGUAUUUUGUGACAAUACAUGGUGUACAUCUGCUUCCUUCCACAAUCUACUGCGUUUUCCAGGCUCGUCGGGGGAUUGUCUCCUAACAAUUUGGUGACCCAUUUCUUGUAUCAAAUCAUGCAUCCACAAUCUGUUAUUCUCAUGUACUGUUAAUAAAGAUUUUUCUAUAAGAACUUCUAUUCCAACGACUGGGGAAAAACCACAUCCCUCUAGAAUUUUCAAUACAUAAUCUCUAGUCUUCCAUUUAAAGAAACAUGCAAUAUCGAGAAAUAUUUUCUUCUCUAAUUCUUGUAGUCCGUCAAAACUUAUUUGAAGUAUACUCAUAAUCUUAUUGGGAGGCUCUAUUUGUAGCCUUUCCAAGGUGCUUCUCCAUUGAUCCACGGAUCUACCAUUCAAAAAGGAACCCAAAACUUCGAGAGCUAAUGGAAGACCACCGACAUACCGUAGAACACCUUCUGACAGCUGCACACAUUCUUCAAGAGGCUUUUGGAUUUUAAAAGCUUUCAUGUUGAAAAGUUGAAGAGCAUCAUGGUAAUUUAGUUCAUUAGGCUUAUAUAUUUCAUCCAUUCCAUGUGUCUUUAAUAGAUGUUCAUCUCGCGAUGUUACAAUGAUCCUACUGCCUGAACCAAACCACUCACGCUUUCCAGCUAAAUACUCUAAUUGCUUUAUGUCAACCACAUCAUCAAUAACAAGAAGAACCUUUUUGUGUUGCAGCCUGCUUCCUAAAAUGUUGAUGCCAUCACCGACAUUCCAUAUGCUAUCUUUUUCGAGCUUCAAUAUUUCGAAAAGGAGUUGCCUUUGAAAAGAGAUUACACUGCCUUUGUUUUCAAAUUUUUCUCUAACAUCGGCAGAAAACUACUCCCUUCAAAUUCAUGAGAGAUCAAGUCAUAAACAACUCUUGCAAGAGUCGUCUUACCUAAACCUCCCAUACCACAAAUCCCUAUCAUACGAACAUCAUCAUUAGGCCCUUUGUUCAUAAGAGGACCUCAGUUCUUCAAGCGUGGAAUCUUAUCCCACUAGAUUCUUAANNNNNNNNNNNNNNNNNNNNNNNNNNNNNNNNNNNNNNNNNNNNNNNNNNNNNNNNNNNNNNNNNNNNNNNNNNNNNNNNNNNNNNNNNNNNNNNNNNNNNNNNNNNNNNNNNNNNNNNNNNNNNNNNNNNNNNNNNNNNNNNNNNNNNNNNNNNNNNNNNNNNNNNNNNNNNNNNNNNNNNNNNNNNNNNNNNNNNNNNNNNNNNNNNNNNNNNNNNNNNNNNNNNNNNNNNNNNNNNNNNNNNNNNNNNNNNNNNNNNNNNNNNNNNNNNNNNNNNNNNNNNNNNNNNNNNNNNNNNNNNNNNNNNNNNNNNNNNNNNNNNNNNNNNNNNNNNNNNNNNNNNNNNNNNNNNNNNNNNNNNNNNNNNNNNNNNNNNNNNNNNNNNNNNNNNNNNNNNNNNNNNNNNNNNNNNNNNNNNNNNNNNNNNNNNNNNNNNNNNNNNNNNNNNNNNNNNNNNNNNNNNNNNNNNNNNNNNNNNNNNNNNNNNNNNNNNNNNNNNNNNACAACAAAGAUCAGUAUGGUUAAAUUACAGUUAGCCUGAAUGCGGUAUUAAUAAAUUUAGUAAUAGAAAAAACCCAAAAUAUGCAAUAUUCGUUGGAAAAAAUUGAAGUAAUGUAAGAUGUUGUUACAUAUGGCUAAUCUUUAGGUGCGUUCAUGUAAAUAUCUGCAUCCAUUUGUACCACUUUUGUUUGCAAAUAUUCGUAUGUGGAGAUAUUGUUUCAAUUAGUGCACAUCAUAUCAUACAGGUAUUGAAUGAAAGUUGUUUAACUGACAACAGGAUGCUGAUUAAAGCUAUUUAAAAUGAUAUACAUAAUAAUAAGAAUGGGUACCUGUACUCUUUCAAUUCCCAGCCAGAAAUAUUAGCCACCUCUUUCAAAGCAUCUCUCCAAUUUUUCACUUUUUCUAGAUUCUCCUUAAAAGCUUCUUCAUGUUUAGAAAAAGCUUCUCGAAAACUUCCCAUUUGUUUCCUUACCACAGUGGGUUCAACAUCAUAGAAAACUGGAAAAACCAUUUGUUGAUGAUCGUUUUUGUUCUUGCAUUGAACAAUCUUAACAAGUUCAUCCAAGUACCAAGUGGAGGAAGCAUAGUUUUGAGAGAAAACAAUAAUUGAAAUUCUAGAAUCUUCAAUUGCCUUAAGAAGUCCAGGUGAAAUGGAUGCUCCUCUCUCAAGUUCUUUGUCAUCCUUGAAUAAAUAAAUUCCUUUUCCAUUCAAAGCAGCAUAGAGAUGACUUAUGAAGCUUUUACGGGUGUCUGCUCCUCUAAAGCUUAAGAAGGCAUCAUAUGGCCAAUGAGACACAUUUUGUAUGCUCGAUGAAGCCAUCACAAUAUUAAUUUGUUCUGAAAAUUUUGAAAAAAAAGCAAGAAAUGAUUGCCUAGGAACAAUACUAUGUAAACAACAGAAUUCAUCUAGAGUUAUGGAUUAUCUCAAAGUGUCAAAGUCGUAUACACUAGCGUAGGGAGUGUGUGGUGCACUACAUUAUAUCGCAGUACUAUGUUUUAGUGUAGUAUGUACAAUAGUGUUUAUUGAAAUAUUUUAUACUAAUAUUAUUAUCAAAAUUUAUUAUUUGACAAAUAAAAUUUAAAAAUUUAUUAAUAAAUAAUACUUAAUUAUAUUGCUUGAGCUUUAUUGCGUAGCAAUAUUACAUUAACCUUUAAAACAGUGCCAUAUUUAGUGCGGUAUAUGCGUGAUCUUGUUUAUCUAAAUUUUUUUAUAAUAUUAUUUUAUUAAAUUUAUUGGUUAAAUUCAUUAUUAAAAUAAAAAAUUCAUUAAUGAAGUAGUACUAUUUCUAUUUAAGUAAAUUAUAAAUGUGUUAGGUAAUAAAAUAAUUGAUUAAAAUUAUUUUUACAUAAUAAAAGUAAAAUAAUAAAAAUGAUUUUAUAUCAUAAAAGUAAAAAAGUACGCAAUUAUUUAUAUUAAAUUCAUAUUAUAUGGAUUUAUUUAUAUUUAAUUUUAUUAUUUGAUUUAAAUAUCUUAUUUAAAUUUAGGUAAAAUGACACUUAGAUGGCAUAUUUUGAAUAAGAAACACUAAAAUCCUCUUUUGACUAUGAUACCAUUUAGCUCUAAUAACUCAAAAAAAUUAAUUUCAAUGUUUUAUAAUUAAUAUAAAUAUGAUAUUAAAUAAAUGUAACAAUAUCUAUUAGAAACAUUUGUAAUAAAUAGAAUUAUAAUAUUAAAUCCCAAAAUUUUUUCAAGUGUCGAUUGGAGAGUGCGUACACCGAUCUCUACUUGAGAAAAUCUUGAUUAAAGCCUCUUAGAGAAGGCAAAGAGAUUGUGCCAAAUUAACAUUAAAAGAUUUCUUUCAAUUUACAGCUUGUACAAAAUUAACAUUAAAAAAAUUCUUUCAAUUUUAUCAUUAUUUAUUUGUUUUUAAACAUCAAGAUAUGCAAAUUAAUUAUGAAAGUAAAAGAGAGAGAUGUAUGAGAUAGAACUUACAGCUUUUGAGUGUAUUGCAGAAAGCCAUUUAAAUGAACUCCAAUGAAGUAUUUGAUUCAAAGAAUUUAAAUAUUUAAUCAUGCAAAUAUAUUCUUUUGGAAAAAAAAAUAAAGCAAUCAGCUAGUGUAUGUAUUUCCAAAAGCAAGUCUUGGUCAAAAAGUGACUUUCUUAAUAAUUAAUAGACAUUUGUCACUGUUUACUCACAUGCUGGAGUUACCAUAAAACUUCCUGGAAGCUUCGAGGAAACUGAGCGAAGAUUGUCUGGCUUUUCAAUUGAUGACGCGUCCAAGCCACUCUGCCCAUUAGCCACGUUGGAUUUCAUUAAAAUGGAAUGGAAUCCAACGGUUGACAUCAAUAAUUGAUAAAAAUAGUUAAAUUGCCGCAAUCUAUAGGAAUGGUAAAUCUUUUAUUAGAAACCUUUUAUUAGUAAAAUUUCAUCUGAGUCUUUAGGAGAUGUUGGAUCAAUUUAAUAAUUUGUAGUUUUACGAUAAUUGUCAUAAACUGUGUUGUAUAAAUAAUCAUUUGUAAAGGUAAUUAAUUAAACGUUUGAUAAAUUUACUUUUAAAAGUUCUGCAAAUUUUAAAAAUAAUCGUAUGUGUUUGAUAAAUUUUAUUUUAAAAUUGUGUUUGGUGUUUCAUCCAAACACCAAGUAGAAAAAGAGCAGUUCUUUUAGAGAAAAAUAAUCGAAAUUCUUCUUCAAUUGCUUUAAAAAUUUUCUGGGAAAAUGGAUCCUCCUUUCGCAAGUCUUGGUCCAAAAGCGACUGGUUACUCACACGAUGAAGGUCGCAUCAAACUUCCUGGAAGCUUCAAGGAAUCUGAACGAAAAUUAUCUGGUGUUUCAAUUGAUUACGAGUCUUCUCCACUCUACCCAUUAGCCAUGUUGAAACCAUUGUAUUCAACUAAAAUGGAAUGGAAUCCAACGGUUGAUAUCAAUAUUUAAUUAAAUAUCAAGAUACGGUUGAUAAAUCAUUUUACCUGAAUUUCCAAUUAAGUUUGUUUCAAAGAACUCAAUGCAAGGAUUUUUAUGCGUUCUAAGUAAUUUGUCAAACAACAAACAAGUUUAGUCUAAAAUGUGUGCCGACAGUAAUGACGAAGAAUGAUUUUGGUCUUUAGUGGAGAAAGACAUGGUCUAUCUGAUGUUGACAAAAGCUAGCUUUAAUAAUCUACACACCAAAAGCAAUGAUUUCUUUAUGUAUUUUAUUAAGGGCAUCUUCAAAUGUAAUUGCAUUUUUUAGGGAAAAAUGAGUAAAAUAUUUUUUGGAAUAAUUCCACUACAAUCUUUCAUUUUUUUUUAAUUAUAGUAUUUUCUCAUUAAAAUAAAUAAAGAUUGGAAAGUAAAGGUUGAAGGCUUGAAAUUUUUCUUUGAAGUUGCUUAAACCUUGGGAAGAAGGCCGUCCAUUUCCCUUAGAAAUAAUUGGUUUUAGGCAUCUUUUGGUUACAAGCCUCACAAGUUGUAAGUUAUUUUUCAGAUUUUUUAUACAAAGAAUUGGUCGAGGAGAGUCAAACUCAGAUAAAACUUGUUAAUGUAGUCCACGUCAGCCGCUUGAGCAUCUGAAUUUCCCGCCCAAACAAAAACUAAUAAACAUAACGAAUUUGAAUCAUCAUUCAACAAUGACAUAGCAACUUGUGAGGCUUGUAUUUUGAUCAUUUCUGUAUUUGUCAAUGCAUUAUUCAUCUACGACCAGGCUCUAAAAACAAGUAAAUGCUACAGUUGUAUGCAAUUGAUGAAUAUAGAUAAGCAAAUCUAAAAUUUUUUGAUAAUAUUACUUAUUAAGAUUACAAAUCCAUCCGCAAGGCAGCUGUAAAUAAUCAUAUAGCCUGACGUCUGAACUUUUUACAUGAUUAAUAAAGGAUAAGAGCAUAUUCAGAAAUUAAUUUCUACUUAAAUGUGUUGUAGUCAUGCAAAAUAGAGAAACCUUAUUAUAGUGAAUCUGUGUGUGUGUAUGGCACUGUGGCAGAAGUAAACAAAUAAUAAAAGCAUGAUAGCAUAAAGAAUUAAAGAUCAUGAUAUGUGCAUAUUAGAUUAUUAUAGAACGAACCUGCUCUCAAAACUGAUGAGUGACUGAGCAGGAAGAAAAGGCCACCUAGGAUGUGAAUUUGCUGUUAUUUGAUUUGACUUUUCGGCAUGGUUUUUGCCGUUUGAAUCAGCCUAUGGCGGCCAAGUGAGCAAGCUGAUGCUGCUGUCGUAGAUAGCUUGCUGCCCUUAUUUACAUUCAUCUUCCAUAUUACAGUAGAACAACAUUGAAAGGAAUGCACAUAGAAGUAAUACGGUAUUUCUUGUUUUAAAGGGAGAAAUUUACACUCGUCCACUUGUUUGUUUUGUCUUUUUCAAAAAUACACAAACACUUUUUUUUUCAGCGCGCCAUCUUAAGUUUGCUUUUUGUUGCAUUCGUCCACUUCCGUCUAAUUUCCGUUAGUGGAUUUAACAGAAUGUUAACAAAAUGACCUUUUUACCCCUCAAAAUUACAAUUUAACCCAAAAUAAAUAGAAAUUGGAGAUAAAUUAAAUGGAUUUAAUUUUUUUAAAAGGUGAAUGCUAGAAAUUGAAGGAAAAUAGUGUUUGUUGCUUGCUAAAUUUAGAAAAUUUAUAUUUAUUUUUUUGAAAGAGAAAAAAUAACUAAGUAGUUCAGGAGAUCUAUUCCUCCAACUUCCCCUAUGUGACUCAGUAUUCCGAUGGUAAAGUGAAACUAUCGUUCAGGAGAUCUACCUCAUCCAGAUUUUCUGAUAAAGCGUCGUGCUCAAGCAAUCCUUCAUUAGAAAGGAAAUUUACAAAAAUACCCUCUGUUAUAAAUCUCCCUUUUCAGUCCAUAAAAAGUCAACCUAGGUUUUCUACUUCAUAUAUACCUAGUACCUCCAUUCGAUCAGUUGAUUACACCACUAGUGUUCCUCAUCCGAUCUACACUAGUAAUCAACAUGUACAAAGUCAGGAAGAGAAGGAACCUUCUCCUCCAACUUCCCCUACAUUUUCUGCUGUUACAGAAAAUGUCAUUAAUGUCAUUGAAAAAGAAUUUGAAUUAGAUAAAACUUUUCUGCAUAAUGAUUUUUAUUAUGAUUUAAACAAAGAAAAAAGACUUUGGUUUUUCAAACACUUUUUAAACCAAAGAAAAGAAAUCCAACAAACUUACUAUGAAUUUGUGAAUUUUCAUAAAAUUCAUAUAUUGUUUUUUGAUUGGUUUGAGAUAUAUUCUUCUGAUAACAACAUCUCUUAUCCUUUUAAAGAGUCAAACCCUAUUACUAUUAGGAAGAAAGUUCCUGAAUGGAAACUUCUUGAUAGUGAUAGAACUAUAGAGUCUGAACACCCACCUCUUCGGAGUGUAACCGUUGAUCACGGUGAACCUCCUGUCCAAAUUCGAGCUUCACCUUACAAAAUUCCAAAACCAAAUGAUUCUGAGGCAAAUUUAAGUAGUAUUAUCCAACAGAAUAAUUUCUGUAAUACUAACUUAAAUACAAUCGGAAAGCAGUUGACUAGGAUAGAAAACCAAAUCCAGAAGUCAACCAUUACUGUUCCAUCAAUUUCUCCUAUUCCAACAAAAUCGGAUUCUGACAAAAAGCUUAAGGAACCUAUUUUCAAACCCUUUCAGGUUUCGAAAACUAGCCAAAAGCUUGUUCAAGAGUCAAAAUCAGAUUUUGCUAAAGCCAUUAGAGAACAAUUAGAUAUGAUAGAAGCUGCUUCUUCCUCAUCUAGCAAAGUUCAGAUAGCCCCUGAUACUCCUCAAUCUAGCAAGAUUGGAGUAUUAGAACAAGACCAAAUGUCUAUAGCCUCUUCUGAUAUAGAAGCCUUCAAAGAAGAACCUUCUACUCCUAAAGCCAACAAAAUUCAUUGGGAAUUAGCCCUUCCCACUGUCAAGACUCCACCGGAUCUAGCAAUAGAUAAUAGACCAAGUGCAUUAAAUCAAUCCCGAUAUAAUGCAUCUUCAGUCUAUGAGUGGAAUAUUGACGGUAUGUCCGAAUACAAUAUCCUAGGAUUGUUGCAACAAAUGACAAUGGCAGCCAAUGCCUAUAAAACCCAAGCAGGAACUUCUGAUCGUGCUAUAUCAGAAAUCCUCAUUGUCGGUUUUACUGGUCAAUUAAAAGGUUGGUGGGAUCAUCUUCUCACUAAUCAGCAACAAUUAGACAUUCUAAAUUCCAUUCAAGUUGAUGAAAAUGGAGUCCCUAUUCUUGAUGAGUUCAACAAUCCAAUCCAGGAUGCUGUUGCUACUCUAAUUUUAACCAUUUCCCUCCAUUUCAUUGGUGACCCUUCACACCUUCGUGAUAAAAACGCUGAGUUACUACACAAUUUAAGAUGUAGGAAACUUAGUGAAUUUCAAAGCUAUAAAACCUCAUUUUUUACCAGACUAUUUCUAAGAGAUGAUGCAAAUCAUAUAACUUCGAAAGCAAAAUUUCUUGCUGGAUUACCUACCCUUCUAGGUGAAAAAGUAAGAAAUUCCAUCAAAGCCCUUUAUGAUAAUCGUAUUCCUUAUGACGAGCUUACCUACGGUGAACUUGUCAGUUUCGUCAAUAAAGAAGGUUUAAAGAUUUGUCAAGAUUUGAAAUUACAGAAACGUCUUAAGUGGGAACUUAAAAAGUCUAAACAAGAGUUAGGCGGUUUCUGUAAACAAUUCAAUUAUGACCCCUUUAAAACUUCUUAUUCCAAAGAUUGUAAUAGCGAGUGUUCGACUAAACCCCGCAGGAAACAUUACAAAUCAAAAAUUUUUAGGAAACCCUUUCGUAAUUUUAGAGAACUUCCUUAUAAGAAACCUUCGAGGCCUUAUAAGAAACCCAAAUUAUCUAAAAGAAAAGAGUUUAGAGCCAAGCCAAAGACCCCUUUCAAUUACAAAGAAGCUAUAUGUCAUAAAUGUGGCAUGAAAGGUCAUACUGCAAAUUAUUGCAGGAUGAGCAAAACGUUUCAUGAACUUGACCUCGAUGAAGAGAUCCUCUCCAAAAUAGCCCCCCUUCUUGUCGAAUCUUCUGAUUCCGAAUCUUCCAUGUCGGGAGACAGUGAUCCAUAUCAAGUUGAUGAGCUUUUUGACUCAGAUGACUCUGUAUCUAGCAGUAGUGAAUCUGAAUCUGAUUCAUAUUCAAAGAAAAUCAAUGUUUUGACUAAAGACCAAGAAACUUUUCUUGAACUUGUAAAGCAUAUUUCUGAUCCAAAUCUUCAAAAAGAAUAUCUUGAUAAACUUUUGAAAACUUUGGAUUUUAAUAAAGCCGAGACUUCUAAAGUCCCAGUUGUUAAAAAGAAUUCUUAUGAUCUUACUCAAAUUUUGGAUAAAAAGAAAAUAAAAAAGACGGUUCCUAAUAUCCAAGAUCUUCAGAAAGAGAUAAAAGAAAUCAAAUGUGAAAUCAGAGAUUUAAAAGAAAAACAAAAAAGUGAUUCUGAUACUAUCCAACUUCUUUUACAAAAACAUUUGCAGGAUAAUUCAGACAAUGAAUCUAAUCCUGAUGAUGGUGAUGAUAUUAAAGUAGAAAACAUUGAGUCUGUACCCAAUGAUUUCCUAUUUGUUUUAAAGCAAAUCACCACAAGAAAGUAUUUGAUUAAAGUCACUUUAAUCUUUUCUGAUGAUUUUGCAAUGGACGCCAUUGCCCUUUUUGAUACUGGCGCGGAUUUAAAUUGCAUUAGAGAAGACAUCGUCCCCAAAAGAUUUCAUGAAAAGACAAAAGAAAGACUUUCUGCCGCUAAUAAUUCAAAACUGAAUGUCAGUUCCAAGGUUGAAGCCUCAAUCCAUAAUAAUGGUUUUGAUUUUAAAACUUCUUUUGUCCUCACAAAUGAUAUUCAUCAUGCCAUCAUUUUGGGAACUCCUUUUAUAAAUCUUAUAACUCCAUAUACUGUCAAUUACGAUAGUAUAUCCUUCAAAGCAAAAAAUAUAAACCUUGUUUUCCCUUUUAUUGAAAAACCUAAAACAAGGAAUUUGAAUAUCGUUAAAGCCUGUUCUGUUUAUCAAAACAGAAUAAAUAACCUACUUAAUUCAAAACAGUGUGAUCUAAUGUUUUUACAAAAGGAUUUAAACUUACAAAGAAUUGAAAGCCAAUUACAAAGAGAUUUCAUUAAAAGAAAGAUUUCUGAUUUCAAAACUCUCAUUGAAAAAGAAAUUUGUGCUGAUCUACCUUCUGCUUUUUGGAACAGAAAACAACACAUGGUAGAUCUACCCUAUGAAACUUCUUUUCAUGAAAGACAGAUCCCCACUAAAGCACGUCCAAUCCAGAUGAACAUGGAAUUGGAACAACAUUGCAAAAAUGAAAUCAAGGAUUUAGAGUCAAAAGGACUCAUUGUUAAGUCAAGAUCCCCAUGGUCUUGUACCGCUUUUUAUGUUAAUAAAAAUUCUGAAAUUGAAAGAGGUACUCCUAGAUUAGUUAUAAACUACAAACCUCUUAAUAAUGCCCUAAAAUGGAUUAGGUAUCCAAUACCUAAUAAAAAGGAUUUACUUCAAAAACUAUGUUCUGCUCUUAUUUUUUCAAAAUUCGACAUGAAAUCUGGUUUUUGGCAAAUUCAAAUUCAUCCUAAAGAUCGUUACAAAACUGCUUUUACUGUUCCAUUUGGACAGUAUGAGUGGACUGUUAUGCCCUUUGGUUUAAAGAAUGCACCCUCAGAAUUUCAAAGAAUUAUGAAUGAUAUUUAUAAUCCUUAUUCUGAUUUUUGCAUUGUUUACAUUGACGAUGUGUUGAUAUUUUCAAAUACAAUCGAUCAUUUUCAAACAUUUAAAGACUUUUUAUUUUGCUACCAGAAAGGCUGGAUUGGCAAUCUCUAGCUCUAAAGUUUCUUUAUUUCAAACAAAAGUCAGAUUCCUUGGUCAUCAUAUUUCUAAAGGAACAAUCACUCCAAUUGAGCGAUCCCUUUUGUUUGCAGAUAAAUUCCCUGAUAAAAUUCUUGACAAAACCCAAUUACAAAGAUUUCUUGGAAGUUUAAAUUAUGUUCUUGAUUUCUGUCCUAACAUUAAUAGGAUGUCUAAACCCUUGCAUGAUAGAUUAAAGAAAAAACCUGUUCCUUGGACAGAUGAACAUACCAAGGUUGUAAAGCUUAUAAAAAAUUCUGCUAAAACCAUCCCAUGUUUAUAUCUUGCUAAUCCUACAUUACCUAAAAUUGUUGAAACUGAUGCAUCUGAUUUAGGUUAUGGAGGCAUAUUAAAGCAAAAAGAAAAUGAUAAAGAGCAGAUAGUACAAUAUGUUUCUGCACAUUAGAAUGAUUGCCAGAAAAAUUAUUCUACUAUCAAAAAAGAAAUCCUUUCCAUUGUUUUAUGCAUUACAAAAUUUCAAAGUGAUUUAUUAAAUCAAAAAUUUCUACUUAGAAUUGAUUGCAAAGCUGCAAAACAUGUUUUGGAAAAAGAUGUUCAAAAUAUUACAUCAAAACAGAUUUUUGCACGAUGGCAAGCCAUUUUAAGUGUUUUUGAUUUUGAUAUUGAAUAUAUUAAAGGUGAUACAAAUUUUAUUCCUGAUUUUCUAACUUGGGAAUUUCUUCAAAACAGAUAAUGCCGCCGAAGAAGAAAGACAAAGGUAAAGCUGUUCUUAAAGACUCUGAAUCUAGAGCAACCUCUAAAGAACCCCAAGUUACCCCUUCUAAAGACAAAUUACUUUCCUCAGCCAUGCCUAUUAAAUCUUGGAUUGAAAUGGUUGAAGAACAUGGUACCCAUUACAAAACCACUUCUUCUGAUGACCAAGUAAAAAAAUGGAUGAGUUCCAUUACAAGGUCCCCUGAGCUUAUGCUCGCCUUACAAAACCUUUCCCAAAGCCAGAUUUUCUCAAAAGAAGAAAAAGAAAACUAUAUCUCCAAAGAAAUAUCAAAACCCUCUUCUCAAAAAGUGAUUGUUUCUGGUGAAAGCUCUUCUUCCCAAAUUGUGCUUUCCCAACCAUCACCUUCAAAGAAAACCUCUGAUUGGUUUGAUAAAACCCAUUUUCAAAAUAUUUUUUCUUUAGAAGAUGGAUUUUACCAUGCUGAUCCUUUUCAAGCAAUUUCAAAGUUUUUCCUAAGGGCUGGUUUUUUAAACCAUGAGAUUUAACAAAACCCCAGUCCUACUAUCAAAGCAUUUUAGAAAUCACUGAUUCAGUUAAGUUCAAACAUUUCUUUCUCAGUGAAUCACAUUCUGAACCAGCCUAUUCCACGGCUACUAUUUUAAAAGUUUUGAGCCCAAAUCAAUGGGGUGACCUACUCCAUAAUUUUAAAACUUUCCCUUUAAAUUUUCAAACACGUUUACCUCAUUGUCGGACUUAUUCCUACUGGGAUUACCAACAAGCCUGGUAUAACACCUUUUUUAUCCAAAAUCCCAAAAAAUCCCAUUCUUGGUUAUUUUUCUUCAACCCAAAAAUAACCGUCCAAAGCCUUCCAAACUGGUUCCAUCAUUGGUGGAAUACUUUUGGCCCAAUACCACAAAUUUUAACCCCGAAUGCCACCCAUUGUUUAAACCUCUUCAAAGUCCACUAUACUCCUUCUGAAUCUGAGAAAAGGUUUCCCCCCCUUUCUCUGUUUCUGUACAAAUUUCUUCCUUCCGUGGGUAUGGAUGUGGAACCUUAGGCUUCAUACCCAAGAUUCCCAACUCAUCCUUCAAAGAACCUUUAAAGUAAAAUGGUGGUCCAAAUUUGACGAACAGUCAAAAUUGACUGAAAAUUUGGUCCGAGAUUGGCUCUCUGCCAAAGGCCUUCUUCAACCCACCAUAACACAUUCCAAAGCCCAACAAACCUUUUUGACCCAAAAGUCCAAAGCCCAAUCACUAUUGGCAGGUGCCAAAACAGAAGAAGAAUACUUCAAAGCCAUGGAACAGCUCCUCGCCUCCUGGUCAAAGUCAUCAGUGGCUGACACCUCUGAAGACGAAGAUGAAGAUGAAGAUGAAGAACCAUUCAUUUCUCUUGGAGACGAAAAUGAAGAUGAUUGUUUUGGAAUUUUUUCUCCUUUAAAGCAUUGUAAAUAACUAUUUAGUUAUUUACUUAAAAAAAAAUUAUUAUUUGUUCUGUAUAUUCGGGUGGUCCUCUGGACACAAGUGAGAGCGCACAUGUCUCUUCACCCGUAUCGUAUUUCAAUUUUUGUACAAAGAAUCGACUAUUCAAAGAUACGAUCCAAAUGUUACUGUGCACUUAAAGCUCCGCUACAGUGAACAGUGCAAAUUCCCAGAGUUUACUGUUCACUUAAAAUCCCGCUACAGUGAACAGUUUAAAGAUCUUUGUAUAAAAACCGAGAGGAAGACUCAGACUCCUCAGGUUUUUCAUUUUCUAAGUUUAGAACUUCUCUCUCUUCUUCUCUCCCUUCUCUCUAGAAUUCUCUCUCUCUCUCUCUCCGGGAAUAGGAAUCUGGAAUCCGAAGACAAAAAGGAAUUUCUCAUGUCUUCAGAUUAAUUUCUCAUUAUUUUCCUUUCUUCUCUACAAAGAAAACCAACCGAUGUAAGCAUUUCAUUCCAGUUUUAUUAAAGCAUAUAAAGCAAUUUACUUUCCGCACUUUAAAUUUCAGCAAUUUAAAUUUCAGCAAUUUAAAUUUCAGCAAUUUAAUUUCAUGUAACAUUUAAAUUUCCGCAAUUUACAUUUAAAGCAUUUAAAUUUCAGUCUUUUAAAGCUUUCCAUGCAUGCUCAGCAGACUGAUCUGUAUCAGAUCUGCCAUAUAAAUUGUACGUUCCUCUGAGGCAAAGAGACCAGAUCUCGAUCCUCAAUUGUAAAUCUUCUCUUCUCCCUCCAUUCCUUCAGAGCACCAUUUCCGGGAACCGGAUCUGGUACUGUGUUUGUACCCAAGCCUUUAGAUGUAUGUGUUGCUAGGCUUGCUAAAGAAUUUAAUAAAGAUUUGGUAAAUUGUUUAAAAUCUGACAACCGCGUUUAAAGAACUUAAUUAUUAUUUGGUAAAGCAAAAUUAAGUUGAUAUAUCGGCUGGAAACCCGAACGUGCGGGCUAUUGAUCUGUUCUAAGUCAGAUCUGGGUCCAAAGGCAGAUACUUAAUCUGCAUCAUUCUGGUUUAACAACGCCACGUACUAAUAUAAAACCUGACCAACCGCGAUCCAAAGCAAAUCUACUUAAUCUAAAGUUGGUAACUGAAUUUAAAAUUUGAACAACCGCGAUCCAAUUUGUUUUUAUCUAAAGCAAUCAAUAAAGAAUUAUUUCGAAAACACAUCGAUCCUUCGAUCCUAUUUCCUUCUGGUAUCAGAGCUUGAGUUCAUGAAGCAUUUUGCUCAUCCUGCAAUAAUUUGCAGUAUGACCUUUCAUGCCACAUUUAUGACAUAUAGCUUCUUUGUAAUUGAAAGGGGUCUUUGGCUUGGCUCUAAACUCUUUCUCUUUUAUUUUUUUGAAAGAGAAAAAAUAAAUACAAAUUUUCUAAAUCUAGCAAGUAACAAACACUAUUUUCCUCUAAAAAAUAAAUACAAAUUUUCUAAAUUUAGCAAGCAACAAACAUUAUUUUCCUCCAAUUUCUAGCAUCCACCUUUGAAAAAAAUUCAAUCCAUCCAAUUUAUCUCCAAUUUCUAUUUAUUUUGGGUUAAAUUAUAAUUUUGAGGGGUAAAAAAGUCAUUCCGUUAAAUUUGCUAACGGAAAUUAGACGGAAGUGGAAGAAUGCAACAAAAAACAAACUUCAGGUGGCGCAGUGGAAAAAAAAAAGUGUUUGUGUAUUUUUGAAAAAGACAAAACAAACAGGUGGACGGUUGUAAAUUUCUCAAAAGGAAAUUAUGAAUUUUGUAAAGUACCUUAGCAAAUUUUGCUUUUGCUAACUUUGUUACUGUUUUAAUUGCAUUCUAUUCCACAGUCGAAAUCUUUCUGCUUUUUGGCCCGACUCUAACAAGACAACCUAACUUCCAAGCUUUCAACUUUCCCCAAGCUCUCUGGCACAUUUUCAAGUGUGGAGCAGUCAAAAAGAUGCAACGUUCUAAGAGAUCUCAAACCAUUUAUGGUACUUGGAAGACUCUCUAGAUUUUUCCAAUCUUUCAAAUUCAACAAGACAAGGCCAGAAAGACGUUCAAUAGAUGCUCGCAACUUACAGUUCCUUCCAAAUGAAGCUUCAACAGCUGCUCCCUGCUUGAAGUUAUCUCUCUCUGAAUUUCCAAAGGCCAGAAGAUUAUAGAUGCUUUAGAGCACUUAUGGUACUUGGAAGUUUUGCAGCCAUUCAAAGUCAAUGAACAAGUCCAAAUAGAAGUUCAAUUGAUAAUGGCAGUUCUUUAAUACCAGUUCCAUCCAAAAGAACUUCCCACAAUGUCUGGAAAUUUCUUCAAUUUCAAGCAACCAGGAAGAACAAGUGUCUUAAGAGAUUUCAUAAAAAUCUUGCCUAGAAGAGUUGUAAGAUUUGCACAACCUUUCAAAUUUAAUAAAAUCAGCUUCUUUGAAGCAGCAAAGAUGAGUGUAUCUCACGCAAACUUGUACAUUCUUCGAGAAUCAGAUCCUCCAAAUUUGGUACCCUUGUGAAGUCUGGUGUCCUUAUGAGGUUCUCAGAAUGCUUGAGACUCAUGAUUUUCAACUUGCUCAAAGGCUAUAAGAAACAAAAUGGCACAGCAAAUACGUGCUUUUCUCAAUUUGUCACAUUACUUAAAAUUAUCAAUAAGCAUUUACUGAAAACUAUAUCGCAAAAAAGCUGAUUUUAUUGAGGAAAUCAAUAAAGUUAGUUGUUGGAAUAACUAAUUGAUUAAAUAAACACUGGGUUUGCACUGUGUUUGCGUAAAAUUCUGUUAAAGACAUGCAUACAUAAAUUACUGAGUCGCUGAAAAUAUGAAAUUAACUGCCUCAGUGACUCUUUUAGAUAUAUUGGAUCAAAACAAUACAAAUUGAUAGUGAAGGAAUCUUAAAAUACCUGCUCACUGUUCACUAGGUGAGUAACCUUAGUGUUAGAAAAUCAAUUUUUGAGGAUAAGAAUGGUUACCUGUCCUUCAACUCCCAGCCAGAGAUAUUAGCCACCUCUUGAAAGCGUCUCUCCACUCUUGAAAGCUUCUUCAUUUUUAGAAAAAGCUUCUUGAAAACUUCCUGUUUGUUUCCUUAUCACAAUACUUGGUAGAAAAUUGGAAACAUCAUUUGUUGAUGAUCACUUGUGUUCUUCCAUUCAACAAUCUUAACAAGUUCAUCCAAGCACCAAGUCAAAAAAGCAUAGUUUCUUGAGAAAAUAUAACUGAAAUUCUUGAUUUUUCAAUUGCUUCAAAUAGUUCUGGUGAAAUGGAUUUUCCUCUGUCACAUUCUGUCAUUGCUGAAUACAAUGAUUCCUUUUUUAUCCAAAGCACAUAUAAUGGUCUGUGAAAUUUUUUGCAAGUGUCCUUGCCUCUGAACUCAAGAACACUUUGUAUUUCAAUUACAGAGAGGAGAUGGGACAUAAAAAAAACUCCCCGGAUUGCUCAUGAUUCAAGCAAUAACUGGAUGCUCAUGAUUCAAGCAAUUGAUUCCACAACAAAGUUGCAACAAGUACCAGAAAAUUGAUUUUGCAAUAGAUAAUUGUCGCUUAUAUAAUGGUAAUCACCAAAAAAAAAAAAACAGUUAUGAAAGCAAACAAAAUUCGAUGUGGAGCCGAAAAUGGAAAACCCACACUACCAGAAAAUUUGCAACAAGUUCGAGCCUUGGCAACAAGAGAUUAAAAUUUCCUCGUAAAUCGAAUUAUGUGAAACACUUAGUACAUAAAAUAUGAAAAGUCAAACAUAACUGAAAUACAAGAGUAAGUAAACACUAAAAUGUAAGAAAAUAACUUACAGCUUUGAGUGCAUUGUUCCACUGCAAGAUGAAGUUUUACCUGAAUUCAAUUAAGGGUGCGUUUGGGAUUGAGAUUGGGCAGCUGUAGCUUAAAAGCUACAGCACUAAAGUGUUUGGUAAACAUUAGCUGCUGUAGCUUUUAAGCUAUGUUGAUAUGAUUUUUCACUUGUAUAAUAUAAAAUUUAUUAUAUCUUUAAUAAUUUUAUCAAAAUUAUUAUUUAAAAUUUAUAUUUACUAUAUAUUAUUAACUUUUGUUUCAUAAUUACAGCUUUUUUUUCACAAUAGCUGUAGCUUAAAAGCUACAGCACCUCAAUCUCAAACGCACCCUAAGUUUGUUUCAAAUAAAUCGAUAAGAGGAUUUUAUGCGUUCUAGUUAUUAAUUUCUCCUCUUUUGGUAGCUACAGCAAGUCUAGCAAAAGUGUUCACAAAAGAUAAUACUAAAGGAUCUGUGGUCUACAGUGGUGUUUCCAAUGAUCAUAUUUUCUACAAAAAAAAAGGUAAAAUAAAUUAAUUCAAAACGAACCUGAAGGUGACACAGACCAAUUUGCCAUUUGCUAUCUUUGAGCUCCCAAACUCCAAGCAUUGGUUUGUUUUGGCCUGUAUAAGCCAUGGUUGCCUGUUCCUCCUUGACAGACGCAAGCUGAUGUUGCUGUUGAAGAUAGCUGCUGCUCUUUCUCAGUCUCUUCCAUUGUUGUAGUACUGGUGAAGAAGGGGUAGAAAAUCUGAGUCUGAGUUUCAUAGCUAGAUCAGUUCUGCUAUUCAUUGCUAGCCGCCCUCAUCCACAUUCUUGAUGCAUGAAUCUGAAUCAUUCUCUCGAACAACACUGAAAGGAAUGCACAUAUAAGUAAAACAGUAUUGCAUGUUAUAAAGGAUAUUAUGAAGUUUGUAAACCACAUGAGCAAGGGAGUAUAUCAAUAUCAUAGUUUCGCAAUUGUCCGGCAUCCCUCGCUGCAAUUUUUGCUGCUGCUAACCUUGUUACUGUCUCAACUGCACUCUUUUCCACAGAGUUGAAAUCAUUCUGCUUUUUGGCCUCCGUUGUCUGCACCCAGACCUUCACAAAUUGACCAUAUUGAUUGAUUGCUUUUGCUUGGGAAAUCAUAGAGUUGAUGCAACACACCAGGUGGGAUGCACUUUCCUUCUUGGGCAUAUUAUCGAACAUGUCCUAGGCAUGAGAAUGGCCUGCAAAUUCCAUAUAAUCAUUCCUUUUUCUAUUUUUGUUUGUUCUGAAGCUAAGUCAAGCUGAGAUCGAUCAUAUUCAUAUUUUUUAUUCUUCUUAAAAUCCUCAACAUUUGCCCCCCAAGCAUUAUAGCCUCAAUCCCUAGUUUCAACUAUUUAAACCCGUAAAAAUUCUCUGAAAAUCAUAGAAGUACAUUUAAUUAUAGGUAUAUUAUUCAAAUCCUACACCUACAUCCAUGGCCAAUAAUGGCUUGAAGAGAUAUUAUUAAUGGAGGAUUUUAUGUUAAAAUCACAGAGGAAAUGACAAGGAAGAGAGUAACCUCAGUAACACUUUUUUAACUCUUCAAACGGACACAUUAAAGACUGCCAAUAAAUCAGCCCGCGUUUAUAUAUAGAUGCUGCUAACCACGGUGAACAAACUUGGACACCCAUCUAGACAGAAUGCCACGUCACUACCCCAUUAUUUGAGAUGCCUGCUUACUGAUAAAUUCAGAGAAUAAUAAAUUGCCUUUCCCCAUUAUUUGAGUUCGUCUUUGACUCUUUGAGGUUGUGGUUCCUCAUCAUCACAGCAGCCAUUCCACUGGCUUCUAUUCCAAAACCACAUUUAGUUUAUUUAUAUUAAUACUAUAUUUAUAUUUUAUUUUUAAAAUAUAAUAUCAAAUUUGGGUUACUGUAGUCAAGAGCAUAAUAAUAAUAAAAUUUUUUUACCGUUCUAAUGGAGGCAUAUUAAAUUUGGACUCUUUGAGGUUGUGCGUUUUAUUUUUAAAAUAUAUUAAUACUAUUCCAAAACCACUGGCUUUUUUUUACCGUUCUAAUGGAGAAUAAUAAUAUAUUAAAUAAAAUAUAUUUUAUUUAGUGAAUUUUAAAAUAAAAACUAUCCAGAUGCGAGUUCUGGAUUUCCGGGUUCAGGUAAAUGUGAAACCGGAAUCAGAUAUGCACGGGUUCAAAAUACAACUUUCGGAUCUGCAUUAUUUUAGCAUUGAACCCAGUCCGGAUCAUCCGGGUUUAUCCGGGUUUUGGUUAAGUUGCCAUCCCUAAACCCAAUGAUGAAGCUUUGGACGUGUUCUUCAUCAUUAAGGCUGAAGCUAAUUAUUUGACUGACUUUUUCAUCAUCCCGGCUGCCGCUUUCACUGGUCUCUGCCCUGUCAUAUUCAUCAAUGAGGCUUCUCUCAAACAGCGUUUUUGAUCCUGAAGAAUCGUGAUUGAAGUCGUUCAAAUUCCAAACAGGAGUUGUUUUGUUGAACUUCUCCACUUGAAUCUCAUAUCCUGGAUGGAAACCACACCUCUUCACCUCCAAUCCCGACGAAGAUUCAAAUGACAACACCCCAUUAUUCAUUCCAAACAAAUGUACAUUGGGCUCAUAGUGUAGCCAAAAAUGUUCUGACACAGCCUGACCGAAUUGCUUUCUGAACAUAGGAGUAGAAAUCCAAGUAUCACCGCCAUCACAUUUGAUUUUGCAGUCCAGCUUAUGAAGAUGACUAAACCACUCUAGAUAAGGAGGUGAAUGCUUAUGGACUUGAAAAACACAGUACAUAGCAUAUCCCACAAGCUUAGUGUUCUUAUACGUCUUUGAAGACCAGCUUAUUCUUAGUGAAGAACCCUCAUCAUUACGAUGCUCGAACCACUCUGGGAUUUUACUUCCAGGAACAACAAUGCUACAAUAUUUGUGAUAAUCUGACAUAUCCUGCAACCCCGAAAAAAUAAAUAAAUAAUAUAAAAGCCAUACCAUUGCAUAAUUUUUAAUUUAGGCAUAAUAUUAGCACUGGUGAGAGAUAGUGAGAGACUGACUUCAUACUGUUCCAUGUGCUCUUUCAGCAGUGAAAGCGCCAAAUCAUUGUUGCCAAGCAGUUUCACGCAGUCCAUACAUUGAAUUUCAAAGUCCUUUAGCUUGUUUAAUUCUAAUGGAUCUGAUACUGUCUCCAAUGAAGCACAACUAUUUACACCAGCGAUUCUCAUUCUGGCUGGAAGUGGAGGCAGAGAUUGAAGCUUCUUGCAACCAUUCAAAUCUAGGCUUUCAAGCUCAGAAAGAUGGCUAAUGCUUGCUGGCAGAGAAACAAAACUGUUGUUACUCAAACAUAGAACUUUCAACGAGCGUAAGUUUCCAAUAUCAUUUGGGAUUGAUCCUUCCCCUAGAUUACAGUCACUGAUAUCCAAUUUUGUUAAAGAACACAAACUGGACAGAGAAGGCGGCAAACUCAAAGCCACCGGAUCUGAACUCCUUCGCAUCAAAUUGAUCAGGAAGCGCAGAAACCAUGACUUAGAUGAUGGUGAUCCUUUGCACCCUCCACAAGAUAGUUCUUUGAGAUUCUUCAUAAAAAAAAUCAACGAUGGAGGUUGCCUUAUAGCUAUUUUGGAUGCUCGUAGAAGCCAUUGUCUAUUAAUUUGUUCCAGAAAAUUUAAAAUAACUCACGUGAAAUCCUGGGAUCAAUAUGAUGGGAUUCGGUUGAAUUUUUUGUAUACGGUUUGCUAUAACUUUUGAAAGGAGCAUGCGUCGCGUCUUACGUCAUUCAUUGUUGUGUUGGUUACCUUAUACCACAAGUAAUUUCCGAGAAAUUUCUUGCUUUGGACAAAAAUAAAUAAUUCAAAAAUAAUAAUAAUCACGAUGACUUUUUAAUUUGACAAAUAUUACCUGUCAACAGCUUUUCCUUCAUCUUCUUCGUAUGCCCUGAAAGAUUUUACCAAACACACCAUAUGGCUCUUUCCGAUCAAUUGGCAAACGCGCCUGAAGAUAUCUCGACAGAGAGAUUACGAUCUUGGCUUUAUCGUUCUUUUUGGCUGGAGAUGACAAGAAUAAUCGGAGGGACAACCGGUUAUGCUGAAGAUGAUGAAAAUCCCAAUUGUACUGAAAAAGAUGAAAUCAGAAAGGCAUCUAUUUCCGACCUCCAACCCAAAACUGUUCGUAUAGGGUUUCCGUCACGGUGGCUGGAGAAGUUGAUUGAUCGUCCAACUAGGGCAGAGAAUUUGGCGUAAGUAUCUCGUCGAUUUGAAGAAUUCAAGAAACGGGUCUUCACACGCAGCUAAUGUUAAGGAAUCUUCAUAUCAAAAUUUCCCUGCGCUGUCGAGGAUGGACAGGGAGACGGUCUCUGAUUCCUGUCAUGCUCAAGAUGAAAAAAUCAGAACGGCACCUAUUAAUCCCAUCUCCGACUUCCAGGACCCAGCUGGUCGAGCUAGCAUAGAGCAAGUGGUAAUACUUUCUUUGUCAUUAAGAUCAGCCCAUGUUUCGCGAAUUUGGUAUGAUUGGGAGAGUCCGUCUUUAUGUGGAAUUAACCUUCCAACUGAACCUCGGGCAGAUGUCCGUACUGAACGUCUUGAGUUAGCGUUGGAUAAACCGCUGGCCGUCAAAUGGAAGAAUUCAAGAAAGUGGCCUGAUACGCUGCCUCAAGUGGAAAAACUUUUGGCACAGAUUAAUGGUUGGCCUGAUCUGAAGCCAUAUAACAUGUUUGGAACAACUGCUUUUAGAAGUCAGCCGCAUUGGGGAGACAAUGGUGGUGAGAAAGAACAUUGAAACGGAUGCAUAUGGAAGUAAUACAGUUUGCAUGUUAAAAAGGAAAUUAUGAAUUUUGUAAAGUACUUGAGCAAAUGGCAUAUGAUGCAUAUAACAAAGUCGCCUUUGUUCUCCCAACAAAUGCGACUUCCUUGCGACUCGAACUGGGGAGCAAACCCAGUCAAGCCAUUUAAGGAGACUCCAUUGCCAGUAGAGCCAACACUUUAUUGGUUCGAGCGGGGACUUCUAGUCUGGGUUGUGGUACAGGCUUAAAGGUGCCUCCCACAGUUGGGGCCCUCCUCAGGAUACCUCGUGGUCAAAAACUAAAAAAAAAAAAAAAAAAAAGUACUUGAGCCAAUGGCAUCCCUGAAGCAAUUUUUGCAUUUUCUAGCUUUGUCACUGUCUUAAAUGCAUUCUGCUCCAUAGAGUACGCCUCUGUUCUGUGCACAUAAAUCUUCUCUUCAAGCAAAACUGCCGUAAUAUCAGAUUCUAUAGCACCGCACGAUGAUUGGUUAGUGACCAAUCAAUACCCUUGAUCUUGAACAAGCGCAAAUAUUUCAGGUCGAAGAAAAGAAGUAAGAUUAAUCAGAGCAAUCAAUCAAGAACAGAGCACAAACUAGAAAAAUUGAAGAACAAGAAGAGAGUUUCAUGCUCUUUCUUUCCUAAAGAAAUCAACCGACAAUCUUUAAAACCAUACCUCAUUUGCUUCCUAAAUCACAGUACUUACAGAGUCAUCAAGCCUAGAAAGAUUGCCUAACGCUCAGCUAACAAACCCAGAAAAGUCAACCAACACUUUUUCUAACCAAUUCUUUUGACCAAGACAGCAACGCCAAUAACAGCUUUUCCCGCUAAAUACAGAUGUCUCAGUUUAAGCAAAUGCACGCCUGACAACUUUCGAGUUAUUACGAGCUAACCUCAGCGAGUUUACAAAUCUUAUAAACACACCCCUCAAUUUAUAUUAUUGAAUCAGACUCCAUUCGCCAGUUCCUCUCUUGAGCUUGGCCUGCAAUUCCAUGUAAUAUAUAACUCGAGAUCGAUAAUCUACAUAUUUGUCUUUCAUCCUUCCAAUGCGUGGCUUUAUGAGAAGAUUACGGGGGUGCCAAGGCUCAACGAAAGUCGAAAAGCCCAAAUUAAAUAAGCACAGUAAAAUUCAACAAAAUUCCAAUAUCAUCAGAUGGGAAUGGGCCUUGGGGAUGCUAAGAUGUUGUGACACUACCUGUCAGCGGCUAUGAACAAUAAUUUUUUGCCGAAUACAUUUAUUUGAUAGAUCCUUACAUAAAAUAUAAGUAGUAUUGAUAAUUUCACUUCAUCCAUCUCUGAAACUAACAAGAGUAAAUUUAACCUAAACACUGGUCAUUCAAUCUCAUUUUCCUCUAUAAAGCAAUUUAAUUUAUACAGUUUGUUUAACAAUUUAAUUUGUACAGUUUAUUUAAUUUGCAGCAUUUUGUCAGACUUGGUAUUGGUUUAAUUUAUAAUGUUGAUAACUAAAACUCAGAAGGCGCUGGAGCUAUUCAAGUAAAAUCUAAAAAAAUUAAGUAAGAAUCUCAACAAAGGAAAAUCCAUAUCAGCUUCAAGUGCUAUAUAAUUUAGAAUAAGCUUAGCUGAGCUACUCAAAUAGAAAGAACAGCAGAAGCUGCACGCCGACAAUAAAAAUAAUAAUAAUCAGAUUGCAAUGACCUAAUUAUUAGUUUAUUGUUCACUCGUAGCAAUGCAAUUGAUGUAGGAUAGUUGUGUAGGAUAAAUAGAGUAUCUUUCCGAAGACAUAAGUUCUAAGUGUCCGUUUGAGACAUAUAAUACUAUUUCAAAGCUUACAAUGAGACGAAUCUAAACUAAUAUGACUGUACCAAAAGAAAAAAAUCAAUCAGAUUGAGAUGGCCUAAUUAGUGUACUGUUUACUCGUAUCGAUGCUACAAUUCGUCAAUUAUGUAUUCAAAAAAUGAGAGAGCUUCAAGAAGAGACAAUGCUGCAAUGAAACAGGCAUAAUAAGGAUAUAAAGCAGAGGUUUACUUCAGUCCUUUAUUUUUUUUCCUUUCUUUAAUUUUCAGCUCAUGAGAAAUCACAAAAUUCAAAGCUUCAAUUUGAUCGUGCACGAAAGCAAUUUUGAUUCUUGCAAGACAUAUUUUGAUUCUGACCAACUAUUUCACCCUAGCCGAGCAUUUUCUUGUGAUUUAACCCAAAAAAAAAAAAAACUGCAAGAGAAGAUAUAGUAAAUAAAUAAAAAGAAAGCAAAUGAAAUACCAUAUGAAAAGAAAAUAAAUUAUUGAAAUCGAGAUGCAUACUUUCACAAAAAUGCAGAGAAUAAGUAACAAGUAGGCUUUGCCCUUCAUUCGAGUUGUCUAAAUCUUUUAAGAAGUGGCUCUUCAACAUCAUCACAGCAGCCACUGCCACUGGCUUCAGUUGCCCCAAUAUUUUCUGCUCGGCUUCGCUUUGAUGCUGUGGCUACUUCCGAAUUUGAUCCAACAAAAUUGUGAUGGAAUUCGUUCAGAUUAUAAGAAGUAAAGCGAGUCCAUUUCUUUGUUGUUUGGUCAAACUCCUCGACUUCGUGCAUAUAAACUGGAUGGAAACCGCACCUUUUCACCUUCAAUCCAGGACCUGACUGAGGUUUAAAUGACAACUCAAUAUGAUCAGAUUCAAAAUGCCAAUUAGUAUCAUAGCAGCGUUGACGAGACAAAUAGAGUAGCCAAAGAUGGUCUGACCCACAACGACCAAAUUUCUCUCUAAAAUCUACAAAGUAAAAGGUAUUAGAACCGACCAUUUCGCAGUGCAAUUGAUGUGUGGGAUAUGAAUGCCAUAAUUUGAUACCGGUUGAAUGUUUAGGGACAUGAAAAACAGAGCAAAUAGCAUAUCCCACAACCCUAUUCUUAUUAUACAAAUAUGAAGGCCUUCUGACAGUAAUUGAUGAACCCUCAUUCUGAUACAUGAACCACUUGGGAAUUUCGCUUCCUGGAACAACAAUGAAGAAAAAAUUUCUUUGAUCUGACACUUCCUGCAACCAAAAAAUAAAAAAUUAAGGAGUCCAUAUCAUUACUCAAUUUUCGGGCAUAAUUACAGCAUAGCUGGAAGACACGGAGUGAGAGACUGACCUUAAGGUACUCUCGUAGCAUUGAAAAUUCCAGACCGUUGUUUCCGAGCAAUUUCAAGCUGCCUAUACAAUUAAUUAAUGUGCAAUAGGACUUGCGCAGUUUUAAUGCACCUAACAAUGUCACCAACGAAGCACAACCAUUCACUUUAACUUUCUUUACGUUGGGUGGAAGUUGUGGCAGAGAUUGAAGCCUUUUACAAUCUUCCAACACCAAUAUUUCAAGCUUAAAAAGACGAUUAAUGCUUGCCGGUAGCGAAACAAAAUUGUUUCCGCUCAGAUACAAUUUUUUUAAUGAGUAUAAGUUGCCAAUAUCACUCGGGAUUGUUCCUUCCCGUAGAUCACAGUAACUGAGAUCCAAUUUGCUUAAAGAGCACAAACCUGACAGAGAAAUCAACCUUAAAGCCCCUAGGUCUGAACUCCUUCGCAUCCAAUUGAAGAGAAAUUGCAAAUGCCAUGAUGUAGACGACGGUUGUCCAUAGCACCCAGAAAAAGAUAGAGUUUUAAGAUUCUUCAUAAGAAAAAUGGAGGAUGCAGGUCGCCUUAUAGCUGUUCCGCUUAUAUCAAGUUCUUCCAGACUUUCUAUUUGCCCAAGCGUCUCUGGCACAUUUUCAAGUUUGGAGCAUCCUGAGAGAUUUAGAGUUUGAAGAUAUUUCAAACCAUUUAUACCGCUGGGAAGUCUCACUAGAUUGUUGCAGUUAUUCAAAUUUAGCAAUUGAAGUCCGGUCAAAAGUUCUAUAGAAGAUGGCACUUCUGUAAUGGAAGUUCCAUCUAAGAAGAGCUCCGUCAGAUCUUUCAUACUUCCCCAAAUCUCUGGAAACUUCCUAAACUUCGAGCAACCAGAGAGCUUAAGAGUUCUUAGGCAUUUUAAUCUUGUUAAAGAAAUUGAAAGACUCUUGAUAUUUUUGCAAUCUUUCAAAUUCAACAGAGUAAGUCCAGUUAGAUGUUGAAUUGAUAAUGGCAACUCUUCAAUAGUUGUUCUGUCUAAACAGAGUUCUGACAGAUCAUUCAUAUUUCCAUCAAACUCUAGAAACUUCUUUAUCAGUUUUGAGCAACCAGAAAGAACGAGUGUUUUAAGCGAUUUCAUAGAAAUCUUGGUUGGAAGAGUUGUAAGACUUGUACAAUCUUUCAGGUUCAAUAUGAUAAGCUUACUGUGAAGCAGUAAAGAUGGGUGAAUUUCACGCAGCCUUGUACAUCCUUCAAGAUCCAGCUCCUCUAAAUUUGAGACCUCUGUGAAGUUUGGUGUUUUAAUCAAGUCCUGUGAAUGGCUGAGUUUCAUGACUUUCAACAUGUUUAAAGGCUGUUGAAAACAAAAGCAGGAAAAAUGAUAUUUCUUAAUUUAUAUACAACUGUAAUACUAUCAACAAUUAUUCACAGAAAAAAUUCAAAUUAUUGACAAAAUUAUUGAUCUUACUUUGAUUCCCUUCCAUAAUUCUUCAAUGCGGCUGUAGCACAUUUUAAAUUCAACAGUUUUAUCCAAUUGCAGAUUUGAUGGCAAAGAUUUCAAAGGAUACCGAUGCCAAUCAAGUAAUCGCAACCUGUUAGAGAGGUAUUCUAGGCCUCCAGGAAGUUGCACAUUACUAAUUUUGAGCAGUCUUAGGUUGGUAAUUUUCGAAAAUGCUUUAGCACUUGCACUUAAGUAAACCUCAUUUUCAGGAAAGUAGGCAUUAAUUAUUAUUCCUUCCAUUACUUCACCUCCCUGAAAAUUAUAAGCAAACAAUAAGCAAAAUAAUAAUAAUAAUAAUAAUAAUAAUGUAAAGAUGUUGAAAAUUCGUCAGAGAUGUAAUUGGGAAAAAUAAAGUAGCAAGCAUCAACAAGUUUUUCAUUUAAUAAUUCACUUACUGUGUUUUCUAUCAACACUUGGCGUACUUCUUUUUCCUUCCAUAAUCUGCUGCGUUUCCCAGGUUCUUCGGGGGACUGUCUCGUGACAAUCAGUUGUCCCAAUUCUUGUAACAAAUCAUGCAUCCCCAGUGUGUUGUCGUCAUCAACUAUUAAAAGAGAUCUUUCAAUAAGAACUUCUAUUCCAAUGACAGGGAAAAAACCACAUCCCUCUAGAAUUUUUGUUACAUAAUCUCUAUUCUUCCCUUUAAAGAAACAUGCAAUAUCAAGAAAUAUUUUCUUCUCAGAAUCUUGUAGUCGGUCAAAACUUAUUUGAAGUAUACUCAUAAUCUUCUUUGGAGGAUCUAUUUGAAGUCUUUCCAGGGUACUUCUCCAUUGCUCCACAGAUCUAACAUUCAAAAAGGAACCUAAAACUUCGAUAGCUAAUGGAAUACCACCAGCAUAAUUUACAAAACGUUCAGAUAGCUGCACAUGUUCUUCCAAAGGCUGAUUGUUUUUAAAAGCUUUCAUGUUGAAGAGUUGAAGAGCUUCAUUGUAGUUUAGUCCAUUAGGCUUAUACACUUCAUCCACUCCAUUUGUCUUUAACAAACCUUCAUCUCUUGAUGUUAUGAUGAUCCUACUGCCUGAACCAUACCACCCAUGCUUUCCAGCUAAAUAUUCUAAUUGCUUUGAAUCAACCACAUCAUCAAUAACAAGAAGAACCUUCUUGUGUUGCAGCCUACUCCCUAAAAUGUUAAUGCCAUCAUCCUCAUUCCAUAUCCUAUUAUCUGUAAGCUUUAGUAAUUGGGAAACGAGUUGCCUUUGAAAAGAGAUUACACCACCUUCCCUUUCAGAUUUUUCUCUAACAUUAGCAAGAAAACUGCUUCCUUCAAAUUCAUGAGAGAUCAAGUCAUGUUAAGGAAGCUCAUCAAGCAUCAAAAGAAUGCACACACUUGGCACGUGUGAUUUGAUGUCCAGUCAGCUUAGCAGUUAGGAAUUAGAAUGACAGCUCAGCAAAGUCUGUUAUGUAAUCUCUGUAUUCUGUUAGUACUGUUUUGUGUUCAGCUUUGUGAUUAGCAGCAUGUAUAUAUAUAAUCAUUACAGCCGAGGUUUGUAAUUAAUGAAAUAACAAGCAAAGCAAUAAAAGAUUUGGAAUAUUCAUUUUCUUUCAUUUUCUCGAAAGCCAAACAAAUAUAUCAACUCUGUUUUUAACAUUUCAACAUGGUAUCAGAGCCACAGAGAGCAAGCUCUAGUAAUCAGCAAACAACUAAUACAAAUCAAUACACUCAAAUCAAUUUCUCUUUCAUGAAUCCAAUCAAACUAGAUCGCUCAAAUUACCUGCUAUGGCGUUCACAAGUUCUAGCUUCAAUUAGAGGAAAUCGACUGGAGGACUUCAUUACAGGAGACAAACCAGCACCUGAGAAAUAUCUUAUUCUUACUGGAGCUAAUGGAUCUACUCAGAAGGUUGAUAAUCCAGAGUAUCAGAAUUGGAGAUCACUGGAUCAAACCUUACUCGGAUGGUUGCUGUCAUCAAUAAAUGAAGGUAAUCUAAGCCUUGUUAUCAAUUGUGCAAGUUCGUUUGAUGUUUGGAAAACUCUAGAAAAGAAAUUUGGUGUUCAGUCUGAAGCUAGGGUUCUCCAGCUUAGAUAUGAAUUGAAUACUCUCAAAAAGGAGUCUUUAAAUGUUGAAGAUUAUUGCAUAAAAAUGAAGUCUAUAGCUGACAAGCUUGCUAGUGCUGGAAGUCCUAUAACAGAAAAAGAUCUUAUGUUAACCAUACUGAAUGGACUAGGAUCUGGUUUUCGUGAUAUUGCAACUUUCAUAACUGGAUCUAAAAUGGAGUAUGAUGAUGCUUAUGCAUUGUUACUUACACAUGAAACUAGACUAGAGCAAGAACAGGAAGAUAAAGGUAUGUUUAAUGCAAAUUAUGCAUACUAUCCCAAGAUGUUUUAUGCUCAAUCCAGAGGUAGUUUUAGAAGAGGAGGAUAUACUGGUGGUGGUUUUGGAAACUUUGGUGGUAGGAAUCAUAUUAUGGGGAGAGGUAAUGUUCACCCUCAGAGGUUUCAUUCUGGAGGUUUCAGAGGAGGAUAUGGUAGAGGAUACUCUCCUGGACAAACUAAUACUUUUAAUUCCUUUCAAGUACCUAGAAAUCCAUCACAAGUUGCUAGAGGUGGAUUCACUGGCUCAAAUGGAAUGCAAGGAAGUUCUGGAAAUUCAGAAGAGAUAACAUGUCAGAUAUGUUUUAAGACUGGUCAUACUGCUGAUGUCUGCUGGCAUAGGUUUGUUGAAGAUUACAUGCCUACACCAAGGGGUUUUGGAAAGGGUAAAGGACCAAGAGCAGCUUAUUUCAGUAAUUUUGAGGGCUUUACUCCUUAUCAAGGAUAUGAAGACUGUGAUAAUCUCAAUUACAUGUCACCAAAUGCUUAUUCUCCCUCUACUGCUAACAGUUACUCUGGAAGUGAGUCUUAUAUUCCUGCAGCAGCAUUUGUAGCCAAUUGUGAAGGACCUGCUGAUGAUGGCUGGUACUUGGAUAGUGGAGCUACUCAUCAUCUGACUAAUAACAUGGAUAAUCUGCAUCACAGGGAGGAAUAUAAAGGUAUGGAUCAACUUAUUAUUGGAAAUGGCCAAGGUUUGCACAUCUCUCAUAUUGGAAAUUCUUUUCUGUCAUAUAGAGCUUCAUCACACUCAAAUCUAAAGCCUACACACACUGCUAUAGCACUUAAAGACAUGUUACUUGUUCCAUCAAUUACCAAAAAUUUGUUGAGCAUUUCUAGAUUGACAUCUGACAACCCUUUAUCUGUCGAAUUUUGUGGUAAUGUUUGUUUUGUAAAGGACAUGAAGGGACAAGUGCUUCUGCAGGGUUUUGCUGAGAAAGGUCUAUACAAGCUGCUGCUGAAAACCAAAAACUCCUCACCUGCAUCUCACAUGUCUACCUUUCAAUUGAAUAAACCAGUGUCUAUGUUGUCCUUUUUGAAUAUUCCUUCAACUUCUCAAAAUUGUACAGCUCUUGAUAAAGCUUGUUAUCAUGCUAUUCAAAAUAAUUGUAACCAGAAACAUGAUGAUAUGACAAUUUUACAUAGACGAUUUGGACAUCCAAGUUCUGUCAUUCUGAUGCAUUUGCUUAACUCUUGUUCUAAGCUUAAAGUCUCUCAAAAAUCUGUUCACUCUUCUGCACUUAACUUGUGUGAAGCUUGUCAGCUAGGAAAAGUCCACAAACAGCACUUUCCAGCUACUGAAACAAAAACCAAACAGGUGUUAGAACUAAUUCAUACUGAUCUAUGGGGGCCAUCACCUACUGUGUCUAGGAAUGGUUAUAGGUAUUAUAUCAGUUUCAUUGAUGAUUACAGCAGAUAUACUUGGAUUUACCCACUUAAACUCAAAUCAGAAGCCUUUGAGGUUUUCAAGCUCUUUAAAAUCCAAGUUGAAAAUCAGUUUAACACUCAGGUCAAGAUGUUGCAAUCUGACUGGGGGGGAGAAUAUAGAGUGUUUAAUGAUUUUCUUAACCAAAGUGGGAUUCUCUUCAGGCAUUCAUGUCCAUACACUCAUCAUCAAAAUGGUUUGGUUGAGAGGAAACAUAGGCAUAUAGUUGAGCUAGGAUUAACUCUUUUAGCUCAGGCAAAUCUCCCUUUCAAAUUUUGGUGGGAUGCUGUCCAUACAGCUGUAUAUCAUAUAAACAGACUUCCAACACCUUUACUGAACCUAAUCUCUCCCUAUGAAAAGUUAUUUGCUCAUAAACCAGACUAUAACUUCUUAAAGUGUUUUGGGUGUCUAUGCUAUCCAUAUUUGAGAGAUUUCAAUAAACACAAGUUUGAUUUCCAUACCAGCAAGUGCAUUUUUAUUGGCUAUAGCCCUUCUCAUAAAGGCUAUAAGUGUCUCACAAGUUCUGGUAAAGUUCACAUACUGAGACAUGUGAUAUUUGAUGAAAAAGUGUUUCCUUACUCAACUGAUAAUGCUUUCAACUUGUCUCAACAAAACAAAAACUCUGAAACACCAGUAUCAGUGUCUAAUUUUUCUCCACAACAAGUCUAUCAGUUAUCUACCCUUUUCUUACCUCACAGCAGCUUUGAAGAUGCUUACUCAGCAAGCUCAGCAGGACAUCAACAAACACCUUCUAUGCCUGUACAUACAGACAUUCCAUGUCAACAAGAACAAGGUAACCACACUCUAUCAGAAUCAUCAUCAUUUUCUUUACCUUCACAAAAUCCAGAGUCUUCACGAAAUCCAGAACCACUUCAAACACAACCUGAAAACCAAAUAGACAUCCAACAAAACACAGCACAUAUCACAAACAAAAUUCUUGCUUCACAACCUUCUCAUAAAAUGACUACCAGAUCAAAAUCUGGAAUCUUCAAACCCAAGCUAUACACUGCAACUUUAGCCAAUAAGGAACCUGAUACAAUUCAAGAAGCUCUUUGUGAUCAGAACUGGUACCAAGCCAUGAGAGAUGAGUAUGAAGCACUGAUCAGGAAUAACACUUGGUCAUUAGUUCCACAUUCAGCUGAGCACAAAAUUGUUGGCAAUAAAUGGGUGUUUAGGAUUAAGCAGAACACUGAUGGUAGCAUAGCUAAGUACAAAGCUAGGCUAGUUGCUAAAGGUUUUCAGCAAACUGAAGGAGUUGACUAUUUUGAGACUUUUAGUCCUGUUGUGAAACCAUGUACUGUGAGGAUUGUGUUGAGCUUAGCUAUGAUGAACAAGUGGGUAGUUAGACAAGUUGAUGUGAACAAUGCCUUUCUAAAUGGAGAGUUGAAUGAGGAUGUAUACAUGUGUCAGCCAGAGGGAUUUGUUGAUAUGCAAAAACCUGGUCAUGUGUGCAAGUUGAAGAAAGCUUUGUAUGGUCUGAAACAGGCUCCUAGGGCCUGGUAUGACAAGCUAAAGAACUCCUUAAUCACAAUCUGGAAUUUUCAGAACUCUAAGGCUGAUACAUCUCUUUUCUUUAAGGAGAUACAUGGAUCAAUAAUACUAAUUCUGAUAUAUGUCGAUGAUAUCUUAAUUACUGGUGCAAAUAGUAAGGAAUUGGAAAGGUUCAUCUCUGAGUUUAGUAAAAUGUUUGUUUUAAAAGAUCUGGGAACACUGUCAUACUUCCUUGGCAUAGAAGUUGUUUAUGCUCAAGAUAGUAUGUAUUUGUCACAGAAGAAAUACAUUAGAGAUCUACUGAACAGAGCUGACAUGUUGGAUUGCAAGAGCUGUGACACUCCAAUGGUUACAGGUUACAAACUUCAGAAGGAAGUUAAAGGGCAUCUAGGACAGUAUAUUGAAGAUGCAACAGUCUACAGAAGCUUAGUUGGAGGCCUGCAGUAUCUGGUUUUAACUAGACCAGAAAUUGCUUUUGCAGUUCAUAAACUAAGCCAAUAUGUAGCAGCACCAACCCUUCAACAUAUAUUAGCUUGCAAAAGAGUCCUCAGAUAUUUGAAAGCAACAGAAGAUUAUGGAUUAAAAUUUUCAGCUGAAGGGGAAAUGAAAAUUACAGGCUACACUGAUGCAGAUUGGGCAUGUGAUGUUGAUGAUAGAAAAUCGAUAGGAGCCUACUGCAUUUACUUUGGAAACAACCUGGUGUCUUGGUCAUCAAAGAAGCAAACUGUAGUCACAAGGUCAAGUGCUGAGAGUGAGUAUAGAGCACUUGCCUCUGCAAGUGCAGAAAUUACCUGGAUACAAUCACUACUUAAAGAACUUAAAAUUGAAUGCACAACUUUACCAACAAUUUGGUGUGACAAUGUCAGUGCAACAGAGUUAGCUAAGAAUCCUGUCUAUCACUCAAGAACAAAGCACAUUGAGUUAGACAUGCAUUUUGUUAGAGAUAAGGUGCUGGCAAGAGAGCUUGAAAUCUACUAUAUUCCAAGUGAAGAGCAGAUUGCAGACAUCUUGACAAAGCCUCUCACAUUUACUCAUUUCAAUUACUUUAGAGCCAAACUCAAGGUUCAUCCAUGUCCCUUGAGUUUGAGGGGGGCUGUUAAGGAAGCUCAUCAAGCAUCAAAAGAAUGCACACACUUGGCACGUGUGAUUUGAUGUCCAGUCAGCUUAGCAGUUAGGAAUUAGAAUGACAGCUCAGCAAAGUCUGUUAUGUAAUCUCUGUAUUCUGUUAGUACUGUUUUGUGUUCAGCUUUGUGAUUAGCAGCAUGUAUAUAUAUAAUCAUUACAGCCGAGGUUUGUAAUUAAUGAAAUAACAAGCAAAGCAAUAAAAGAUCUGGAAUAUUCAUUUUCUUUCAUUUUCUCGAAAGCCAAACAAAUAUAUCAACUCUGUUUUUAACAUUUCAACAAGUCAUAAAUAACUCUUGCAAUAGUCGUCUUACCUAAACCUCCCACACCGCAUAUCCCUAUCAUACGAACAUCAGCACUAGGACCUUUAUCCAUAAGAAACCUCAGUUCCUCCAAGCGUGAGUCUAUUCCUACUAGCUUCUUAAGAAUCUUUGAUUUUACACGAAUUUGACUUGAUAUUGGAUUGACAAUAUCGGAAAUAAAUUUUGACUCGUUCCUGUAGUUUAAAAAGACCAAAGAAAGAUUGGUGUUGUUAAAUUAAAGUUAUUAUGAACGUGGUAACAAAUCAAUUCCAUAUUAUGAAUAAAAUCCAAACCAUGCAAUAUUCAUUAGAUCAAAUUGAAGUAAUGCAUGUAACAUGUUGUUACAUAUGGCUAAGUAACACUUUAUUAUAUAUGGCUAAUCUUUAGGUAUGUUCUAGCGAAAUAUCUACAUUCAUCUGUACCUAUUCAUUUGCAAAUAAACAUAUAUGGAGCUAUUAUUUUAUUUACUGCGCAUCAUAAGGUAGACAUAAUAAUCAGAAGAAUUUUAGCUGAAAAUAGUAUAUUAGAUGUUGUUUGAUUAAACUAAUAAACAUAUUAAUCAGAAGAGCUACCUGUACUCCUUUAGUUCCCAGCCUGAGAUAGUAGCCACCUCUUUCAAAGCUUCUCUCCACUUCUGUACCUUUUCUAUACUCUUCUUAAAAACUUCUACAUGUUUAGCAAAUGCUUCUUGAAAAUUUCCGGUCUGAUUCCUUACAACUGUUGGUUCCACGUCAUAGAAAAUUGGGUAAACCAUUCGUUGAGCAUUUUUGUUUUUGCAAUCAAGAAUAUGAACAAGUUCAUCUAAGCACCAAGUGGAAGAAGCAUAAUUUUUUGAGAAAACAAUAAUUGCAAUUCUUGAUGCUUCAAUUGCUUUAAGGAGACGAGGAGAAAUGGACUCUCCUUUCUCAAGUUCUUUGUCAUCCUUGAAUACAUAAAUUCCUUUCCCAUUCAAAGCAGCAUAUAGAUGACUUAUGAAACUUUUACGGGUGUCUGCUCCUCUAAAGCUUAGGAAGACAUCAUAUGUCCAGUGACAGACAUUUUGGUUGCUUACUGAAGUCAUUUUAUUUGUUCCUGCAAAUUUAGAAUAAAGUAAGUCUUACUAGGAACAACUGAUACUUUUUAGAAUUAUAGAGAAAAUUCAUUCUUAUUAAUUUCAAAUGGCUCUCAAGCCUAAUUUAGAUAAAAUAUUCAAUAACAUAAAAGUAAUCAAUCAUCAGAAAUCAAGGAUCCAUAUUAAAAAAAAAUAAUAGUUGUAAUACUUUUCAUAUGUGUAUGACUAUAAUGGCCUUGAUUAUUGCCAUAUGUGAAUGCCACAAUGGUCUUGAUUCUUGUCAUCCAAUUAUCACAUAAUGGGUUUGAUUCUUGCCACCUGUGCAUGUUGUGAUGGUCUUGAUCUUUGUCAUGUAUGCAUCACAUUACGGAUUUCAUCCUUGCCAUAUACGCAUUACAUCCAUGUAAUUCUUAUCACAAUUGUAAUCCAAAUUACAGAUUUUCUUGCUGAAAGAUGUGAUGAAAUCUUGUAGCCUUUUUUUUUUUAAAUGGGCUUAAACGUAACCUAAAGACCCUCUAAAACUCAACACCAGGAAAGAGUGAAAAAACCUGCUUUUGACAUUUUUUUUUUAAAUAAAAAAAUUCACAUAUAUAUCACACCCACAGCCCACCAUGUUUGGAAAGCGAUCAUCGACAUGCUAACCAAACACCCACAGAUUUGAAGACUCUCAAACCCGUUCUGAAAUCAUAAUAACUUUUCUUUUCUUUUCUUUUCUUUUUAUUUUGUGCAAUGGUGCGAGGGAAUUUUAUUAAUUAAAAUUAGUUGACAAUAAAUUGUACCAAAAUAUUGUUUAAAGAGAAUGCUUCUCAUUUGGAAAUUAAUGAUCUUCUUCUUAAACAAAAUAAACAGAUGCACAGCUUCUUAUUUGCUUUCUUUACUCCAAAAAAAAAAUUAUGCUUUCUUUACUCUAAAAAAAAAAAAUUAUACUUAAUAAAUCCCAAAAUGUAAGUAGAAUUUUUUUUUCAGAUGCUGAUUGUAGAGUUCGUAUGCCGGCCUUUAAGUUCAUAUAAAAUUAACAUUCAAGCUUUCUUCCAAUAUUUAAACAUACCGGAUAUGCAAAUUAAUUCUGAAAAUAAAAGAUAAAUAUACAAGAUAAAACUUACAGCUUAUUUGAACUCCACUGAAGUAUUUUCCCAAAGGAAAGAAGUUAAUAAAAUGGCGCAACUUCUAGCUAGUUUCUCAUCCUCAGAUCUGUAGUAUGAGCAAGACUUAGUAAAAAUUGACUUGCAUAAUUAAAUUACUCGUCAUAGACUUCUACUCGUAUAACUAAUUAUUCAUUAUAAAUUUCCACUUGUUACAAUUAAUUAUUCAAAGCACUGUUAAGAAAAAGGAUACUAAGUGUCAUGGACUGUCCAAAAUUUCCAGCCUUUUAACUUGACAAGUUCAAGAUGUCCUAGCUUGGCUUGUCUCUAGAAUGCUCCAUCUCUAUCGCAUUGCACACUUGUACCUGGUUAGGAUGUCUUCAGAAUUUGCUAGAGUGUUUUAGCAUGCAGCUUGUACAUAGAAUUCUCUAGGAUACUGUAGGCAUUGUUAGACAUAAGAGCUCUCUACGAGCCAUGAGAACUCUCGAUACAUAGAAUACUCUAGAAUUCUAUUUAUAAGGCAAACCUCCUUAUAAAUAGGGCAUGACACUAAGCAUUUGCAACAAGUAAGAGCAAUAAGCGACUCGAGCGCUUGUAGACAAGCUAUCAAAGCUCUCUUGUACAUAUACUCUUGUGAAUAAUACACGUUCUCUUUGUCUCAAUUGAUCACUUCCUCUUUGGCUCUUCCAAAAGCAUCUUAGCUUAACUAGUUAUGAAGAUCAAAGCUUACUUAACAAGUUUCGAAAAAAAAUUGUAUAAGUAUCACACAAGUUUGCUGUGCAAAAUACUCACCCUGUGAUACCAAGGUUUCCUUUUCACCAUAAUACCCAUUGGCUUUAUAAACUAAAAGAACUAUCUCCAAUAUUUUAUAAUAAAUAGAAAUACAAUAUUAAAAUAAAUGUGAUAAUAUAUUUUCUAAAAUAAUUUCAAUAUUUAAAAAUAUUUUAAUAUUUUACAAAUAUAUUUUAUUGAAUUAAAGUCAAUUUUAUAAUAAAAAGAAACAUAAUAUUUAAAAACACAUUAAAUUUUAAAUUAUUUUCAAUAAUAUGUAAAAUAAUAGUUUUAAUAUAAUUAAUACAUGAGAUAUUGUACCAAGUGUAAUUUCUAUUUAACGCUAAGAUUUAUUUAAAAUCUUUAUAAUAAAUAAAAAUAUAUUCUAAAAUAAAUAUAAUAAUUAAAAUUUUUAACAUUAUUUUAAAUAUAAAGAAAUAUUUUAACACUAUUAGUCUAUAAGACAAAUUAUAUUACUCAUAUUUAUUUGUAUUUAUUAAAAAAUUUAAAGUCAAUUUUCUAAUUGCUAUAUUUAAAGAAUUUUAUUAUUAAAAAUGAAUCUUGUUAUUCCAUUUUGAAAAUUGGGGACAUCAAUAACCAUUUCCACAAAUCUUGAUGGUUUAGCUAUCUUUUUCCCUAUUAAAUAUCAUAAAAUUCUUCAAAUAGCAUUCACUAUCAUUGAAAAUAAUGUGCUUCUUUAGUUUGUUAAAUAGUCAACAGAACUGUUGUUCGAGCAUCUUCCAAGAAAUUGUUUAUGAAAUGGAAAUAUAAAUAUAGUAAUAAACAUGGUGGUGUUGUUUCAAGUUAAAUUUUUUACUUAAAAAUUUGAUAGAUUAUUACUUUCAAGCAAUCUAAUUAUAGGUAUUGAAAGUUAAAGUAGUAUUUAAUAUUGAUUCUUCAUCGACUAUUAGAUUUCUUAGAACCAAUCUCUCAACAUUUAUGUCAAGAUUUUAAGUAAAAGUUUUAAUUUAAAAUAUCAUAGUCCUGCAAAUAUAUAUAUAUAUAUAUAUAUAUUUAUAUAACCACGACUACGUUGCAUUAGGGGUAAACAAAACCCAUUGUUUGUCCUUUACCUAAAUGACCGUUGAAUAAUAUCCAACAAUUGGAACCGGAGUACUUAGUAAUAAGACAGUAAAGGAACUGUUAGGAAAUUAAUUGCAGCAAACUGGUGGACAGUUAGUAAUAACUAAUUAUACAAUAUAUGCAACAAAGGGCCAUGCAAGUGGGGUUUGGAAUCAGAUUUAUCUAAGAAUAUGAAAUAUUAUAAGGGAAAAGGACAUUUACACUUCAAAAUUUGAGAAAAUGGUCGCCAACAUUUUCAAGCUUUUGAAAAGAGAUACUAAGACUCAAUUUUAAUUAUAAUGCCCUUUGUGUCUAUUAUUCCAAAAAAAAUUUGUACUAAAUAGAAAUAUAAUAUUAAAAUAAAUAGAAUAAUAUAUAAAUUUUAAAAUAAUUUCAAUGUAUUUAAAAAUAUUUUAAUAGUUUACAACCUAUUAGAUAUAUUUUAUUAUGUUAAAGUAAAUUUUAUAAUAAAGAGAAACAUAACAUUAAAAUAAAUGUGUUAAAUUUAAAUUAUUUUGAAUAUUAAUGUAAAAUAAUAAUUUCAACAUUAUUAGUAUAUGAGAUUCUUUUUAAUUGUUAAAUGUUUUUAGCGCAAAUAUUUAUUAAAAAUCUCUACAAUAAAGACAAAUAUAUUAUUAAAAUAAAUAUAAUAAUAUAGAUAUUUAAAUUUAUUUAAAUAUUAAAAUAUUUUAAUAUUAUUAGUCUAGUAAAGAGAUUACAUUAUUUAUAUAAUAUUUUUAUUUAUUAAAAAUUUUAAAGUUAAUUUCAGUAAAUAUUUCAAAGCAUAUUACAGUCAAAAUGGAGUCUUAGAGUCCAUUUUUUUAACUUAAGGGUCUGCAUGACCGUUUCCCCAAACCUUGAGGUAUAAAUAUCAUUUUCCCAAAUAAUUAGUUAAAUAUUCUUACAAGAUUUAUUACUCUUCUAAAAUAGAUUAUGGUUAACACCUUGUCUUUGGUCUUAAUUUAAUUCGAAAAAUCUAAAGACUUUUGAAAGUAAAAAUUAAUUUGAUUAAAGGAAACACAGUUUACAAUUCGUAAUAGCGUAAACAAAUAUCAAAUUCGGGGCAUCCAUCCUUGUUAUCCACAACUUUAAAGUUUCCAUUAUUCCGAUUUUUUCGGCCUUCCUAUGUGAAAGACAAUGAAGCAAUUAACCACUUAGAUAUCAUAUCAUAGACCUGCGGAUUCGCAUCGAGCACUCGUCUCCAUUCUUUUUUACAUUUUUCCAAAUUCAGAGAGACAUAAAUCUUCUGAACAAAUUGCUAAUAAUUUAGAUUACAUAAUGCUCUGUUUUGCUUACACAAGCUCUACUAAACAGAGCAACAUUAUUAAUAGGGUUUGAAAAUGAACAAGAAUCUGUAAUCCAAAUGAGAUGACAAUGUCGGUUACAAGAAAUUGUUGUACAGUGCCUAUCAUCCACUUAUAUACUACAUGUCGGUUAUUUUGAGAGGAAGCUCGUAUGAUGAACAGUUAAUGUCGUCUACAAGAAUAAGUAACGUACGUGUUUGAUCACUUAUAAUAAACAAAAGUAGUGCUCACUUAUAAUAAACAAAACUAGUGCUCUGUUCUUCAAGAGGACACAGGGUAGAACUAGUUGAAUCUUUAUAAUCAGAGUGUUAAGUGAGGUCCUGGGGGGUCGACAGUGAUCGUCAACUGAUCUUGAUCCGAGAUUUUUCCUACUAUUGUAAACGACGGCAUCAAGGAGACAACAAGAGAGAGAGCUCUUGUAACGGGCCUAAGCUUCUCGAAGCUGCAUUCAAGCAAGUCUCAGGAUUGCAGCACUUUGGAUUGAGUCCAUCUUGCUCCUCAAGAAGCAACUGUCACAUUUCAGGUAACCGCAGGAAUGUUAAUAACAAGUUCUUUUAAUGAGCAUAAGUUGCCAAUAUCAAUUGGGAUUGCCCGCCCCUUCCCCUGGACUACAGUUACAGAGAUCCAAUUUUGUUCAAGUGUUGGGAAAGCCGGAAAGUUGAUGAAAUUUUACUUGAAUUCCGAUUAAGUUUGUUCCAAAGAAAUUAAUGAGAGAAUUUCAUGUUUUCUAAUUAAUUUGACCUUUUCUGCUUGCCAACAGCGGAUAAUUAUAAAAAAAGACUACGGUCUAUGGUGGUUUAUGGAAUCAAAGACAUUGUCAAUGAUAACAAAAACUUGAUUAAUCUAAGCACCAAAAGCAAGGAACUUCAUUAAGGGUGUCUUCAACGUAAGUACUUAAAUAAUAAUUUAGAGUAUUUAAUGAAACAAAAUAAUUUUAAAAUGACAGAGAACAUGAAUCAUUUUCUUUCUCUCCCUUAUUCUUUAGUAGGUGACACAACAUUUCAUUUUGUCUCACAUACAAGCACAAAAUUUUCAACUAUAAUUUUAAACCAAUGGGCUUCACAUCUUUGUCCUAAUCGAAAGUUCCAAUUAGAAAGCUCCUUGGAUGAAACAUAUGUAAACUUCCAUUGAAGAGGCAGAAGUGACAAAUUUCAAAGGAUUUAUUGAAAAUCAUGAAAUUCCUCCCUCAGGAAAUCGUAUAUGAAAUUAAACAAAAAUGUAAACACAGUCAUAUUAUAUUCAUAAAUUAUGUAUGCAAAUACUAAGUUAUUUUAAUAAGACUAAUGAAGUGAUAAAAAAAUAUAAAUAUAACUGGUAUAAGGUUAAAUACAUGAUAUGAUUCUAAUUUAAUAAAUCAAUAAUGCCCAAAGAACUCAAUCAAAGCCCAAGGAAAAAACACAUUAUUUGAAGCCCAAGCUCAAUAUGGAAAAUCCUCUAAACAAUGACGUUAAGAUUUUUGAAAUUGAGAUUAGUAAGUACCACAUAAAUCUUUUAGGUUCUGGCUCCUCAUUAUCACAGCAUCCACUCCCACGCGCAAGUGCAAUAAUAGAUACGAAAUGAGAUAACGCUGCAAUGAAACAGAGAUAUUAAGAAUACGAAACAGAGGAUUUAAUUCGGUCCUUUAAUUUUUAGCACAUGAGAGAAAUCACAAAAACUUAAAGCUUCAAUCUGAUCGAGCAUGAAUGCAAUUUUCAUUCACGAAAGGCACAUUCUGAUUGUGACCAACUUUUUAUAAAUGGCAUUUAAGAAAGUAAAUGAAAUACCAUCUGCGCACUUACACAUAAAUUCAAAGAAAAUAAUAUCCACCAGGCUUUGCCCUUCAUUCGAGUUGUGUAAAUUUAUUAGGUUGUGGUUCCUCAUCGUAAUCAUCACAGCAGCCACUUCCACUGGUUUCGGCCACUUCCAUAUCUGAUCCAACAAAAUCGUGAUGGAAUUCAUUCAGACUAUAAGAAGUAAAGCGGGUCCAUUGCUUUGUUGUUUGGUCGAACUCCUCAACUUCGUGCAUAUAAAGUGGAUGGAAGCCACAGCUCUUCACCAUCAAUAUAGAAUUCAUGUCUGAUUUUUAAUUUUGACUUUAAUUGUAUGAAAAUUUAUAAUUUUUUACCAAAAAUUAAUAAUAGAAGGAAACGACAGUGAAAUCAAAACCUCCACUCGCCGUUGCGUUAAAGAAACCCAAUCGUUGCAAUCAUUUGCUGUUUCGCUCAGGGCUAGUGAAGUUGUGCCCCAUGCUUACCGAAGAAAACACUUUCUAUUGUUCAAAUUUCAAUCCUCUCAGUCGACCAGGUGAGUCGCUCGCUGUUUCUGUUCAUUCAUGGUUAGUGAAGGUUUUAGUUUUGAUUUUUGAUUUUGAAAUUACAAAAAUAUUAAUUUUUGUUUAGAUUGGUACUGCAUAUAUAUUGGGGGAAUUUGAUUUUAUUUUAAUGGUGUUUUGUAGUUGGUCGAUACUUUUAUUGUGUAAAUUUAUAGUUACUUUUGUUGGUUUUGACUGGCAAUGUUGGAAAGCGAUGAUUCAAUGCAAAUUUCCAGGUUUCAUUUAGAAUGAUUAAGGGUUUGGUAUUCAUUUUAUCUAGUUAAGCAACUUAAUUGGAGAGAAGCUUAAUUAUUUGUAAUGCCAUUAGUGGAUGCUUGAGAUUGAGGGGAGCCUGAUCAUUUCUCUUUAAUUUGUGCUGAUAAUUAAGAUAAAAAAUAUUAUUGCAUGUAUGUAUGAUCAGUACCUUUAUUGUGUGUGUGUAAUAAUAAUAGUAAUAAUAAUAAUAAUAUCCUCAACAGAGGAAGAGACAUGAUCACACACUCGCUGGCCAUUUUUCCUGCGUGCCGUACCUUCUUGGACUGACAAAUCUUUUAAAACUGAUUUUGGUCUUUACAUCAUCUAGUAUUUAUCAAUCUCCCUUGAUUGGAAAUAUGAAAAUGUUGUGCUGAAUCAGAAAGUUGAUCCUGUUGUUUGCCAGGACCCUUACCUUCGAAUGAGACUUUCAUUUUCUUCAAAGCAGGUACUAUCUACAUUCUUUUAUUCCUAAACUUAACAUCUAAUAUCUUAUAUAAGAUCAGUACUCUCUGAGUGUGUCUGACUGCUUAAGGUAUGACUUUGGAUACUUAAGAGAUACCAAAAAUAAAAAAAUAAAAAAUUAUUCAGGUAGGAAAUUGAUAGUGAUGAAGCACAAAUUGACUUAUGGGUCCUGAGGAUGCAUAUCAUGUUUGAUACUGCAUGCUUUUUCUUGAUUGGAAGUAAUGAAUUUGGACUAGUAUCUCUUUGUGAGACUUACUUAACCCACAUAUGUGAGAUAGUUACAAGCUGUAGUUGAUAAUAAAGCUGUAAAAUAGAUUUUCUUAUUACCAGUCGAUUCAAAUGGUAAGACAUAAAGGGGCUGUGCAAGAGAUUGUAGUUCUAAUUCCACCUUUUUUAAAUAGCACUAAUGUAUUGGUUUAAAGAAACUUUUUAUGGGUGCUUUUAGUUAAUAACCAACUAGUAAGGUUCAAAGAAAAGAAAAAAAGAUGUUUAUAUACAUGAUAUAUGUAUGUUUCAAUAUUUUAUUUUAUCUCACUCUGUUUUAGGCGCACUUAAAAUUAACUAUGAGACAGUAACUUUUGAUGACCCUGAGGGUCUAACCAUUUUUCUUACUGAACUAUUAACUUGAUCAAAUAAAUCCAACUAGGAAUACAGCUAUUCUUAAUUUAGUAGUACUGGAUGUUUUUAUGGAUAAUAAAGGUCAAUAAUUUAGUUCAUUGGUUUUGGAUUCGAUUGCAUUUAUUAAUUUAUUUUCUUUCAUAUAAAUUUUGUAAUUUAAAUUUUAAAUUGAGGAAGAAAAAAAUGUAUAAUUUUUUUAUUUUUAAAUUAAUAAAUAAAAUAAUAAUCAAUUUUUAAAAAAAAAAUUGUGAUAGCAAAUAGAAGUCACAACAUAUGGCACACAACUUUUAUCCAAAAAUAAUAAUUACGACUUUAACUUCAUAAGUUUAAGAUUUUCAGCCUAAAUUUUAGAAUUACAAAAAUAUUAGAAAUCAAUGUCCAUUCGACAAAGAGUUGGAGCACCGAACGGGCUAUUUCGUAACAACCGUAGAGCCAGCUGGGCCUUACUCCCUUCAUUUUGAGAGCUCUUCGCAGACUCCAGAGGUCUCGGUCUCCACUUCGCCUUUGGAUAUAAUAAAAAAACCAAAAACAUGCUUCGUUGAACUUUCCUGCAUCUGGAAAAAAUUCACUCAGAUGAUCAAGAAACCAAGUCCAUUGGUUUGUUGUUUGGUCGAAAUCCUCCCCUUGGUUUUCAUCCAGAUAAUCAAUUAACCGAUCCCGUACAUUGUUGAGCUGAGCUCCAUUUUGACACAAUUCACGCAGAUGAUCAAUAAACCGAGACCAAACGCUUGCAUUCAGAUUAUAAUCAAUAGACCGAGUCCAUAGGUUUGUUGCAUGGUCGAACUUCGCCACUUCGCGCUUAUAAACUGGAUGGAAACCACACCUCUUCACCUCCAAUCCUGGGCCUGAAUCAGACUGAAAUGACAACACAAAAUCCUGAGAUUCAAAAUUCCAUGUGCGCAAAUAGCCUUCUUCACGAGACAAAUAUAAAAGCCAAAUAUGGUCUGACCCCGCUUGACCGAACUUUUCCCUAAAAUCAAUAUAACUACUGAUAUAAGAAUCUUUCUUAUGGCAGCUCAACUGAUGUGUAGGGUAUGAGCGCAAACUUUUGAUACCAGAUGAAUAUUUAUGGACAUUAAAAACACAGCAAAUAGCAUAUCCCAUCACAUCAUUCCUUUUAUGCCAAAAUAAAGGCGUUGUGACUGCUAUUGAAGAACCUUCAUUCUGGUACCUAAAACACAUUGGAAUUUCACUUCUUGGAACAACAAUGCUUAAAUGAGGUAUUGGUUUCGACACUUCCUGCAACUUCGAAAAGCACAAAAACAUAAAAAAUAAAAGUCCAUGUCAAUGCAUAAUUUUUAGGCAUAAUCUUUGGCACAACUGGGAGACAGUGAGAGACUGACCUCAAGGUUCUCUUUUAGCACUGACAAUGCCGACCCAUUGUUGUUGAGCAAUUUUCAUACAACUAAUUACUGUGUAAAUCGACUUGCAUAAUUUCAAUGCAUGUGAUAAUGUUCCCAAAGAAGCAUAACCAUUUACCCGAACUUGCUCUAUAUUGGAUGGAAGUUGUGGCAGAGAUUGAAGCCUCUUGCAUUCCUCCAAUUCUAUAAUCCAAAGCUUAGAAAGACGGUUAAUGCUUGCUGGUAGCGAAGUAAACCUGUUUUUACUUAAAUACAACUCUUUUAAUGAGCAUAUGCUGCCAAUAUCACUUGGGAUUGCUCCUUCCCCUAGAUUACAGUCACUGAUAUCCAAUUUUGUUAAAGAGCACAAACCUAAAAGAGAAGUCAACCUCAAAGCUACAGUAUGUGAACUCCUCAUUUUCAUCGAAUUGAUGGGAAAGGAAAAUACAGUGAUGAUGAUGAUUGUGGUAAUUUGCUUCCAAGAAAAGACAGUGCUUGAUAAUUCUGCACAGAAAAAAUGGACGACACUGGGUUCCGUAAAGCAGUUCCACUUGAAUCAAGCCCCUCCAAACUUUCUACCAUGUCAAAACUCUCUAGCACAUUUUUAGAUUUGAAGCAGCCAAAGAGAUUCAGGGUUCUAAGAGAUGUUAAACCAUUCAUAGAACUUGGAAGUCCCACAAGAUUUGUGCAGUUUCCCAAAUUCAACAAAAUGAGUCCAGUCAAAAGUUGAAUUGAUGAUGGCAGUUCUUCAAUAGCUGUUCCAUCAAGAAAAAGCUCCACCAGACAUUCCAUACUUCCCACAAUUUCUGGAAACUUCUUCAGCUUCGAGCAACCAGAAAGUACAAGUUUUCUUAGACGUAUUGUGGCAAUCUUAUUCCGAAGAGUUGUAAGAUUUGUGCAAUCUUUUAGAUUCAGUGAAAUAAGGUUCUUGUGAAGCAUUAAUGAUUGGUGAAUAUCACACAAUCUUGUACAUCCUCUAAGAUCCAUCUCCUCUAAAUUUGGCAACCCAGUUAAGUCUGGUGUUCCAAUCAGGUCCUUGGAAUGCCAAAGUCUCAUGAUUUUCAACUUGCUCAAAGGCUGUUCAAAAACAAAAUCUCAACAAUUGUUCAAGGGAUGAAUCAUAAUACCAUCAACACUUAUUAACUGAAAGGAUAUAAACAAAUCUUACUUUGAUUCCACUCCACAUUCGUUCCAUGCGGCUAUAGCACAUUUGUUGAGAUUGAUGGCAAGGAUUUGGAAGGAUAAGUGUUGAUGGUAUUACGGUUAAGUUCAAAAAUUUUUUCAGGUUGAAAAUUUGAUGGCAAGGAUUUGGAAGGAUAUCCAUGCCAUUCAAGAUACCGUAAUUCAUUAGGGAGAAAUUCAAGGCCUCCAGGAAGUUGCACAUUACCAAUUGUCAGCAUCCUUAAGUUAGUCAUGUUAAAAAAUGCUUUAGCACUUGCACUCAAAUGCGCAUCAUUAUCUCGAGAAGAGUAAUCAAGUUGUAUGCCUUCAACUACUUCAGUCCCCUAAAAGUUAUAAGCAAAGAAUUAAGUGAAGAAACAAUUUGAAGACCAUUAAAUCUUAGGACAUGUUUUUGGCUUAGUUGCUUACCGUGUUUUUUGUCAACGCAUGAUGUACAUCUUCUUCUUUCCACAAUCUGCUACGUUUCCCGGGCUCUUUAGGGGACUGUCUUUUAACAAUUUGUUGACCCAUUUCUUGCAACAAAUCAUGCAUCCGUAAUCUAUUGCCAUUAGAAAUUUCUAUGAGAGAUUUGUCAAUAAGAACCCUUAUUCCAAUAACUGGAUCAAAAUCACAGUAAUCAAGAAUUUUUGUUACAUAAUCUCUAUUGUCCCCUCGAUAAAAACAUGCUAUGUCGAGGAAUAUUUUCUUCUCUGUUUCUCUAAGCCCAUCAAAACUUAUUUUAAGUGUAUCCAAAAUUUCAUUUUCUGAUUCUCUUUCAAGUCUCUUUAGUGCACUUUCCCAUUCUUUUGUUGUUUUACCAUACAAAAAGGAUCCCAAAACUUUGAGAGCCAAUGGAAGACCACCAGAGUAUUUUACAACAUAUUUAGACAGCUGUUCAUAUUCUUUCCAAGGCUGAUUGGUUUUAAAGGCUUGUUUACAAAAGAGUUGAAGAGCUUCAUCAUCAUGUAGUACCUUGAGCUUAUGUACUUCAUCUACUCCAUGUGUCAUCAACAAAUGCUCAUCUCUUGAUGUUAUUAUGAUCCUGCUGCCUGGACCAAACCAUUCGUGCUUUCCAGCUAAACUUUCCAAUUGCUUUAAAUCAAAUGCAUCAUCGAUAAUCAGAAGAACCUUUCUGCACCGCAGCCUACUUCCUAUCAUCUUGAGACCAUCAUAAACAUUCCAUGUGCUACUAUCUGGAAGCUUUAGUAAUUCGGAAAGGAGUUGCUUUUGUAAACAGAUCAGACCGCCUUUUUCUGAAAUUUCUCUAACAUUGGCAAGAAAACUACUUGCUUCAAAUUCAUGAGAGCUCAAGUCAUAAACAACUCUUGCAAGAGUUGUCUUACCUAUACCUCCCAUACCACAGAUCCCAAUCAUACGGACACCAUAAGGCUCUUUAUCCAUAAAAAACCUGAGUGUAUUCCAGCAUGAAUCCAUUCCUACUAGAUCCUUAAAAAUCUCAGAUUUUGCAGGAAUUUUACUUGACAUCUCCAGGAUAUCCUUGACAAUAUCUACAAUAAAUUCUGAUUCAUUCCUGCAGAUUGGAAGAACAAGAAAAGAUUGGUGUUGUUGAAUUAAAAUUAGUGUGAACAUGGUAUCAAAUCAAUCCCGUAAUAUGUAGUAUCCAUACAGUGCUAUAUUCAUUCAUUCAAAUUGAAGUCAUUAAAUGUGUUGAUUAAUCUAUCUGUUCUCUUGUGCUUCUUCAGUCGCAGAUAUUCAUUUUCAAAGCUAUUAUUUCAAUUACAUCAUAUGUAUUAAUAAUUUCUCCUUACAAUUCAUUCUAUGGCCUGCCUCUGUUUUUAAUGUCUAAAAGCUCAAGAAAUUCUACAAUUUAUUUGUUCCUCCGCAUCAUUCUUGCAACAAUAAAUAAUCAAAUCUUGUCAUCUAUAUUUUUAUUUGAAAAAUCGCAAACAUGUUAUUUGUCGGAACAACUAAUUGAAUACAUAAACACUGUGUUUCUGGUAUAAACUUUUGUUAAAGACAUGUAUACACAUACAUAUACUAUCAAGGCAUUUUAAAACAUGAAAUUAACUGCCUCAGUGACUCUUUAAAGUAUAUUAAAUCAAAUAAUACAUACUUGUGAAGGGAUAUUUCGAUCUGCUCAUUAGCGAUGACUCAUGCAGAACAAACAAAAAUAAGAAACCUUGGUCUUAAAAUUAAUGUUUGAGAACAAGAACAAUCACCUGUCCUUCAAUUCCCUUUCAGAGACAUUAGCCACCUUUUUCAAAGCAUCUCUCCACUUUUGCACCUUUUCUAUAUUCAUCCUGAAAGUUUCUUCAUGUUUAGAGAAAGCUUCUCCAAAACUUGCUGUCUGUUUCUUUACCACAGUCGGUUCGACAUCAUAGAAAAUUGGAAAGAUCAUAUGUUGAUGACCAUUUGUGCUCUCCAAUUCAACAAUUUUAACGAGUUCAUCCAAGCACGAAGUCGAGUAAGCAUAAUUUCUUGAGAAAACAAUAAUUGAUAUUCUGGAUUCUUCAAUUGCUUUCAACAGUCCGGGUGAAAUGGAUUUUCCUCUAUCAAGUCCUUUAUCAUCUCUGAAUACAAUGAUUCCUCUUUGAUCCAAAGCAGCAUACAAAUGAUCCGUGAAAUUUUUGCGGGUGUCUUCACCUCUGAAGCUCAAGAAGACAUCAUAUUUCCAAUGGGAGCCUUUUUUGAUGUUCAUGGAAGCCAUUAUAUUUGUUCUUGAAUAUUUACAUCGGAAUAGUUUAUCACUUCCUGCUAAAGAUGUGGAACAUUAUGCCAACCAAUUAUAUGUAAAAAAUAAAAAAAUAAAGAUUGGAUCGAAAAUCAUGGGCUUGACAAAAAUGAAUUGUGAAUGUCAAAGCUGAAAAUAGAAAGUCAAUUAGUUAAUGCGAUCACUUAAAUUACAAUUACAUAUGAGCUAAAUUGCUACUUUUAGGUCACUUAAUCCAAGAGGUAUAUCAUGUUAUUCUUUCUUUACCAGAAAGAAAAAUUCAUAGUAAAGAAAUUCCAAGAUGUAGUGAAAAAUUAAUUUUUCAGACGCUGACUGGAGAAUGAAUAUGCCGACCUCUAUUUAAGCAAGACUUUGAUUAGAGCCUCUAAGAGAACGCACAGAGUAUCUUGAGCAAGCAUCUAAAACAAAAUUUAACAGUCAAGCUUUCUUUCAUCCUGGAUAUGCUAAUUAAUUCUGAAAAUAAAAUAAGAAUUUGUAUAAAAGAUAAAACGUACAGCUUUGAGUGUUUUGAAUGCAGCUACUAAUGAUUGAAUUCCUGUGAAGUAAUUGAUUUAAAGAAGUUGAUCAGGCGAAUAUAUCUUUCAAAGAAAAGCAGAGGAUUUUUAGUUUGGAAAAUAAGGAAUCACAGAACUAGAAAAGCAAGUCUUGGUCAAAAUAAAUAAUACUAAUAAUAAUAACAAAAACAACAACAAUCAGCAAGGAGAUGGGUUAGGGACGUGACAGAACCAACGUGACAGACCCGACGAAUCCGACCAGCGACGAGUGACACAGAUGGGCUGCAAUCGGCGAGGAAUCCAACCGGUGACGAGCUGCUGAACCGACGUGAUAGAACCGACGAAUCCGACUGGUGAUGAGCGAUGGAGAUGGGCUGAAAUUGGCGUCGAAUCCUUUUGGUGACGUGCUGCUCAACCAGAGAAGGUGCUGCAGACGAUCGUCUCUUUGGCUCUAGCCUCUAGGUGGUAGAGACGUGAUGGGUUAGUGAUUUCAUGGGUUCUUUUUUAAUUUUUUCUCAGUUUAUAUUUUUUAAUUGCCAAGAGGGUAUUUUGGAAAAAUUAAAAAUACAAUAGAAGGAUCCCCUAUCUUACAACUAAUAUAAGAUACACUUAGGGAUGGCAAUGGGGCGGGGUGGGGGUGGGGAUGCCUACCCCAUUCCCCACCCCAUUAAAAAUUUUUGCCUCCAUUCCCCACCCCAUUCCCCAAUAAAUUUAGUGGGUUGGGGAUGGGGAAUCCCCACGUGGGGAAUGAUUCCCCCAUCCCCACCCCAUUCCCCAUUUAUUUAUUUUAUAGUAGAUACAAAAAUAUGAUUUCAGUAAAUUAAAAAUUAAAGACUUAAAAUAAAAUCAUCCUCAUAUUAUAAAGUAUUUAAUUUUUUUUUAAAAUCUCUAAAUGUUUGAAACAAUAUCUUAAACUGAUAUUAAAAGUGAAAAUAUUUAAAGAGAGCAGCACCUUAAAGGAGAAAAGAAAAUAUAAUAAUAUUUUAAAAUUAAAAAAUAUUGUAGGGUUUUCUUUUACUCAUAUCAUGUUUAUAUUACAUAAAAAUUAAAAAAUUAUUAAUUGACAUUAUAGUUGAUAAAAUAAAAAUUAUUAACAUAUUUAUAUAUAUUGGGGAUUGGGGUGGGGGUGGGGUGGGGAGUGCAAUACCAAACCCCACCCCGUUAACAAUUUGGGGAUUAUUUUUUUCCCACUCCCCACUCCAUUCCCCAAAAAUUAUUAAAAAAUUUCCCCAUUUGGGGUGGGGCUCCAUGGGGCCCCAAACCCGUGGAGGAUUUUGCCAUCCCUAGAUACACUUCUCACAUGAACAGUGAAUAAAUCUCACACAUAUACUGUUCAUGUGAGGGGAUGUACUUUACAUUAGUUGUAAGAUAGUGUUUGUCAUAAUAGAAAUAGUUUUGUCGUUUGGGGAAUAAGGUUUUGAUUCCCAACCCCAAUCAAAAUCUCACUAAUCAAACUUUAUUUUGCGUGGGUCUCAUGCACCUUAUUCCCAUUUCAGUUAAACAAAUAAAUAACUUAUUCAUUCUCUUGAUCCACAUUUUACUCUCCAAUUGAUGAUUUUAUCUUUAGUUAUGGAUUAUUAUAUUUGUUUAAUGAAUUUAGUAAUUUGUUGAGAAAGAUGAAGUUUAAUGAUUUAGUGAGUAGUGAGGUUUAAUUAUUUUGUAACAGUGGUAUUGGUUUGAUAAUUUGUUUAAAGUGAUGAGGGCUGUUUGUCUAAAAGACUUAUAUUUGAUUAUUAUAAUAGAAAAAAUUUAGAGGAAUCAAUUUUAAAGAACUCAAAAGUUUUGAAGCUAUUUGUAUAAAUUUCUCCAACUUUAAGGGGCUGCCUGGUUGCAUUACUAUCUUAAUUAUUAAUUGUUAAGUAUAUAUAUGAAAUAUUAAUUAUUAAUUUUUAUUAUUGUUACUAAAUUAAAAUUUAAAACCUAGCCAAACUUAUGUUUAAAAAAAAACACAUUACUAAAUAUAAUCAUGCUAAUCCAUUUAAAUCCAAUCUAAUAUGCAUUCCCCAGUCCGUUUCCUCAGCACUCCCCAGUCCCCAUAGUUGGUUCGAAGGGCUGAGCUACGCAUGACAGGUAGGGCUAGCCAUGAAAAAUUUUGCUUAUUCCCCUUAAGAUUUUAUAAUUUUCGUAACAUAAAGAAUUUUUAUUUUAUUUUCAAGUAUGUCUCUUGUUCAUCUUUUUAUUGGAGUUAGUCUUAUUUGUAAAAUGAUUUAAUCAUUAUUUAUUAAGGAAUUGAAAUUAUUAGGAGGUUAAAAUGUUAGUAUAGUUUUAACUUAUUAUAAAAAAAUUAUAAUUUGGUCUAAUUGAAAAGAAGUAUGCCAAUAUAUUAUAACAUUGUUACUAGAAAUAAGUUUAUAAUAAGUGAAUCUCGUACUUUAAUUAAUUUAUAAUGCUAAAGAUCUCUCCAUUUGAGUCUCAACUUAAAUCUCAAUACUAUGUGUUACUAAUCUAUUAGAUGAUAAAUGUAAAAUUACUUUUUCCUCUAUUCUACUAUCCAAUUGAUGAAUGUCUCACCAGUUGGAACUCAAAAUCAAAUGUUAGUAUCCCUGACAUUACUCAAUGAUAUAGUAACAAUUAAUGAUAUUUUCAUAAUUUCAUAGUUUGUUUCUUUCACAGUCAUAUUUGUUCUUUCUUCUUUUAAUUAAACCAAAUUGUUCAAAUAUGUCAUAUUCUUCUAUCACUGAAAAAAAGGAAUUUUGAAAGAAUUUUUUAAUGUAGAUUUUUAAUAAUUUAUAUUAUAACCUUAUUUGUUGCAUUGUGAUUUUUUAUUAAAUAAAUGAAUUUUACAAAGAGUUCGCUCUGGUGUUACUUGAGAUAUAUAUUUUUUAUUUCUUUUAUAUGAACUGGUAUUCACACAAAUAUUAUACCAUAAAUUUAUAAAUUAGCUGGGGCUAAUAAAAAAUCUUGGGUCCGCCCAAAUUGGUUCAUCAUCAUAGAAAAUCGGAAUUUGUUGAUGAUGAUGAUCACUUGCGUUCAUGCACUUAACAAUCUUAGCAAGUUCAUCUGAGCACCAAGUUAAUUAAGCAUAGUUUCUCGGGAAGACAAAAAUUGAAAUUUUUGAUUCCUCAAUUGCUUAAAAUAGUCCUGGGGAAAUUGACUUUCUUCUCUAAAUACAGCAAUUCCCUUUUGAUCCAAAGAAACAUGCAAAUGGUCAGUGAAAUUUUUGCGGGAGUACUCUUCGCCUCUAAAGCUAGAAUUGCAUCCGCCAGGAAGAAUUGAAGGAGAACAGCAGCUGCAGCUUGGAGAAAGAGCCAGUCACUUGGAUUUAUUUCCUAUGACUGGUUUUAUCUACUCUUUCAUCCCCAAUUCAAUUAUGUGUAACUAAAUCUUCUAUACUAGGACUAAGGAUAAAACCCUAUUCAAUGAAAUAAAUUACUUUUUUUUAUUCAAUUAAUUUCUUAUAUGAGCGCUUUAAUGUUUAUAGCUCUUGUUUCACAUAUUUGGUUGAGUAAAAUUAAAUCGUUUCAUCAAUUCUGUCGUGUAUUAUUGAUUGUUAAGACUAAUAUUUGACUCAAUUUAUGCUUGGAUCCAUAAAACUUAUAUGUGAUUAUCUUUGAUUUUGUGUCUUUCAUUAAAUUAUUUGCAUAAAAUGCUUGGGUAAACUUUAACUAUUUGUUAUUCAAUAUGAUUUCAUGGAUACUUAGAUAUCAUACUAUUAAAUAGAAAAAGAACUUACAUAAGAUUAAUUUUAAUUGGGCUUAAUUAUUAUAUUCACGAGUAGACAUAGAUUAACUUCGAGUAGUUAUACUAAAAUUGAGAAUUGAUUAGUAAUUAGAUAAUUGUUAAUUGAAUUGGGUAGAUUUUGAAAUCCUGGUACCCUCAAUCUCUUGAAUUGUUGUGUUAAUUUACUCCUUUUAAUUUUAAUUGCAUCCUUAGCUUUAAUUUUCUCAAACAAAAUAUUUUUUAUUCAACUAGGGCAUAGUUAUAAUGGACUUAGAUUAAAUUUUCCUUUCCUAAAAAUUCACAUUCCUUAUGGAUUCGAUCUAAAUUAUUUUUAGUCUAUACUUCAAUAGCCUCAUGUGCUUGCCAAUAUAUUAAAAUUUGCACAACACAUUCAGCCUAAAAUAAAAUAUAAAUUAUGUAAAUGAAACAUAAAACUUAUAAAAGGAAGGUUAAAUAAGUAAAUUAAUAUAAGAGUUAUUAAAAAAAUUACAAAUGUAAAUUAAAAGCUUAUUAUAAUAAUCACUAUCUUAUGUAUUUAUUGAUUUUGUUUCUAAAUGAAAUAACUAUAGUUUUGGGUUUAUAUAAUACAAGUCAUAAUAUAUGUGAAAUUUUAUUAAGAAUAAAAUUCAUUAAAUACAGGAGACAAGUUAAUAUAAAAUGUAAGAAAUUAACUUGCAGAAGAUUAGAUGUUGCUAAGCAAGAAGAAGCGGCCACCUAAGAUGUGAUUAGCUGUUAUUCAACCUAACUUUUCCAUUUGUUGAAGUACUGGUGAAACAAGGGAUAGAAAAUCAGAGCCUGAGUUUACUUACUUAGAUCAGUUCUGAUAUUCAUCGUUGCUGCCCUUAUCAACAUUCUUGCUCCAUGAGUCUGAACCAUUAUGUUGAUCAAUACUGAUAGGAAUGCACAUUGAUGAACUAACACAGUUUGCGUGUUACAAAGGAAAUUAGGAAUUUUGUAAAGCGCAAAAGCAGAGAGUAUUAUCAAAGUGUUGCUUUUGCUAAAUCUGUUACUGGCUUAACUGCACUCUGUUCCACAGAGUUGAAACCAUUCUGUUUUUUCCGUGGUUCGUAAAAGCCACUGGCAUCAGGUGGGAAUCGUCUCUUUUGUUUGUUCAAGACAUCAGGUGGGAUGCACGGUUCCUUUCCUUCUUGGCCAUUUUGUCGAACGACUUUUGGGAAUGGGAAUCAUACCAUAAUUGAAAGCAAAAACAGUAAUCAGAAAACAACGAACACAGAUUUUCGAGCCUAAGCCAGAUGGCCUAGUUCCUGGUGCAGAACAGGCGAACGGAUUUCAUUAAUCAUCAGGAAUUCAAGAACAAGGUCAAAAUUAUGAUGAUCUGAUUGCAUGCUGACAAAUUGCAGCUUCUAACGCUAUUUAAUAUAGCCUCGAAAACCUUCUGGGACCUCCCCCACUUGCCAACUUCGUUUCCCGCCAAAACCAACGGCUGUAACAACUAAUCAUUUGACCAGCCUCGGCGCACGUGUCCGGGGCGUGACAAGUUAAGUUUAUCUUUAACAUAUGUCACGUGCAAGACAAGUGCUCUACUAAAUGUUCGUAACCGACAUUACAUGAUGAUCAUACAUUGAUAUCGAAGGAGUAACCGUUAUCUCGAUCACGUUUAAGACGACAUAACAGUAAGCAAUAGAAUCAGAAACCGACAACGUCUUUCGCUAUAGAAGCUUAAAUUUGAGAUGGGUAAUUUUUGGAUACCUCCCCGAGGUUUGCCCUUGCUACACUUAGAGAGAAUGUAUGCAUAUAUUGACAUAUAGCACCCCCGGACGUAUAUAAUCGUUAGGAUGCCGUUUGCUCUGUUGAUGAAAGUACAAUAAUACCCUUCAUUCCACUGCACAACAACUGACAAUACUUGUAGCAAUGCAGAGUUGCAGACUUGACAAUACUUGUAGAAAUGUUGCAGAGUUGCAGACCGUCUGUUGUUUUUUGGCGUCAAAUACAUAAUAACAGUGAAUAUGUAUUUUUUUCAUUCGCGAAGCAACAGCAUCACCAGAUUUUGGUACCCCGGAAGUGUUAGUGAUACCAGAUGAAACACUAUCAGUAUCAUCAGAAGUUACAAGAUCACAGUACUCAUUCAUCAACAAAUUGCCAUCUUUAUUUUGCUUAGCAUUAUUUAAAUCCAAGCUCAAUCUACUCUCAUUUUCAAUAAAAUAUUGGUACCACGACUUAGCCACCGCCCCAUAUCCAUACCCAACGAACUUCUUACCCUCAACACUAGAAUCUCUCACUGGAGUCCCUCUUAUUGUCUCAGGAGUUGCCUUAGCUUUAGUCUUACUAAUAGGAAGUGAAAAGGCAUCAGCUUGAAACGAAACGGAUAGGCUCCUAGUUGAAGUAAUAAGCAUCCUUGUUAUUGUUGAAAGCUCUUGACUUGAAUUGCUUGCUUAGAGCUUGGAACUAGGGUAAUAGCCCUUGGACUAGAACCAAUCACCUGCCUCCUUCUAUCAACAGAUUGUGAUCUUUUAGUCCCCAAAGCUGGUAAAUUCGAUGAAUUUAUUGAACGAGACACAAGUAGAGAAGAAAAUCUCAGGCUCUGACUCUGACUUUUUGCUGUUGCUGUUGCUGUUGUUGAAGAUGAAGAUGAAGAAGGAGAAGGUGACAAAUAUCUUGAAGAGACAAAUCUUCCUUUAGGUUUCCUUGGACCAUUAACAAUAGGAACAUUAUGCGCAUUGUUUUUUCAGAAGGCAAAAGGGGAUGCCCUGACCUUGUCCUUGGGUUCUCUUCAGAAAUGGCAGCCACCAUUAUCAGAGAAACUGUAGAAAUAAAAUUAAAAAAAAAAAUUCUUUUUUUUUCCCUUCACAUUGCCUCAUCGUGAAGUCCAAUGUUACUUUAUCAAUCAUUUUUAUUUUUGGCACUUUAACCCAGAAAGCAUUUGAUUUUGUUCGGGGCAAGAAACUGCUGAAAAAAAAUAAAACAAGGCUGAAAAAGAUUAAGAGAUAUGGGAGAAACAGAAAAGGGCGGGUGAGUUUAAUCUUAUUUUCAGUUAAUGAAAUCUUGAUUAUAGUUUAUCAAAGUGUAUUUAUGCCUUUAUUGUUAUUUCGACCCAAUAAUUUGUCUUAAAAAAUUCAACAAUUAUUAAAUCAUUUAAAUCAUUGUCUUAUUAAAGAAAAAGAUACUUCUUUUUAACAUUAUACUUCAAAUAUAUUGAUAAUAUAAUACAACAUUCCGCAGUGCAGAAGCUCAUAAAUUUUAAGAUGUAGAUUUGCUCUCUCUCUAUAUAUAUUAUAUGGGUUAUUUUUAGAGACCUCCCCUGAGGUUUAGUGUAUUAACACCUAGAUAGAAUGUAUUGAUAUAAUUACAGAAACCUCCCCUGCCGUUAGUAUAAAAAUACGUAUGGCAUCAAUAUACAAGGGUAAAUUUGUAAAAUCAUAUUUAAAAUUCAAAAUAUGUUUUUACUAGAUCAAUGAUAUUUUGAACGACUUGCCCGCUGUUAACCGAACUUAACUAGUUGGCCAUGACUCCACCGGCAGCCAAUAGUGGUGCUUUGCCACUGCCGGAGUCCCCUCUUCACCCUGGUUACCAACCCCAGUCACAGAAGCCUAUGAAUCAACCGCAUCCACCACAACGCAUUAACCCAAAAAGAUGGCUUUUGUCUCACAACAGCCCCCACACCGGCAGUGCCCCUUUAGUCGUUGCUGAUGUCACCCAACCGCUAUCACCCUUGAGCCAUCCCGAUGCCAUGCAACAAUCUUUGACAUCCCAAAACUUAACCACACACAGCUCUCAAAACUAUAGCUCACGGCUGGUCACGCCGCAUACCACUGCCGUAAUUUCUGCCAUCAGUGAUGGUUCCAUUUCGUCGCUGUCUAUCCCCUCAACCAACCCCCAUGAAGUCCUGACCUCAAUAAACAUCUCAAUAGCCACAAAACCCACAAUUUUUUCAUCCCACACUUGCAGCCACAUUCAAACUCAUGAGAUCUCGCUGUCGCCAUCUUGUCAAAGUCCGUUAGUGGUGCUUCACUGCAAACGGAACCUUUUUAAGCCCAAUACACCACCAAUAGGCAUUUUGUUCAACUGAGUUUUCAAACAAUUUGUUGAUUCUGACGCAAUUAAUUGCUUUGUCGAACUGGGUUUUCAAACAAUUUGUUAGAGUCCAAAUCUAGCUACGACUGCAAGACUGUGAAAUCUCCUGAAAGCAAGAACAAUUGACGCUUCGCAUCUCUUUGUCUUUUAAAUAGGCACCAGCUUUCGGAUCCUUUGCAGCCAUCUAGAGGACACGGGUUGGUUUUGAAAGCAUAGAGCUGGGUAGCAGAGAAAGAAAGGAAGGGAACAAGGUAGAAAGAAAGACAGGAUGGCAUUGAAAGUGUAUAAGUCAAGCCAAAGGACGGCGACAAGGAAGAUGGCAGGCAGCAAAGGAGUGGUUGAAGACCCGGUUAAUCGAUGGAAGCAGCAGCCGGCCAAACCUAUUACCCAUAAAUUCUCAAAGCUACAUUUAAUAAUUUAUUAUUUUGGUGAGAAGGGUAUUUUAGUAAUUUUGACAGUCUAUUAACAGUAAACUUAACGACUAAUUAACGGCAGGGGAGGUUUCUGUAAUUAUAUCAAUACAUUCUAUCUAGGUGUUAAUACACUAAACCUCAGGGGAGGUCCUUAAAAAUAACCCUAUAUUAUAUAGUAUAUUGGUAUAUUUAUUAUUUUUUGUUCAAUUAACUAAUACACUUGUAUAUAGUGAAAUAAAUAUUUAAAAAAAUACAAACAUUUGUACUUAAAAAUAAUUAUAUUAUUAUAAUUUGUUGAAACCUCCUAAAUCACUUGUGGAAUAACAUAACCCAAAUAUAUAAAUUCAUAAUAAAUUGGAGGUGUUUAUGAUCGUGCUAGUGAGUGAUUCCUAAGAAGAUGAAAUAAUUUACUUCAAUGAUAAAACAGUACCCAAAAUUAUUAAUUCCAAAUUUUUCUUAAGGUUUACAAGAAAUAUGCAGUGUAGAGUUGUCUUUUAUUGGCAGCAUGUAAUUUGGGUCAUGAAGCAAAAAAAUUUAUCCCAUAUAAUAAAAACAAUAAAUUGUGAGAAAAUAAGGGAGAAGUUCAACAUAAGUGAAGAUUCUUUAAAUUUUUUUAAAUUUAAUAUUGAUUAUGUGUGCCUUACAGGGACAUCAAAGAGUGAAAAUAUGCAGGGUUCAGUCGGUCACUGUGAUGUACAAUGAUUUUUUUUAAUCAGUUCACGGCCUUUUUAACGAUUUGAAAAUUUAAAAUUUGUAAUUACGUUAUUGUCCUUAACUAUCAAACGGUAUCCCAACCCUUAUAAACGUCAGGGGUGCUAUAUGUCAAUAUAUGCAUACAUUCUCUCUAAGUGUAGCAAGGACAAACAUCUGGGGAGGUAUCCAAAAAUUACCCAAUUUGAGAUCAAUCUUUCACAUAUUGUUUCCGAGCAAGUUAGCGACUUGUCAAAGCUUGGUGGCAGGCAGGUUCUGUCGGAAGAAGAAUGUUUUUCAGCGGGAGUCUCAUCUCAGGUUGAGGGGUGGCUGGAGAGUCCCUAAUGGUAAAGUUGGUUACUUCAUUUUGGACCAAAAAAACUUUCAAUUUCCCUCCAUUGAAAGCAAUGGUUCCGAUGACGAGGUUGACAAAAAGAAAGAGCGUGCAGGGACUGGGAGUGAGGGUGAGCCAGCUGCUCAUGCAUCCCCAUAGUGUUGAUUGGUCUGUCAUGCUCUUCUGUUUCGGUUUCGUGGGUUUUGGUUUGUCCUUAAUCUGUAAGAAUGGAAAUUGGAAGGUGAGAGAGAGAAAGAGAGAGAGAGAGAGAGAGAGGGAGAUUUAUUAUGUUAUAUUGUAUGUCGCGAGGAGGAAUGCUCACAUGAUUUGUUGCAAUUACUACUUCCUAUUUGUGAACCAACGCUAAGAAAAAAGCAUAUCAAAUUGGAACAUUCCCAAUUUGUGAACCACCCCAAAUGUUAGUUUGGAUUGAGUUAAAAAUAUUUAAAUUAGUUUGAGUUGGGUUUAAAUUUUUAUAGUUUAAUUUAGAUUGAUUUAAAAUCCAAUUCAAACCAACCCAUGCCCACCCCUAUUUGUAUGUACAUGAGGAUUGUGCAUGCGUUUUCUCUUGCUUUAUUUACUCAAGCGCAGUUGAUCUCAUACACGGAAAAAUAGAAUUUGUCGCUGUAAAACUCUGCAUGUAGAAAAGCGACAAUUUAACUUAUCUGUUCCCACAAGGUCUCGAAUUGAUUUGACAUUUGCUCGCCGUCUUAUCUUUAAAAAAUAUAAAAUAUAAUAAAAAAAUAAAUCAAGUUACUAGAGUCGGCCAUUUCAAUAUAAAGUAUUCUGCCUAAAGCAUACGUGUUUUGUUUUUGAAUCCAAAUUGCCAUGGAAGUAGGAUAAAGGUGAACUGCGAAUAGAAAAAUAUAACAAAAAAAUCUCUUAAAACUUCGUUUAGUAUAUGGAGGUGCUGUGACUUUUAAGUUAUAUAUUUUAUGGUAUUAAAUUUUAUUUAUGAAAUAAAAAUUGAUAGUAUUUGAUGAUUAUCAUUUUUUAACCUUCUAGGAAAAUUUUUAACAAUUUGAUCUUUUAAUUAUAACAGAGUAGACAAUUCUCCAAUCAAAACAGAGAUAAUCAGAAUAAGAAACCGAGUUUCUUUUUUUUUUUUUUUGGUUGGGGUCUGUCCUUCAUGUUUUCUCUUUCUUUAAUUCUCAAAUCAUCGGAAUUCAUAAAAUUCAAAUCUUCAAAUUUGACUUUCUCUUCUUUAACAAUGAACUCAAAAACGAAAAAGGAGAAAGAAAAUAAUAAUAAUAAUAAUAAUAAAAAAAAAAGACUAAACGUACGGCAUGAGAUGCAUUUUUUCUCACGGGCCAUCCAUUUCCUCUUGCCAUUUGAAAUACGACUCAACUGCUUGUUUCUAUCAGCAGGCAUUGGAUUUAACUACAAUUUAUGAACAAACCUCAGAGAAAUUCCAGUAAGGGGCUAAUCUGAUCGGGCACGAAAGCAACUUUGGAGAUAUUCUUUGCUUCUGAUUCAAGCAGAGCAUUUUCUAGUGAUUUAAAAUAAAACUUUGCAUGAGUAAAUAUAACAGACAAAAAGAACAAAACUGAAAUUGAAAUUGCAUGCUUACUGAUAAAUUCAUAGACUUUAAACCUAAUAUUAAUGUUAAAUAACUAUACUUAAUAUGCACAAAAUUUAAUACAUGAACCAGAUGAAGAUCUUGUUGUAAGCAGUGAAGGAUUGAACAACAAUUUGAAGAAGAAAAAGCUUGAAGAAGUGCAAAGUACACCAGAUGCAAAAUUGCCUCGAAAGUCUCCAUCAAUACAGGUUCAGGUUAUUCGGAAAACCAAAGUUAAUGCAAAAUCAGAGAACAAACCAGAGGAAAGCUCUGUACUACAAUCACUCUGCCAAAACUACGACAAUGAUGUGUGAUGAUGAGCAGUAAACCAAGCAAGACUCCUGACGCAAGCAAUUUAUUGAAGGCUUUUUCUGAAGUUCCUUGCUGCAAAAACGCAUGAAUCAGGCAGUUAUUUUGCUUGGUCAUUUUGAGAGUACUUUGCAGACUCAUUCAUCUGGAGAGUAAACAUUUACCGUUUCUAGGUCGAAAUAAAGCCGUCUCUGAUCUUGUGCUAACCAAAUAAUAUGAAAGUAUAAUUAUUCUUUUUUUAAAACAAAUAAAAUAUUAAUCUGAUAUUCAUCAUUGAUUUUAUCAAUUUUACCUAAUAAAUUAUAUUAUAAUUAAUUUGUAUACCCCACAUUACAUUAUAACUGAUUCCAUAAAAGAUGAGAUUGAUCAUCUGUCGUUUCCCUGCAAAUCCACAAUCAUUCGAUGUCUAUGUUUUCAUUUGCUCUGAACCCAAAACAAGAAGCAGAAAGAUCCUUCAUAUUAAUCCUUCAUAUUUUGAAGCUUAAUCGUAAUCUCAAGUGAUGACAUAAGUUCAUCAAUUUUCCAAAUCUUAAUAUCUGUUAACUGGUAGUAAACAAACAACAGCCAUACCAUCAGAAGGCACUAGUGCAGUUCGAGUAAAAUCUAUGUUCAUUCAGUAAGAGUCUCAACAAGCGAAAACUGUGUCAACUAGAACUCCAGAAGCUAUAGGCAACACAAGAAUAUUCAAUCAGAUUGCAAUCAGCUAAUUUCUUUAUUGUUCAUUCAUUGCAAUGCAAUUCAUCUACUAUGAUACAAACCACUUUCAAGUGUACCCAAGAACCUGCGCUUAUCACUUCUGGAUCUGGCAUCUUUUGCACAAAAAGAAGGGAACAGAUAGUUAAGUCCUCAUCUCAUCUCAUUUGAGUUCAAAACCCCUCUAAGUCAUUUUCUUGCACUGCACUGAAAUAAAAAAUAAAGUUAUUAAUUAUAUGUGUUGUUGUGUGCGCACACGCGCAUGAGAUAAUGAAUACAUAAAUGAGAAAGCUGCAAGGGAUAAUUAUGCAAUGAAACAGUGAUGGUAAGAUCAAAAACAGAGGAUUUAUUUCAGUCCUUUACUUUUGAUCCAAGCAGAGCAUCUUCUGGUAAUUUAACAUGAAUUUUUUUUGCAAGGUUAGAUACAUUAAAUAAAUAAAGAGAAUGUAAAUGAUUUACCAUAUGCAGCGAACAUAAAUUGGAACUGAGAAUCUGAGAUGCGUACUUACACAUAAAUUAGAACUGAGAAUCUGAGAUGUGUACUUGCACAUAAAUUCAGAGAAUAAUCACUAGUUUAUUCCCUUCAAUCGAGUCGUCUAUAUCUUUUAGCUUGAGAUUCCUCAUCAUCACAGUAGCCACUUCCACUGGCUUCAGCUGUCCCAACAUACUCUGCAAGGCUUCGCUUUGAUGUUGUGGCUACUUCCAUAUUUGAUCCAACAAAAUUCCGAUGGAACUCAUUUAGAUUAUAAGUAAAGGGAGUCCAUCGGUUUGUUGGUUGGUUGAACUCCUCCCCCACUUGGUGGAUAUAUACUGGAUGGAAACCACAUUUUUUCACCUCCAAUCCUGGGCCCCACAAGGGUUGAAAUUCAAAAUGCCAAUUGUGUUCAUAGCAUUCUUGCUCUUGACGAGGUAAAUAGAGUAGCCAAAGAUGGUCAGACCCAUCCUGACCGAACUUUUCCCUAAAAGUAGUACUAUCACCAACUCUAGAACCUUUCAAGUGCCAGGUCAAGCACUUUGUGGGAUAUGAACGUAACAUUCUGAUUCUAGUUGAAUGCUUAUUGACAUGAAACACACAGCAAAUAGCAUAUCCCACCACCUUAUUCUUAUUAAAUGAAUCGGGAGGCCUCUUGAGUGUUAUUGAAGAACCCUUGUUCUGAUACAUGAACCAUUCCGGAAUUUCGCUUCCUGGAACAACAAUGCUUGAACGCUGUCGCAAAUUGGACACAGCCUGCAACCAAAAAAUUAGGAGGAAAAAAUAAAAAAUAAAACCACACCCGUGCAUAAAUUUAGCGCAAUAUGUUUGGCACAGUGGAGAGACAUGGAGUAAGAGACUGACCUCGAGGUACUCUUUCAGCAUUGAAAAUCCCAAGCCGUUGAAUUUGAAACAGUCCAUACAAUGAAUAUAUGUGCGGUUCAACUUGCAUAAUUUUAACACACAUGAUAUCGUUUCCAAUGAAGUACAACCAUCUACUCUAAUUGACACAAUACUGGGUGGAGGUUGUGGUAGAGAUUGAAGCCUCUUGCAAUCCUCCAAUACCAUUUUCCCCAGCUUAGAAAGAUGGAUAAUGCUUGCUGGAAGUGAAACAAAACUGUUUCUACUCAAAUAUAACUCUUUUAAUGAGCAUAAGUGGCCAAUAUCGCUUGGGAUUGCUCCUUCCCCAAGAUUGCAGUCACUGAUAUCUAAUUUUCUUAAACAAUACAAACCUGAUAGAGAUGGGAACCUCCAAGCCACAGGAUCUGAAUUCCUUCGGAUCAAAGUGAUGGGGAAGUGCAGAAACCAUGAUGUUGAUUGCAACAGUCCUUUGCACCCGCUUAUAUCAAGUACUUCCAAGCUUUCUACCUUCCCCAAGUUCUCUGGCACAUUUUUAAGUUUGGAGCAGCCAGAAAGAUGCAACGUUUUAAGAGAUCUCAAACCAUUUAUAGUUCUUGGAAGACUCUUGAGAUUUUUGCAAUCUUUCAAAUUCAACAAAACAAGGCCAGAAAGAAAUUCAAUAGAUGCUGGCAAUCCUCUUAUAGCAGUUCCUUCCAAAUGAAGCUCCAACAGCUGCUCCAUACUUUCCACGAUCUCCGGGAACUCUCUGAGCUUCCAAAG
rnacentral:lncRNA from 1 species